rnacentral:lncRNA from 1 species
UAACAAUUGAAUUGACUAGGGACCGGAACCAAAAUGACCCUAGAUUUUUAUUGAGUUUAAUCUUAAUCAAAAAAAGACUUCUUGUAUCACAGAAAAUACAAGAACCAUUAUUUGAAUGAAAUAAAAGCUAUGGGAUGGAGAUAUAAAUGGAUCCUUUUAUUCACAAUCGGAUUAUAUUUAUUUGAUACACUGUUGUCAAUAUGAAUGUUGAGAAAAGACUACAAAAGAAAAAACAAUUUAUAAAUAUAACUAAAAAUUCCAAUUUCAAUCAAUUAGAUAAUUAGAAUUAUAAGAAGAAAAAAAACAGAAAUCUCAGUUUUCAGUUUAAAAAAAAAUGAAAACAAAAACUGAAAACUGAAAACAAAAUGGUUAUCAAAGCCGUCCAAAUAAUAGAAGUUUGUUUCCACUCUUUGUUUAAGCAUAGAUGCCAAUUUUUGUUUAUCAUUUUUUUAACCUCUAUUUUUUGUUACAGUAGAAGCCCUAGAAGGAAAUCGAGCACUGGACUUACCAAACUCUUAACUUAUUUCUACACACCAAGAGCUUGAUUUCGGUUCUUAUUUAUACUAUUUAAGCUAUAAGCCGUGAUAAGAAUUAGAGAACUAUCAUUUGUUGUGAGCUUCAAUUGGUUAGCACUUUGUAUGUUUUCAUUAGAAUUUAUAUUUCACUUAGACUUUCUUAUUAAAAAAGGGAUCAUUUGGUGACUUCACCAUGACAGUCCAAUUUUAUGGGGGCCAUGAGUACUCACAAAGGUAUUUCAGCCUCCCCCUAUAUCUACCGUCGCGUGAUUCACCAUUGCCGGGAAUCGAACUCAAGACGUGUUGUAUAGAAUACAAGCCUAAAAUUCGUUUCUAACCACUGAGUCACCCCGCGUUUGAUUAUAUUUCACUUAGACUUAUCUUGCGGUAUAGCAUGUCAUCCCCGCCCAAGUUUUUCUGUUCGCAUUGAGUUUGGGAUACCAAAACUUGCCAAACAAAGUAGAUUGAUUAGUAAGCGAAGCUAAUUAUUCGACUAAACAUUGUUUAGAAUUUUAAUUAAAAGAAACAAUAUGAAUCUGUUUUUUUUUUUUUUUUUUGACAAACUAUAACGUUAAGGAGUUAAAUUGUUAGUUGUUAAGAGUACAGGGAUAGGUGAGGAUCGAACCUCCACCAGAGUGCAUAGACAUUAUUGGUUCUACAACUGCGGUAAAUCACAUAAAACAAAACGUAAUACUUUGAGGAUGGAAGACACUUCGUGGAUAGCGGGCAAUCAACACUAUCAGUCGCUAUCCAAAACUUGGAAUUAUGUUUAUUGUCCGAAGGAUUUUUCUUCCAUUAAAUUGCUAAGGAAGAUGAGGAUGGGUGGAGUGUCUAAAUGUCAAGGUUGAUAAGAAAGUGUAUGGUGUUCAGCAUGCGAUUGAGAUUUGUUGAGUGGCACAACAAACCACAUAAAAUUUUCUAAAUGAUAAGCAAUGAUAAGCUUGAGUAUAAUUUUUUACCACGUAUUUAUCUUUAAAAUCAUUAUAAUUAGAUUUUCUCUUAAUUAAUAUAGACCGUUAGAUUGACCCAAGUUUUUUUCCUCUUUUCUUUCCCCUCGUUUUUUUCUUCUCUGAUUUUCCAUUCACCGUGUAGCAGUCGUUCUUCCCCAACUAAGUUUCUUAUUUUUCUUCACAAAAAAAUUGUAGAAAAUAUUAAGAAAAGAAAAGUCAUCAAUAUCAGACUCGAUCAGGUAAUCGUUCCAACCUUCCCAGCAACUCUCAGUCUUAACAAGGCACCAAAUUUUCUCCGCCACCUAACUCGUCAUUCAUUCAUGGGUGUUUCAAGCUUGGUGAAAAUUGAUAGAGUUCCAUGUGUGUACAGGGAUGUGAACAUAUUGGCCACUCUCUAAGAAUGAGUCAUUGGAAAAGUUGAAGGAAAGAUGUAACCGAUGAAAUUAAUGGAUUGGAAUUACAAUGAAGUCUGUGUUGGUUUAUCACAAAGAACCCAGAAACAAAAUUUUAAAAGCAAACAAUUACAACUUCUCAAAUAUUAUGUAACAAACUUUCAAUGAAAUGUUGCUCAUAAUUGAAAAAAGGUUGACGAAGGACGGAGUUGGGAUUAUUUUAGAUGGGGAAGAGUUAAAAGAAGGAAGCACCAUUUAAUUACUAAAAGUAAUUGGAGAAAUGGUAAUUCAAUGGUGGGCGUUUUUAAGGUGUGGACCUUGUGUCACACCCCGAUCCCAACAUACAUUGAGGAUCGACACCUGACAUGGGGACCUAGGGGACAUAAAUCUUACGUAAGAUACAGAAUGAAAUACUAUAAAUAAUAUCCCAAAAUGAAUAUGAUAGUGGGUUCACCCCCUAUAAAAUAUAUACAAGUUUGUACAUUCACAAAAAAAAAAAAAAAAAAAACACACACACACACACACAAAACUCUUGCUAGGCCAAGACUUGCCCAUGGUUCUCAAAGGAAAGUCCUAAAAGAAAUAGUACAAUGAAGGAUAAAGGGGUAACCUAAACACUCCAAGUCUCUGAUCUCUGCACUGCUACCCCCACCGGCUCCUCGUAAUCUACCUCAGACCUGUCACUUGUACAAACAGUGCCUACAUUGUGGGAAUGGUGCACCGGGCAAACAAAAACCCAGAUAAGCUGCAAAACUCGUGUGGUAGCCGGCCUGGGACAUGGGAGGGGGCCGAGUCUUUCAGAAACCCUUGGGUCAUUGAUCUUCAAGCUUACAUGGAUGGGAUUGUCUCGACGUUGCUUUAGGAAGUCUCGACAGUCGUGAAAGACGGCUUUCGAUCCUUCCACUCCUUCUGUAAGAAGGUGUCUUCCUCCACUCCUUCUGCUUCGGGUUGAAGCAGCUGGGUUGAGAGAAGUCUCAUGUUGGUCGCGAUUUCGAUGAGUAGCUCGCUCCUCAACAGGAAUACCCAUGUCGAGGGAAAAUGAGCCUCUGUGUUGGAGGCACCCAGUUGAUGGUUGACUUCCACAGGGGUGAUGAGCUCGUGUGUUUUAGUAUAUCUAGCCUCGUGGAGCAUCUCGAAGACCUUUUCAUACUGCUCUUGGAGGAUCUCAUUCUUCAUCGCUAUCUUGUUGUUCUGAGCCUCCAGCUCAUCGACUUUAGCCUGAAGAGCAAACUUCUUUUGUUCCUUCUUUCGUUGUUUCGCACCAGGUGUAAGAGGGGUGUCAUUCUGUGUGCCGUGGCUUCCUUCGCUCCCCAUGUUAGAGAGGGAUGCCUGGUCAAAAGAGAGAGUACGAAUGGUGGAAACCAGCUUGGCAAAGCUAAAGAGAGUGGGAAUAAGUGUCGUUCCCACAGACGGCGCCAAAUGUUGAUGCACAAAAUCAGUGAGGACUUUGGUACAACAGAAAGUGUUAAGUUUGUGUCCUUCGCUAGAUUGGUCCGGUCAUUAGUGUGGAUAAGUAUGUAAAUGGAUAGGGACAGGGAAGCAAACACAAGAUGUAUGUGGUUCACCCAGAUUGGCUAUGUCCAUGGAGUGGAAGAGUUCUCAUUAAUUGUGAAGGGUUUACACAAGUACAUAGGUUCAAGCUCUCCUUUAGUGAGUACAAGUGAAUGAUUUAGUACAAAUGACAUUAGGAAAUAUUGUGGGAGAAUGAUCUCCUUUUAUAGAAUAGUUUCUAGCUUUGUUCUGACAUUGACACGUGUCAUGCUGUGAUUGGCUUUUGAUGUUGACAUGUGUCGCAUUGUGAUUGGCCUCCUGGUUUGAGGGAAACUCUUCUGGGUCCUUGACAGUAUAACGUUGACAGGUGCUCAGUAGUUUCGGGAUUGGUCAAGUAUGGUACAAACAAAGUCACUGAAAACUUCGAAGGAGUCACCCAGACAUCCAACGACUUUUCUAAAUCAAAUCUCAGAGAUUCCCAAAACUAUCGUUCACAAAUACACUAAAAACUAAGGCUAGAGUGACACAGUUUGGCCAAAGCCUACAUAAGUAACCAAAUAAGAAGUGGCCCCCCCAUAGCGGAUUAAUCAAGUAGAGCCACUCCUGAGAAAGUAACCAAGUAGGUAGUGACCCCAUCACGAAUUAACCAAGCAGAGUCACUCCUACGAAACUGUUAGGUAGUGAUCACCCAUCGCGGAUUAACUAAGCAUGAUCACCCCUAAGUACGUAUGGCCAUACCUAAGAAAUAAGGAUCGCCCAUCGCGGAUUAACUAAGCAUGAUCACCCCUAAGUACGUAUGGCCAUACCUAAGAAAUAAGGAUCGCCCAUCGCGGAUUAACCAAGCACAAUCCAAAAAUAUUAUGGGUCCCCUAUCGCGGAUUAACCAAGCAGGACCAUCCAUGUACCACUGCUACAUGGUGCAGAUUCGGUGUCACCUAACCCCGUGACACUAGGGUAACGGUCCUCUACUAGCCCUCACGUUUUUCAAACAUUUCAAAUAUAUAAUUUAAAACACAAUUCAUAAACAUUUCGAAUAGGGAAGUCACAUAGUGUUUAAUAAUGUAGGUCAAUGGAAAACUUUAAAAACAAUUAUUUAGCAUAAAACAUAUUUUAGAAAUCCAUGCUGUAUCCACAAAGUAUACUAGCACGGGAGAUUUUCAGGGUAAUAACUCUAUCACAUAUAUUAAAGUCACUCACCUGGAGUCCGCACUAACGCACCCUAGCACGAAUAUCAAGAUGUCACGUACUAUCAUUUGUAACAUCCCACAUCAACCAACAGAGAGGGGGUGAUGUGUCUUAUAUGUACAUGCCCACCUCUAUAGCACGAGGCUUUUUGGGAGCUCAUUGGCUUCAUAUUCCAUCGGAACUCCAAAGUUAAGCGAGUUUGGGCGAUAGUAGUCCAAGGAUGGGUGACCCACUGGAAAGUUCUCGUGUGAGUUCCUAGAAACAAAACCGUGAAGGCGUGGCCAGGGGGGCCAAAGUGGACAAUAUUGUGUUACGACGGAAUUAAGACUGAGAUGUGACAGAAUGGUAUCAGAGCCGCUCUGCCGCGUGGUGCAAGUGUGCCGAAGAGGACAUCGAGCCCCUAAGGGGGGUGGAUUGUAACAUCCCACAUCGACCAACGAAGAGGGGGUGAUGUGCCUUAUAUGUACAUGCCCACCUUCAUUUAGCACGAGGUCUUUUGGGAGCUCACUGGUUCCGGGUUCCAUCGGAACUCCGAAGUUAAGCGAGUUCGAGCGAGAGCAUUCCCAUGAUGGGUGACCCACUGGGAAGUUCUUGUGUGAGUUCCCAGAAACAAAACUGUGAGAGCAUGGCCGGGGCCCAAAGCGGACAAUAUCGUGUUAUGGCGGAGCCGAGAUUGGGAUGUGACAUCGUCACCUAAGACAAAGUACAAGUCCACAUUUAGAGUUCUUCGAGUAUUCACAUAAUCAAAAAUUUACAUACGCACCCUACAACUAAUGAAGAGAAAUCGAGACACGUUGACAAAAAGUCAACCGUCGAUCAACGGUAGGGUCCACAACCCUACGUAACUUAAUCCGUAAGAUCCAGCCACUGUAUUUGUGAUUCAUAAGUUCCUAAGGUCCUCAAAUCUUACGUACAAUAACAUACUAAACUUUAGUGACGAUCUAAUGGUCGAAUCAUCAUUUACUAUAAUGUUCAAAUGACGCAAAUUCGUCAAUCGGAUGUCAAAUAUGGAAUCGGUCAUCGAAUUUAGCCUAGGAAGAUCAAGUGGUGUCUCAAGCCACGCACCACCAUGCGCAGCAGUUGGCAACCCAGAUUCGUCGAAAAAAUCACCUGAUUCCAAAAUGAAUGUCGUGAGACGUGGAGUAAAUUGUAUACCUGUGAGAAGCCCAAUUUGGCCAGGAAGUGGCCUGAAAUCACUUUAGACCGUCGGAAACCCUAAAAUAGGUGAAUCUCGAUUAGUCAUCUCUGGUAUUCCACCGUCCUCAAACUUGUUUAGGGUUCUCAAAAAAAUGCUAAUGAUGAUGGUGAUUGAAGGAGAACGUUUCAGAAAUAGUGAAUCGCCGGCGAGGGUUUCACGGAAUCGACAUGGGUGUUCCUCGUGGAACCAAGACCAAAUCUCAACGGUUUUGGCUAGAAAUGGAUGCUGGGAUGUCGUGGUGAGGUUUGGUAUUGAUGGGAGGUCGAAGAAAGUCAAAAAAAUCGACGAAAAAACUGUCGUCGGAGUCACAGGAAACGUGUUAGAAAAAUGAGUCGCCGAGUUUGAAACGGGUCGAAGGCUUUUGGGACAGCUACUUAAUCUCUCUUCUCUGAUUAGUCACUCCACUCACUCUCUCAUUUGAUUGGUCCAGCCUUCCCACAUGGUGGGAGUUCCCUCAUAUAGUAACCCAAAAUUUACUAUUUAAAUUUGGUAUCAAACGUCCGUAACUUUUUUGUUAUAGUUCCGAUUCACAAACGGCUUUCGCCUACGCGCUCGUAUGAUCGAAUUAUACUUGAAAACAUUAAUUGUGACCUUAAAAAGGUCUACAAGUUUUAAAAGAUUAAUUACAAAAAUUCACACCUUGUAACUAUACGAUUCAAAUUCUAAAAUUAACGGAAUUAAAAUAAACUAAAAAUAAUGUAAACACGAAAUACAGACUUUAAUAAUGAAAUACGUAAUUAAUAGUGGAAUUCUGGGGAUGGGAUUUCACACCUUGCGUCCGGACCUUGAGUGCGGAUCAGAAUCCAAAGGUCGUGAUCUGACGAGCUCAUGUAUAGAACAGAGUUGUUGUGACCCAAUGCAAUUCAAAACUUUUAUGUUUUUUUAUUUACUGGGUACGUUUUUGUAGGAGGAAAAGGGGAAGUCGAGGGAUUCUUUGCGCAAUAAAGAGGGAAAGAGAGAAAAGGGGAGCUAAGAGGUUCUUCGCGCGUUAAAUUUUUGCUUCUGAUUUUGCAACCUAGAAAUAAAGUAUUUUCUUUAUGGUUUAUGGUUCAAGAAUAUAAUGGAUGCAACCUAAAAAUGUUUAUUUUUUUAUUUUUUACUUUUUUUCUUCUUAUGUUGGCUUUUGGUUUAUUCUUAUAAUGCACUAUAUAUUAACUAAAUUUAUAAACAUUUUGUAUCUUUGUUGCAGUCAAAUUAAUCAUAUGGGUUGGCAUGACGAAGUUCGACUGAGACAUACAGAUGUUUUGCAAUCUUAAGUCUAACCUGACACACCCCGACCUCAAUAUCCAGUGGACACCAAAAUUGAGGUGUGAUGGCCAUCAUCCGGAUGGGUGACGAAACCAUUAUAUGCAUGAAAACAUAAUUACCCAAACACGUCUUAUUAAAAUAUUGAGUAAAUACCAUACAAGAUAGAAUACGUCAGAGCUGUUGCAAAAUACCUCAACGUCCGAUGUAAUCACUGAUAGAAUUACUGAAUCAUGUAUAAAUGGAAAGCUGAUAAAUACAUGUAAUUUGAGUGGAUACUUACCAGCAGCAUGGAUACAAUAUCAUCCACCAGUCGUAACUAGUGAAAGUUGGAUAAUAUAAUCAUGUCAUUGCCGAGUAAUCUCAAGGCAAUGACAAGAUGAGAAUGUAACUGAGUAAUCAUAUCAUUACUAAAUAAUCUCAAAGUAAUGACAAGCUAAGAGUAUAACCGUAUAAUCAUGUCAUUACCUCGUAAUCUCAAAAUAAUGAUAAGCUGAGAGUAUAACUGUAGUACCUCUUAUUAGUGCAAUGCAUGAUAUGAAUUCCAUCUCACAUAUAUAUGCAAGCCAUAAUCAAACCAAUAAACAUCCAACAAAAGCCACAAUCCUUUUAACAUUCGACCACAAGAUCAAUUUUCAUAUUUCCCAAACCUAGGUUCCAAAGCAUUGUUUCGAAUUAUUAAUACAAGAAACCACCACCACCUCAAUCAACUCCUAUUCACAAGUGUAAGCAAUUACUAAAUGCAUCACUUUCGACUCUAGUCUUAAUUAGAUUACUUGGGAUACUCACACCAUCAGAUCCAAGUACUAUUUUGAUAAACUUUAAAUAGCAUGGUUAAAAUAAAUGAAACACUUUUAGAAAAUAAGUGAAGAUGUUGUUUACAAAUAUAGAUGCAUCUGUAUAUAAAAGCUUUGGCGGUUGAUCCGUAUACACACUUCCAGAGAUAUAAGCAAGUUCAUUGGAAUAUACAUACAUAGUUAAUGUAUUACAAUAUAAUUAAUAAGAAAACAAUUGCAUCCCUUUCAGAUUAUAUAUAUAUAUAUAUAUAUAUAUAUAUAUAUAGACACACACAUACAUACACACAGGCCCUUUAUGCAAAGGAAUUUCCAUUUUUUUUCAAAAAUGGGGAUUAGUUGUGGGGCCCACGCUGCAUUGAACUUUAACGAUCCGAACAGUCUAUUUUGUAAGUCUCGAUUCAUAGAUCAUCCUUGUAAAAAUUCAAUUCAAUCCGAACCCAUUUGCCUAUUUAAUUAUCAAGAUAAAAUUUUAUUGUUUCUUAUAUAACAAAGUAUUCGUUAAUUUCUUUGAACUCAAUUAGAUAUCUUAAACAUUUCCGAUUUGGUUAAUAUUGUGUAAGGAUGAUCUAUGUGGUGCAACUUGAAAAAUAGACGAUUACGAUCGUUAAAGUUCGAUGUGGUGAGAACCCUACAAUUAAUCUUCAUUUUUAUAAAAGAAUGGGAACCCCUUCCCUUAAAGGUUUCCUAUGUAUAUAUUUGUUCUCCAGACAUAUGCAAAAGGUAAUGUAAAACCAAUGAGAACUUAAAUAGAUAUUCCAUACAUAGGACAAUUCCAUAUAUGCUUUUUCAACAUUUAUAUCGAAAAGCCAAAUUGUUUUGAGGAAAUUAAUUGUAGCAAUGAUCCCUUAACUUUUAUCUUAUUGGAGCAAUGGUCUCUCAACUAAAAAUUCAUAACCAUUGGUUCCUUAACUCCACACAACGUGUAGUUAUGGUCAUUUUCAUUAACUCCGUCAGAACUUUUGUUAAAACAAGUAAUGUUAGAAGAAUCAUUGCUACAAUUAAGUUAAAGUUGGGGACCAUUGCUCUAAUUAAAUUAAAAUUGAGGGAUCAUUUCUCCAAAUUGCUUAAAGUUCAAGGACCAUUUCUACAAUUUUCUCAUCUAGUUUCCCAUAUUUACCCCAUGAUUCAGCUUCACAUGCAUUGCACAUGACUCAUUUUGAAAUUUUUUUUAACGAAAUUGAUGAAAAUGACCAUAAAUGCACGUUUUGAAGAGUUAAGAGACCAAUGGUCGUGGAUUUUAGUUGAGGGAUCAUUGCUCCAAUUUAGUUAAAGUUAAGGGACCCUUGCUACAAUUUUCUCAAAUGUUUUGUAUGCGAAAAUAGGCAUUUGUAAAGUUUGGCUUGUUCAUGGCAUUAUUACUUUAGUCUAAAGUAAGGCUGGAAAUGGCACUGUAGAAAUGAAUAGUGUUCCAAUCCGAAUUUCAGUUUAAUUACAACAAUGCCAUUGCUCUUUGUGUUGCCUUUAGGUGAGCAGCCCGGCUUGCAGCCAGGCCCAAAUGUAUUGGUUUUAGCUGAGAAGCCCGGCCCUUAGUCAAGCCCAAAAUUUUAAAUUACAGUUUUGCCCAUACAAAAUAACAAUCCGAUUGUAUCGAGAAGGACAAUUUUGUCCUUUCAGUUUUGGGUGAGAUAGGGGGUAACAGGGUAAGUUUCAUUUGCUGUCGUUGAAUGAGGGUUUCGAGGAUGAGGGCUCUGUGUGUGUGGGUGUGUGAGAGAGAGAGAGAGAUAGAGAGAGAUAGAGAGGGAUAUGGCGAUGGAAGGAGAGCGAGGGGGAAGGGAAGGGUUCUCGGCACUGUUGCUGCAUGUGAAUUUCACAAGUGGGAGAGUGGGUAUGGUCAGAGAAGACCAUAUAGGUCGUUGGGAUUUCAGGGAAACGGGGUAGGGGUCAUGAAUGAACCCUGCUGAGAGUGGGUACUGGAUCUUGCGCUGCAUGCCUCAAAUCAAAGAUAAGUUCGUUUUUUUUAUUGUAUUUUUUAUGGUAGCUUAGCUUUUGGAAUUGUUUAGUAUGUUAGGUCCGAUUUUGGGGGAUUUAUCUUUUUAGAGAGAGAGAUGGACAGGGAGAUAGAGAUAGAGAGAGAGAGAGAGAGAGAGAGAGAGAGAGAGAUGAGGAAGCAUGACUGUGUGCAAUUUUUUAUGUUAAUUAAUGGGUUGGUGCGCAGGGUGAGUGACAGAGUGACAGAGUGAAGGAGGGACGUGUGGGAGGGUAUGAGUUUUCAGUUCUUUCUUUUGAUUCAACAGGUUAUACACUGUUUGAAAAACCUUUUUUUUAUUAUUUUGUUCUCGUUUGCUUUGUUAAAACCAUCAUUUGAAUUUUUGGGUUUCAUUGUGCUUAUUUCUCUGCUUCUUCAUAAUUUGCUGGUGUUUGCUUCUCAUCCCUCUGUUGGUAGAUCUUUUUCUCAUUUCUUGGUUCCUUAUGUAUUCUUUGGUACAAAUCUGUUUACUUUUUGGCUGUGUGAUAAUCUUAGCAGGUGAACUAUAUGAACGUUUUUUUGAAACGAGUUAAGAAGAUCCAGCUGAAAAGAGCAUACAAGAUAGAGAACUGGUAUGCUGCUCGCCAGGGAAAGGCUGCUGGAAAGGUUGAGACGGAUGCCUCUUUCAGAAACCAGGUCAGUUUCCUGCUGCUCGGCGUCUUAAUGUAUCCAAAUUGUUUAUCUUUUGAUGAAAUUAGCUGGCUAUAUUUUCUAUUUUAUUUAUCUGCAUAUUAUUUUGGUUUGUUGAAAUUUUGACUAUAGUCAUUGUCACAUGGGCGCCUAGCCCAACCCAAAUUAGUUGAGGAUAUUUAAAUCUUCACCAUGGUAUUAUAGUACUCACUCACAGUUGUGAAUACUAAGGUGCAUGCAUGGCAUGAAGAAGUGGACCGUGCACGCCAAGGUCAGAGGGAUGCAGAAGGCAAGCUUUUUUCUUUGGAGGUAAGUAUCCUUUGUUUAUUGCCCAACAGUGUUGUUAUUAUCAAUUUGUAGCUUUGCGUUCUGAAUUUUUUGCUUUGUCAAACAACCUUCUUGAAAUGCUCGAUUUCAAGCCGAAGUCCAAAAAAUGAAAGUUGAGAUGGCUUCCAUGAAGAGGGAUGUAGAGCAUUACUCGCGCUAGGUGAAAUCUGCUUCCUCUCUUUUCGUAUAUCUUCAUAUGAAGAGUUUUACUAAGUUAUAUUGAGAACUAUGUUAUUUAUAGGUUAUAUUUUCCAUUUUGCAGGAACACAUGGAGCUAAGGAAGAGCUAUCGUGAACUCACUGAUCUACUGGUAAUGUCACUCAAACUGCUUUAUUUGUGCAUGCUGCUACUAUGCGCUUGAAUGCAUUUUAUUACUGGCGGGAUGCGAAGAAAGCUAGAUAUAUGUGCUGGAUCGCUUGAUUAAUGUUAGGGUUUUAACAACUAAUUGUUAGCAGCUAGAAGCCCUGGUUAGAUUAAUGCUAAUUUGAUUUUCCUUACAGUACUUGAGUGCCAGUUUCAUAUUGUUUGUUCCCUGUUGGAUACCUGCUGUACAGUUUCAUUUCUGUUUCUUCAUAACUUUCUUGGCCCUGGGAUAUAUGCAUAUUGAGUACAAUGAAUAUCCAUUGUUCUCUAACUGUUGGGCUUUACUAUCUUUGUAGCAGCCUGCCUAACAUUUUUUAGGCUCUACACUCUACCAUCCAAUUUAUGAAAAAUUCAAAGAUUGGACGAUAUUGAUUGCAGAAAUGAAAAAAAUACUAUGAUAUUAGAAAGGUGAAUGUAAUUGUGUUAGAAUAAGCGUCUAGCAUGAUGGGUAAUAUUUUAAGUUUGUAUUUCUAAAAUUUUUUCGUUCUGGAGUAUGAUUUACCUCAAUUGUUUUGUACUUUAAUCUUUACUAAUUUUCAUUGUGGAGUAUGAUUUGCCUCAACUAACAACUUUUCAUUGUUUAACUUUUUCCUCCCUUAGAUAGUUGCAUAUGUUUGAUUUGUUAAUCUGCUUCUUACACAUGUUGUUUCCUAAUGGUGUAGGUGGGUUGUCGGAUGCAUGUGCAGAUUACUUGAAUAGACGAAGCUAAGAAUGACUUAGUAUUAAGUGAGACAGAAGCUUGGGUCAGUUGGAUUUUGACAUUUGAUUUAUUCAUGUUUUUUGUUGCUUGCAAUGUUCUCGCAUUGUUUGUUCUGAGAUUCUGUGAUCUUAUUUUUCAUAGGAACUGACAUUGGUUUGCCAUAUAAUGUUUCAGGAACUAAUACAACAACUAAUCACCUUGCUUAGCUCUCAAGACACAUACUUAACAGGUUAACAAACACUAACCUAUAAACUGAUCUGCUAAGCUGGACCAUUAACCUCUGUUUAUAUCCCUGCCACUCAUCUUUUGGCACUUAUCAAUAGCAAAAUCUAGAGUUGUUGAAACCCCAAUUUUAAUGAAUAUUAUUUUUAGUUGAUAAUUAAAAUUAAUUGAUGAUUAAUCUAUUCCAUUGUGCAUUAUUUUAUCGCCAAAUACUUUGAAUAUUCAUUAGCAAAAGAUAUAGGGUUCACUAUUUAAUGAAUAGAAUUUUGAUGGUGGAUUGCAUUUCCUGAGUUAUAAAUGUGGUGAAUCCAUUAUUUACUAGCUGAAUAAUCAUAAUGUUUUGGCCACUUACCUUGAAUUUUGUUCAAAUUGAAGAAGUCACAUGUUUCUUUCUGUUGUUGAGGUAAUCUCUCUGUUGAAAGCUUCUAUUUCUUUUUUUUUUUUCUUUUUUUCAUUUGGGUAGAUUUUUUUUUUUAUGGAUUUAUGUAUUUUUUUUCCAGAGAAUUCGAAAUGAAAUAAGAAUAGCGGAUUGAGCAUAAACAAAUUGAUGAAAUUUUUAUUUGAGUGUUUGUGUUAGUCCUUUUUUGAUUUGUUGAGGUUUGGAAUUAUUUGAGUUUUUUUGCUGUUAGUACUAUGAAGGAUGCUUGGCAAUCGCGAAAUGGGGGCUACCUCUUUGGAAAGAGAAGUCUCGCUAUCCAACCUCUCAUGAAUUACAAACAGGGUGAUUUCUUGCUGAAAAACCACUGAACCAGUAGAACUUUCCUCGGUUCUUCAAUUCGAUUCGAAUAAUUUUUUUACCCAGAAAAGCCAGCGUUUCCUGGUGGGUUUUACAGCUUUCUCAAUGUUUUUGUGAUUUUGGAUUUGCAAAUUUGUUUUCUGUUCAAAUUUCCUUUUGUGAUUUUGGAGGUUUUGUUUAUCGAUUCUCUCACUCAUCUCUCAGCUCUCUCUCACUUUUGAGGUACAUGCCGUUGGAUUCCGUUUGCUGCUGCUGAUCUGUAGGUAAAGCUUCAAUUACCAUAUAAAGUUUACAUUUUUCAUGAUUUCUUGAAUUUGGGUUUUAAACAAAGGAAAUAUUGCUAGAUUCUUAUCUUAUGUGCAAAUUACUGGCUAUUUGGAUUGGUGCCUGAGAUUUAGAGAAUGCCUCGCAGCUUUAAUUUCUUUUUCCUUCAUUAUUACUGUUUUCAAAAUUUUUAUUGCUGGGUAUUGAUAAUUUGUAGUAUGUGAGGGCUUCAAUAUGUUGGAAUUUUGAAUGGUUAUUGCUUCAUCGGAAUUUGGGUGGUCCAAAUUUUGAAUUAGAAGAAACCCAUUUGAUUAAUAUUUUUGGUGGAUUGGUUCUCUGUGUUUUCCUUGCUAUUUCUCCCCCAGUUGGAAAUUGGAAGCCCCAACUUUGAGCUCAGAGCUUGAAUUUCUCAAUCGUUCGUUUCUCUGCACUCUCAUCAAUCACUCUUGAUCCUCUAUCUAAAGAACUGGGUAAUUUUCCAGCUCUAUCAAGUAAUACUCCAUUUAAUUGCUUAAUUGAGGUUUUUUGUUUCUCUUUUUCGCUCUUUCAUCAGUUCAUUGACUUUGAUGUUGAGCUUAAGUAAAUGGGAGAUCAUUAAUUGGCAUUGUUCAAGAUAUAAUUCUGUGUUUUUGGAUUUGUGAAACGAUUUGCCUAAUGAUGAUAGUGGUUAAAAUAAAUUUUUCGUUAUGAAGAGAACAUUGUUCUUCAUUUGCCUACGGUUUUAACUACAAAGUUAAACUACUAUGCUUUUGUUCAAUUGACUGCAACUCAUGCCGCAGUUUGCUUCACAAACCUCUACGGUUAGCUUCCAUACAGUAUGUUGCAAGUUUGAGGAUAUCUUUACAUCUUAAUUUUUGCUCUCUCUGGUUGCUUCAAGUUUGUAAUUUUACGUGUUACAUUGCUACUUGAUUUGAUUAUAAAAAUGCAAAACAAAAUCCGUUUUGCUUUUAUUCAACUUAAAUGUAUCCUUUUGUUUGUUCAUAAUUGUGUUGAAUUUAUUCAACUUAAAUGUGUUUUAUUCAUCUAUUUACGCUUAAAACAACUGGUUCCCCUAGCAAUGCGCGGGCCUAAUUUCUAGUACAUAUACUAAAAGCCAGCAGAAAAUUACUGUUCAUCAUGGGAGAUAGAGCACUGUUCAUUAACAGUGAAAGGGCGAAAAUGCCCUCGGUUUCUUCUUUACUUCACGUACUGUUUACGAAUUGCUACAGUAUAAAGUCCGUUUUGUCCUUCCUGUCCACACAUCUUUCAUCGUCCGUUUCUCUUGCUUCGACCGUAUCUUUUUUGCUUUACCUUUCCUCUUCAUUUUUCGCAUUCGUUAGGCUGCGAUUUUCGGAGGUGGAUUGUUUGCCCUCCCAUUUCCAUGCUCUCCCCAUGCCUAUGUGGUCACAGUUAAACCACGUCAAUAUUUUAUAUUAAUUUUUUAUAAAAAUAAUAAAACAAAAAGUAAUAAGAAUAUAAAAUAUUGACGUGGCUUAACGUGGUCCGUGAUCACAGUAGGCAUGGAAAUGGUCCGCGACUUUCUCCCUUUUCGCCAGCCCCUCUUUUGCUCUCAAAUCCUUGCUCUUUCUUUUGCAAAAUAGUCUCAGAAGAGAUCCUGGGUUUAUCGAAUCCUUUGUUGUUCGGCGUUUUGUUCUCAUCUUGUGAUCGUCGGGUCAGCAGCUUUAAGGUAAGUUUGUUUUUAAUGAUUUAUCCUCAUUUUACGAUGUCUGGGCUAACAAAUUUAAGAUCUUUAUUUUUCUUUUUGCUGCGGAUCUGCAGGUUUUGACAAGUUUUUUGUGAAAUUGGUGCUGUCAGUGGGUGUUAACAUCAGGUACCCAUGUUCAGUUUUUCGUUUUGAUUUGAAGGAAUUUCUUGCGCAGAAGUGCUAGGGUUUCUUGGUGAGUUCUUCGGGUUGUGCAUAUGGGUAAUUUUCUUUUCGGUUUAACCCGCUGCUUCUGCUGCUCUCUCUCUUUCUCUCAUCCCUGCCUGCUCCUCUCCAAUUGUUUGCUGUUCUUAAAUAUUGUGUUCAUUGCCUGAUACAAGGAGCUGCAGCAAUCUGUUUUAUCCUACACGGGACAACGAGGCAAUGGCGUGACAACAGGUGAGCUUGGAUAUCCAAAGAAAGAGAACAGUUGGUUCAUCUGCUGGAGUCUGAAGCUCAGAGAAGUGGAGGAAAAUUGCAGGUGUGCGAGAAAUUUUAUUUUGCUGAUAGGACUCCUUAUUUACGGAUGCAUUUUGAAAUAAUUGAAAAGUUGGAUUUGAGUUAACAGCUAUAAAAAUGUAGACAUGAUUGCUGAGAUUAUGCUAUGAAAGUGGAAUAAAAAAAUGGUAGUUUAUAAUAUUGCGUACCAAUUUUUUUCUCUCUUUUUUACCAAAUGAUAAGGGUGGUGGCUCAGGCCGCCCCCCCUACGCGUCCCCACUCUUCGACAAGUUGAAAUCAUGGUGAUAGUUUAUGGGCUGUGGUCUUGGGAUUCUGCAAAUAGAUUAAAAAACAGACACUUAACUAUCUUGUUAUUAAACAUUUCUGCAUCAUUCAGUUGCUCUUGAUUUUCGUCUUUUAAGCGAUCUUAUUUCUGCGAUCUGACUUGAGGAGGGUUUUUAGACCUAUGGUUGUGGGUGUUUUGUCUGACCCCAUUAAAUUGGUUUCCGAGAUUUGUAGACUUGCGAUCGGCAGUCAAACAUUUUGUGAUUCUUGCUUUUUUUCCGACUGGGAUUGACGAAUUUUGGCCGAAUCUGUUUCCUGUUUUCUUCUCUGUUUGAGCGGCCGCUGCCUUUCGGUCGUUGAGCGCCGGCAGUCUUUAGAUCUUUGGCAAAUCAAUUUAAUACAACCGAGGUAUGUUUUAUAACUGCUGUCUUUCAAUUUUUGUUCUGUAUUUUUGUUAAUUUGGAUGAAGCUCUAAUAAUUUUGUUUUGGAUCAGUUGUGGUCCUCUGUUAGGAUUUUCCUGGCUAAGAGGGUAUUUGCGUUUUUGUUGCUUGGUUGGUCGAUCACAGAUUUACGAACAGCUGUGGUGGUCCUGUUAUUUUUUUGGUAUGUUUUUUCUCCUUUUUGGUUUUUUCCCGGUUUGAGCACCCAUUCAUGAAGAAUUAAAAUGUGUUUAUAGUUUUUCAGGAGAGAUUAGAAAAGUGAUUUCAAUUUGGGAAAAUUUAAUGUUGGUUAAAAUUUGUCUAUAAUUUUUGGGAAGGAAUGAGAGGACCCAUUGAAGUAUGUGUUGUGAUUAUUUUUUAUUCAUAUUUUUAACAAAUUGGGCAUGAAUUGGUAGGUUAACUGUGUGUGUUUAUUAUUUGAAUCGGCCAUGUUUGUCUUUCUAUGGUUCUAAAAAAUUUGUAAAGGCUGUUAACUUGGAAGAAAAUGGGAUCGAGGGUGAGGGGAAAACGGCAGAGAAAGCAUGGAAGAGAGAUUUGGGAUUAGGGGUAGGAAAACAGAUGAAAAGAAUAUGAUAGAGGAAUGAGUUCAGUUCAUUUUCACUAUUUUUUUUAACUGAUUUGGAUUUUGUUUGGGUUUGAGGCCAUCAUUGGCGUUAAGACGUUUAUUAUCAGAUCGUGUGUGUUUUUUGCUAACUUUUAUUGGUCAUUUUUAUGUUGUUCUUAUGAUUUUGUGUGGUAGGGUUUCUGAAUUUUAUCGUUAUUCAUUUGGUUUUUUGUGUGUGUUGGUUUGUUUAUUUUGCAGGUUGUGUUUGUGCUGGGACAACAUUUUCCACCUUCUGUUUGCACUGGGAUGAUUGCGUUUUAAAACUGUUGGGGUGAGAUUUACAUAUGGAAUCAUUCCAUUUUUUUUCUUCCAAAUAUGUGCAUUUAGUUCUUUUUAUUUUAAAUUUUAAAAAUUAAAUCGUUAUUUGAGUAAAAUGUUUUAUUAAUUUAUGUUAUGUGUUGUGAUCAGGAAUUCUGUUGGAUUUGCAAAUUUUGGUUUGAUGAGAGAGAUGAGGAGUUUUUUUUGUUUGAAUUUUUUAUUGGACCGAUUUUCAAUUGGAUUGCAUUCUGCCUUUUUGCACCAUUCUUAUGCAAGCAAUUCAUUGUUUUAAAUACAAUUUGAAGAGAGCUGGGUUGCGGGUUGGAUAUAAAAUGUUAAGGUGAGAUAAAAUCGAGAUACCAAGGGUGGAAGAAUGAUUCAGAAUUGGGGGAGGAAAACAGAGGGAAGAUGGAAGAGUAUAAGAGAAGGAUAGGGUUGACCUCAUUUAGAGUUUUUAUUUACUUUUUUUUUUAUUAUUUAUAAAUUGAUUCAGGACUAGCAUAUCAUUUCUAAAUUUCUAACAUUUUUGUUUAAUUUGACUCCAGUUGAUGGAAAACAGAGCUCUUACUCCUAUCAAUCAGUUGGUCCCGUACAUAAAUGCAGAAAAAUCAAGGUUCGAGUUUGCAGAGUAUGCAGACCAAGGUUUCCUGAAACUACUGGUGCUGUCACGCCCCAAUCCCGACCUAUGUCCAGGAUCGACACGUGACGUUAACAAAUACCCAUAUCUCUAACAUACCCCGCCUCCGGAAUAUGGGCAAAGCACAACUGCGUAAUAAUUUUUCGUAUACUUUAUGGCUGCAUCUAACAUCCUCGUUAGAUUAUCAUACCUUAUGGCUACAUCUAACAUCCUUGUUAGACUGCCUACGUACUCUCAAAAGGGAUCAAACCAUUCGUAGUUCACCACACUCCAAUCCACAAAAAUUUGCACAUGCACUGAUUAUAAAAUGGAACUGCACCUAUAGAAACCUAAUCAUAACCCGUGGGCGAUUUGCUCCCACAUAAGAAAGACGUCCACAGUACCAUGAAAUACUUCCACAUCUUUCCUUCCCAUUUACACAAUAUUUUAUUUCACCUCCCUGAUAAAUAUAGCAUUUACAUUACAUGUGGCAGACAAAUUUGCAUAUUCAACUAUAAUAAAAUACAAUCUUAGUAGGAAAAACCUACAAGACCACCACUCGUUUGAGCCAAACUUUAGCUUAGCACUCAACUGGUGCUCACACCAUGUGAGUGCACGAUCCUUUAAGAUGGAUGCGAUGGUUCUCUUUUGAGAUUAAUUUUGUUACAGGUAUAACAUAGUUGGCAACCGUUUAGAAAUAGAUGCCUCAUGUUCAAAACUCUCAUUACCAAAUGUUCUAACAAGUUAGUAGAGAAGGUAAAAGAACCCAAAUGGCGAGAAAUAGUGUCCUGAUGAAACAAAAGAUGUAACCCUCAUUCAAGCACGAACAUCAUUUCCUUGAGAAUCUGCGAUUUCUUCCCUCAUUUGGUCAAUAUAGCUUGUAUUCCAACUGCAACUUACUAAUAGCAUUUGUUCUCUCCUCGAAUGAAACCAUAACCAGCCAUUUUAAAUAAAGCUGAACAGUUUCACGUUGGGAAAAUAAAGAUUAUAACAUACAGGUUUUGGAUUAGAUUCCCAAACCAACAGAAAAUUAAGAUAGGAAUCUAUUUUGGGUUAACUGAGGUAUGAGUGGUAUACAAAUGAGAAAUUCCCUACAAAAGUCAAUAAAACCAGUUACAUAACAUGUUGAAUAUAAUACAACAUGAAAUAAGAAGCACCACUUGUUUAUCUGACUUUUUAUACAUGUAUUUUCCUAAGGGAUAAAAACGUGCGGGUUUUGGGAUCAAUCUGAAGAGGGCUUCACCACGAAUACAUAGCCUUUGACCGUGCAUGAUUUCGUUGCCGUAUGAGAAAGUUAUCAUUUUUUUUUUUUGUGAAGAAGAAUUAAGGGGGAGAAGAACAGCUGCCCCCUCUGUUUCUGCAUCUGCCCAGCGGGGAAAGAAAAAGAAGAGAAGCCCUUGGCUUCUAGAAUACUCCCUCCCCAAAAUUACAAUUUUGCUCUCUAACUUUGAUUGUUUAUAUCUUAUUCGUUAUAACUCUGUUUCACGAACAGCUUUUGCUUACAUGCUCACAUAGUCGUCAUCUAUUUAAAUAUAUCAAGAAAUACAAUAAAAUACAUCCUCGUAUAAGUAUGUUAACCAAUUAGGGCACUUUCGUCAUUUCCACUUAUCGAUAGAUUUUAACACGUUAAUUAUAAUAAUGUCCGGAAACAGCUUUAAAAUUUCCAAAUUCUAUUUCCAUAACCAUAAAUCGAUUUAUUAAUUUUUCAGGGUAUCACAGGUGCAUAUUCAGGCUUGCAUUGUAUAUUACUUUCCUAUUAAAAAUUUGUUUGGAAUUUGCUUUUCCCACAAAGGAGAAGAGCUGACAGUUACGCUGUGGGCAGAUGUUGCUCGAAGUAUUGCUUCUUUAUCCAUUGAAUCAUUGUCUCUGCCGAUCUUUGCGGUUUUCACAAGUUUAAAGGUCAAGCUGUACCUAGGUGUUUGACUUAAUUAAAAACUAAUCUAUUUAUUUCGGAGGCGGAGCAAAAUGCUAUCUGUCUUACCCCUCUUGGUGAUCUUAGUCGGAAAGAUCGGCUAGUUUGGGAUGUGAGUAAGAAUGGGCAGUACUCGGUUCGAUCGGGCUAUCAUUGGCUGCAAUCUAGGUCUGUUGGGUUCAGGGAUCAACGCCAGCUUGGUGCUUGCUUAGUUCCGAGGCAUUUGUGGCGCAUGGUUUGGUAGUUGAGUGGGCCUCAUAAGCUCCGUCAUUUCUUUUGGUUAUCUUUGCAUAAUGCAUUACCGUCAUUUCUUUUGGUCCGUGACCAGGCAUGAGGAGAGCAUGGAAAUGAGAGGGCAGACAAUCCACCUCCGCGACUUUCUCCCUUUUCGCCAGCCCCUCUUUUGCUCUCAAAUCCUUGCUCUUUCUUUUGCAAAAUAGUCUCAGAAGAGAUCCUGGGUUUAUCGAAUCCUUUGUUGUUCGGCGUUUUGUUCUCAUCUUGCGAUCGUCGGGGUAGCAGCUUUAAGGUAAGUUUGUUUUUAAUGAUUUAUCCUCAUUUUACUAAACUAUUUAUGGUAACUUAGUAUGGUAACUUAACUAAGUAAGUUUGCUUUUAGCCCAAGGGUUGGAGAUGGUCUUAGUAUGGUAACUUAACUAUUUAAUUCCAUCUCAUUAAACUAAAAAAAACAAUUACAUAAAAAUAAGGGAAACCUUGUCCAGAGAGACCUGAGAAAGUCCACCCCUAAGGACUUUGCGCCAGCACCCAGCGUAUUUAUCUACUCAAGUGAACAGUAAUAGACUGGAGUGAACAGUAAUAGGCCAAGGCAUCUCCACCCCUAAAAAAAUGCGCUGGCACCCAGUGCAUUUAUUUGGUGUGUUUUUUUUUUAAAGUUUAUUUCAGAUAAGAUUUUUAACCAAUUUCGGAUAAAAUUUCAAAUAAACUUAAAAAAAAACACUCUAAAAUAAAAUUACAUACUCAUCAAAUAAACUUAAAAAAACACACUAAAAUAAAAUUACAUAAACUCAUCAAAUAAAUUAAGGAUGAGCUUUUUGGUAUUUUUUUUUCACACAAAAAGUAUAUGAAAGCUUUGGUAGAAGGUCUAGAAAAUAUUGAAAUGUGGUGUAAGGUGGAAGAUGAGGGUUAGGUAUUUAUAGAAAAAAAAUAAUAACUUUUUUAAAAUUUUACUGUAUUUUAAAAAAAAAUCUGUAUUUUUUUAUAUUUUUAAUUAAUUUUAAUGUAGUUAAUUAAUUUGGACCGUUGGAUUUGAAAAAUAUUCAAAUCCAAUAGCCCAGGAUCGGCCACGUGGCCAACGCCAGCAAAUGGCCCAGCUUCUUGGUCAGCCUGUUUUGUGCUGGCCCAGAGACCAGUUUGGGCUGGGUGCCAGUCUGUUUUGUGGGCUGGAGUGAAUGGACAGGGUCCCAGCCUGUUUUUUGUGCUGAGUGCUGGCCUAAUCCACCACCGGUGGACUUGCUCUGAGAGAAAGUGACGACUUCUCCUCUCAUUCCACUCCAUACUUGAUCUCUAAAGUCCAUUUGGCAUGUAAUUGAUGUUCAAUUUCAAAUUUAGUGGUAGCAAUUAGCAAAGCUAAUGAAAGAAUCAAAUAAAAUGAAAGAAAAAGCAUCAUGAAAUAAAUCAAGAUGAAGAAUGAAAUUUUGGCAACUCGCCAUUCUCUUCUUUUAUAUAAAAGAUACAUCCUAUUUGUAGUGAAAACAGGUCCCGACAAACCCAGUUAUCCUCAAGAAGUAUUUUGUAUGACUUUAAAAACAUAAUCCGUGAAAUUAUCUCUUGGCUGAGAACAACAACAAAUCUUCAUGCAUAGCUUGUACAGAAAGACAUCAGGCAUACAAAAGAACACGCAAGCAUAAAAUAAACGACGCAGGGAAAACCAAAAAUACUAUAGAACACGUCGCUGUCAAAAGAACAUGAAUAAAUGAAAAUUACAAAACAAAGAAGUGAUGAGAAACCAAAGUACCCAUUUCAUAAUCUAGUUGCUUUUUAGUUUGCUUGCCAUUUUUAGUUCUUCAAUUUAGAGAGAAACGAUAAUUCAGCACAUGAAUAAAGUGAAAACGUAAAAGAUAUGUGGGAUAAGCUGACAGCCAUCCCUGAGUAAUGCAUUCACUUAUGAACCCCAAACACAACGAAACAAAAAUUCACACAUGAACUACAGCUCCGCUAUGUAACAAGAAUUAAAAGCAUCUCAAGACAAAAUGGCAAACUAUAAGAGCACUGUAAAAGUAAAAUUGCAAGAAAUCUAAUACUUGGAGGGCAAGUACUACUCAGACGAAAAUGAAAGAUUGAACUACCUCGCGUGGAACUGUGCCUUGGUUUUUUCCCAUGCUUACAGGAAGCUUUGCACUGAGCUCUUAUAGCCCAAAUUUUCUCUGAAAGAAAAAAACACAAUUUUGAAAUAAGAUUUUCAUAUUAUACCUUAAAGAGAAGAAUUAGAAAACAAAAAAGAGAACAAUGAGUACUAUUCAUCAUAUAUUGUUAGAGUGUGUGGUCCUUUGGUCCAAUGGUCCUGCAGCCAUAUUUACUUUAUAACUCUUUCUUUUAGUCUAAAAAACAUCUUGGAUCUCAAAUUAAUAUGAAUACGGAUUCAUACGCAUGCAUUGCAUUACAACCACAAUGCAAUAUCUCAUUAGAAAUCCCCACACAAAAUUUUUUUAUUUCUACUUUGAUUUUAGUUUAUAUUUUUUCUAAAGCACGAGGGAGCUAAUUUUUUUUUAAAUUUUUUUUAUUCCAAUAAUGUUAUAGGGUUGAAAGGAUAUUAUCAAUUUAAUUGAUUGUAUUUGAUUGGUGGAACUUCUAUAUCUAUAUUUCAGUUUUUCAAAUUCAGCACUGGGAGAGUCAUUCAUAAAAUGUUUGACAGUGAGAUUACCUCCAUGGAUUAUGCUCACAAUGGACAGCUCAUUUUCCGCAGUGAUGGGACAAUAUAUUUCAGUCAUUCGCCAUUCAAUCAAUUCAAACCGAGGAACAAGCAACAUCAAGAAGAGGAUCUGCCAUGUCAGGAUCACUGUCGUCCAAUUAAUACAAAAAAUCUAGAUAAAAACGAUCAAUUUACAUAAAAGCCUUUCAUUUUCUCAGCAACCAAGCAAAAGAAAAUACCUAUCCGUUAACACUCGAUUUGGGAGUAAAUGUUGCUGAAACUGGACUUCAAUCCCCUCAACCGCAACAACCGAAUCGAGGUGUGCAAGUCAUUGAAAAACUCACCCAAGAUUUCAAAAUCUGCAUAAAUAAAUAAAUAAGCACAUAAAUUAGCCAACCCUGUUAUGAUCCCACAUCGGGUACACAAGAAAUUGUGUAGUGGUACUUAAGUGCAAGGGGUCCUCCCACCUAUUGGACUAGUUUUUUGGAUUGGGCUCUUCCCUUGGGCUUGAGUACCUAACAUUGGUAUCAGAGCCUAGGUUCCCGACGCUGCGGGACUUGGCGAGUGGUGCAGCCUCGUGGUGCCGCCUUGAGAGUAUGGGCUCCUAAGGGUCUUGGCGACGGGCAAGGUAUGAAAUGCCGAUAUUAUCGCGAUAUUUCGCCGAUAAUAUCGGUUUUUUGAGUUACCGAUAUUUUAAUACUUAUCCACUGAGUUUUCGUCAAAAUAUCGCGAUAAUAUCAACAAUAUCGCGAUAUUACCGAUAAUAUCGCGAUAUUUUGGAGAUGUGCGAAUCGGAGAAGAACGCCGGAGCUUUUACAGCUCCGGCCGACUGUAAAAGAGCACCCUAGACUCCGAUCUAGGUAUCAAAAUGAAAUACAAGAUGAGAGGAAUGUUUUUAUAACUUCCGUUUGCCGUGAAACGGUCGAAGGUGUUCGGAAAGUUCGUCGACACCCACGGCCUCGCCAGAGAUGGGUGUGCCUAUUCCCGAGCCGAUUUCGUCCCAAAAACCUUGCAAAAACACGAGAUAGAACUUAAAUUUCACGUCUAAGCUUCAAUCUAGAAUAGAAUGAGGUAAACCCGAAGCUUACCUAACCGGAGAAAUUCAAGAAACUCGUCGGAGGGUUCCUGCGUCGCCGAGUUGCAGAGACGAGAAGGAGAGGGAGAAAGACGAGGUUGCUGAUGACGAUGGGUGUCUUCCUCAAGCAAGUGCGAUGGUGUGCGUGUGUGUAUGUGGGUCUCGGUGCAGAGAGAAAGGAGAGAGAUGAGAGUUUCGAGAGAGAGACGGCACCGACGAGAGCUAUUUGUUUUUUUUUAUCUUAAAAAGAGAGAGGUCUAAGAGAAAUGGGAAGAGAGGGCCGAGUGAAAUGAAAGGAGGUCCUUGAAUUAUUGAGAGAUAUCUCUGAGAGAGGCCUAGGAUUUCUAAAAGGUAAUCAUAAAUGGGAAAAAUGGGGCACAUCUUAGCCUUUAUUUUGGAAUCCUAAGAAGUUCACCACAUGGAUGCAUGACAUGUGUGCAUGCCAUGUUUGUUGAAUGGGAAAAGUCUGACACGGAAAGACAAAGAGUCGUUUGGGGCUCUGGGCUCGAGGCAAGACAGAAAGUGCUAGGGUUUUUUUCUGAAAUGAACAUAAGCUGCUAAAUUCGCAUAUAUUAUAGUUGUUGCUAAAGAUUGUCACUAGUGUGGACUUGGACGUGUUGGUCAACAUGUCCUCACAAUCCCCAAGUUCUCUGGUUCGAACCCUUGCGCCCAUCAAAUUUUCUUUCUUUUUGAUGCGCUUUUCCCAUGGCUCUAGGUCUUGAUUUCGAAUCCAAGUGAGCCCUUUCCUUUUUCUUUUUUGUUCUUUUUGUUUUAUUAUUUGUUUAUUUUAAUUUAUUUGUUUCUUUUAUGUUUUUCUUUUCUUUUAGUUUCUUUGUCUUAGGCGUUCGUUUUUAUUAAAGUAGGAUGUAAAAUCAAUUAUCUUAAAAUUAUGUGUUUUUAAAUUUUGGACUUGUUUGUUGGAUACUUUUUUUUCAUUUUAUCAUUCUUUUAUUAUGAAAAUAUGCUAAAAUAUGCUAAAAUAUCACUUAUGUUUUUGUGAAAAUAUGCUAAAAUAUUUAUAUAUAUGAUUUUGUUUUGAAUUCUUUUUGUACUAAUUCAUUAUAUAUAAAUGAUUAUGGUGUGUUUAAACUUCUUUAAUUAAUUACUACAUAUUUUCUAUACUCACAAUGUUUGCCAGCUCGCUAUAUAAUCAACUUAAAUCAGUUAAAUCCAUCAUGCAAUGCAUUUCCUUCCAAUUUUUUGUGAUAAACUUGUGAACACGGAAAAUUCCUGAAACGAAAGAGACAAGAACGAACGUGCACAAACAAAUAUUAUGUAUUUGAUGAUUUUGGGUUACAAUCUCUCUCUAUUUGAUCCUCUGAUUCAAUCUCCGUAAGGUGUGUAUUUGUGGAUGUGUGAUUGAUCCAAAGGGCCGUUGGGCUUGAUCUAAUGAUGAACGUUCUUCAAGGGCCGUGGACUUGAUCUUGAAGGUGGAUUUGAGCGGAUCUUCAAAGGGGCUUUUGGGCUUGAUCUUGAAGAACGGUUGGAUGUGUGGAUUUGUCGAAGUUGUUGAUCCAAAGGGCCGUUGGGGCUUGAUCUUGGAUGAACGGAUGAUGAACGAUGGUGCUUUCUUCAAGGGUCGUCGGGGCUUGAUCUUGAAUUGGUGGAUGGUUGAUCCAAGGGCCGUCGGGGCUUGAUCUUGGAAGAACGAUGAACGAAGAACGAAGAACACUUUCUUCAAGGGCCGUCGGGGCUUGAUCUUGAAUUGGUGGAUGAUUGUUGAUCCAAAGGGCCGUUGGGGCUUGAUCUUGGAAGAACGAUGAACGAAGAACAAAGAACGCUUUCUUCAAGGGCCGUCGGGGCUUGAUCUUGAAGGUGGAUGAUUGUUGAUCCAAAGGCUGUCGAGGCUUGAUCUUGGAAGAACGAUGAACGAAGAACACUUUCUUGAUUCUUCGGGAACCUGGACGCUUGAGAGCUUCGGAGUUUCAGAGCUUCAGAGCUUCAAGGUGUAAUAUGAAUUGGUCCCCCCUAAAUGAAUGAAAUGGGCUUGUAUUUAUAGAAUUUUCCAAGGCCUAAUUUUGAAUAUAAUAUCUCAGAUGAAAUAAGUCGUUUCUGCCAGGUGUUAACACGUGUCCUAUUUGAUGACUUUUCCAACUCAUUUCAAUUUUCGUUUAGUCACACGCUACGUGUAAAAUUUAUGUAAUACAUGAGCGUUGACACUUUGAUUUAUCGGUCAACAUUUAUUUACCGAAAUUUCGAUGUCUACAAAUGCCCCCACUUCAAGGCACGUCGUAUACCUGUGCUUGUCACGUGUAGGAGAUGCGUUUUGAAGUCCCUUACCGUAGAUGCCGAUUCAAGGGCCGUUGAAGCUUGAUCUUGAAUUGGGCUUGAGAUUUCUUCAAGGGCCGUUGAGGCUUGAUCUUGAAUUUUUGUUUGAAAUUUCUUCAGGGGCCGUCGAGGCUUGAUCUUGAAGGUUGAAAUUGGGCCACAAGGAGCUUCAUGUGGUAGAUGAUCUUUGGCUUUGGUAGUGGAUGAAUCGGCACGUAUUUUAUUGCGCUUGUUGACUUUCCACAGCUUUGAUCUUGAACUGGGUUGGAGGAUUUUCUGGAUUCCUCCAAUUGUUGAUUUUCCACAGCUUAUUCUUGAACUAGGUUUUGAUUCAAGGGUGGUAGACACUUGAUCUUGAAUCGGACUUGUGAUUUCCUCGAUGGCCGUCGAGGCUUGAUCUUGAAUUUGGUUGGAAACUUCUUCAAGGGCCGUCGAGGCUUGAUUCUUGAAGGUUGACUCGAACAUAUGGCAAGCAGGCACGAGGUGAAGGUGACGACUUGUUGCUUUGUUCAAUCUUUCUAAUUCACACCUGAGCAGUUUGGUCAACGGUAUGAUCCUCAAGAUUGAUGGGCUCUUCUUCCAGUUGGUGACUUGAUCUUUAAGGAUUUGAUUCAAGGGUGGUGAAUCGGCACGUGCAGCCCACAACGCCUAGUAAGCCGACCCAAGAAUUUGAGGGUCAAAACGGAUUCACCGUCAGAGUGAUUGCAACUUUGAUGAUAUGAGAUACUCUUGCUUUUGAAGAAGUAGUGGAUGAAUCAGCACGUGCUUUGUUGCGCUUGUCUCCACAUGCUUCAAGGUAUCAUCUUUAUUUCCUUUAUCUAUUCCUCAGGCAGAUGUGGCAUCUUCUCGAGUUCUUCAUCUCAGACUCUUUCUGCUGAGUUGACUGUUCAUGCUGCAUUCUUCUCUGCUUGUUCAUUCUGCACGUUGUCUCCACAUGCUGCAAGGUAUCAUUUUCACUUGCCUUAUCUGUUCUCCGGGCAAAUGUGGCAGCUUCUUUGAAAGUACAGUAGCAGCGGGAGGCGAGUACUCGAGAGCAGUGCUAGGUAGGCAAUCAGGGAAGGGUUCCAAGCAGUCGGUUCCUUACCCGAGUUUGAGUGGAAGUUCCGGCAUAUUGUUUUUUUUAUCCUUGUCUUUGUAGGUAAGAACAAGGACAAAGGAAAGGACAGGGAGAACGCAUGAUAUGAGAUACUCUUGCUUUCUACCCUGGUGAUAUGAGAUACUUUUGCUUUGGAGUCAUUGGCUUGCAGAGGUACCCCAAGGAAUAAGGAACACUGAAUGACUCGAGAGGCUUCGUUGGGAAAACAUCUUUGGAGAUGAAGAAAGACUUUGUGUGUCUGCCUUGCUAUGGAAGGCGAAGGUAGACAAUUAUAGGAAGUUCUUUGAUACCUGUAGAUGUACUAUUCUUUCACUCGUGUCGGCAACCAAUGCGUGAUUGAUCUAUAUGGCUUCACGUGCUUCCUUCUUUAUCAGAAAUCUUCGACAAACUGUCCGUAAUUUCCGCCAAGCUGAGUGUGCAUGUGAUAGGUGUUGACGCGGCUGAAAAAGACUGGCGCUUAUUCGAUAACUGGGAUCUGCGCUUCGACAAAUUACCCGUGAUUUCCGCAAAGCUGAGUUUGCGUGUGAUGGGUGCUGACGUGUCUGGAAAAGACUGGCGUCUCUUCGAUGUCUGGGAUCGGCACUUCGACAAAUUGCCCGUGAUUUUCGCAAAGCUGAGCUUGCGUGUGACGGGUGCUGACGCGUCUGGAAAAGCAAGAUGCUUCUUCGAUUUCUGAGCUUGCCUCUUCGAUUUUUGAAUGGCCUCUUCGAAUUCUGAGCUCGCCUCUUCGAUCUCUGAAAUCCCGUCGAGUGUUGAUUUUUUAUAGAGGCAUGCUGUUCGUUUCAAAGCACACUUGAAUUUUACUUGUGAAAACUCCCUUCUUGCACUUCUAAGAUCUUGAUUCGUCUGACCUCUUCUUCCUUCAACACUUUGAAAAUGUCUGGACCCUCCGACCGUCGUUUUGAUUUGAACUUUGGUGAAGAUGUAGUCCCGUCUUCUCCAGAUAACAUAUGGCGCCCAUCCUUCAUAUCCCCUACUGGUCCUCUUACUGUUGGGGAUUCGGUGGUGAAGAAUGAUAUGACCGCUGCGGUGGUGGCCCGAAACCUUGUCACUCCCAGAGAUAACAGACUACUUUCCAAACGGUCUGAUGAGUUGGCUGUUAAGGAUUCUCUGGCUCUCAGUGUGCAGUGUGCGGGUUCUGUGUCCAACAUGGCCCAACGCCUAUUUGCUCGAACCCGUCAAGUUGAAUCGUUGGCGGCUGAAGUGAUGAGUCUUAAACAGGAGAUUAGAGGGCUCAAGCAUGAGAAUAAACAGUUGCACAAGCUUGCACACAACUAUGCCACAAACAUGAAGAUGAAGAUUGACCAGAUGCAGGAAUCUGAUGGUCAGAUUUUACUUGAUCAUCAGCGGUUUGUGGGUUCGUUCCAACAGCAUUUGCCUUUGUCUUCUGGGGCUGUACCGCGUAGUGAAGCUCCUCAUGAUCAACCUCCAGCCCCUCUUCUUUCUGGAGUUCCACCGAGUGGUGUGACUUCAAACAGUCAACCUCCGACGUCUCUUUUCCCUAGAGCUCCACCGAGCACUGAGACACCACCUGAGCAAUAAAGACUCCCUCCCGUUUGUUUGCACAUUUGUAAAUUUUUUUUUUUUUUUUUUUUUUUUUUUUUUUUGGUAUGUAGAAUGCAAUUUUAUGUAAAAUUUCCAGAAAAAAUAAAUAAAAUGGAUUUUUAUUUCUCUUAAUGCUUUUUUUUUUUUUUUUUUUUUUGCUGUAUAUAUUAUACACACACAUUUAUACAUACAUAUAUACAUACAUAUAUAUAUAUUUUCACGUGGAGUGAUCCACCAUCCCAAAACCCAUUUUCCCUUUGUUUUUUUUUGCAUGGUGCUAGCCACCAAGAAUUCACCUUUUUUUUUUUUUUAAUUAAUUAAUUAAUUUAUUUAUUUAUUAAUUUAUUAUUAUUAUUUCUUUUUCGUCUGCUUUCACAUGGUGCUUGAUCCACCACUCUCUUUUCUUUUUUCACGUGGUGCCAGAUGCACGCCCCUUUUUUUUUCACGUGGUGACAGCACCACUCUGCUUUGCUCUACCACAUUUUUUUUUUUUUUGUAUAAAUUAGGAUGCUUGGCUGAGGGAUUUUGUAGGGAAGGACGAAGACGGACGGAGAGCCGGAGUUUGAGGAAGAGCUUCUCGGCCGGCUAGUCGUUUGACAGCGGUCUUUGAAGUUGGUGGCAGCUGCGAGGCAAGAGACGGAGGAGGACAGGGCAGCUGUGACGGACAGAGACGCCAUGGCAGGACCUCGAGGAGUUUUAAGAUACUGGUGCAGGUACUGGCGAGGUGAUUUUGACGAGAAAAGCAUGAAGAGGGCGUCGAGCACCAUGGGCCUGCAAUCCUUAAGGUUGAUCUCGUAGUCCUUGAGCUCUUGUUCAGGCAUGACGGGAUCCGCUGCGGUCUUUUUUAUCGGCAAUAAAGUUCUUUGCCUCAUAAAACAGCCCAGAACGCGAUAGAAGAGUUACGAACAAAGCACAAUGUGCAACUGUAGGUGUCUUGAUGCAGUUGAAGUAAAACUUCCCUUCCUCGACCAUGCGUGCUGCAACGCAAGCAUGAAGGACAGCAGCAUAGGUGAUUUCAUCGAUCUGUGUACUCGUUUCCUUCUCCAUUUGGCAGAAUAAAUCUACUCCGAUCUUUCCUUGUCCGUGUAAGCUGUACCCAGUUAUCAUCACUGUCCACGAAACAAGAUCUCUUGUACUUCGACCCUGGCAAAAACUUUUGCAGCUGAUUUGAUAAAUCCCGACUUGACAUACAUGUCCAUAAGAGCAUUCAGAACGGUGAGAUUCAUUCGAAUACCAUGUCGCAGCAAGAAUCCAUGAGUCUCUUUUGCCAUGUUUACCUGCAGACAUUCUUGCGCAUGCUGGGAGAACACUAGAGACCGAGAGCGGAUCAGGUUUCACCCCGUCUCCAACCAUCUGCCUAAACAGCUUAAGACCCUCAUUGAAGCAUCCCCUCUUCACAUUGGCAUGAAUCAUUUCUGUCCAAGAAAUGACAUCUUUCUCCGGUAUUUGGUUGAAAACUGCCCAAGCUUCGUCGACACAGCCACAGUCCAUGUAUAUUUUCAAGAUGGUAUUGCUCACCAACACAUCAUACUCCAAUCCACGUUCCUUGGCAACCCUGUGGACUUUUGUUCCAUCAAUCAACGAUCUCAACAUGCCACAGGCACCAGCCGCCGUCGCCACAGCCACAGAAUCUAUCUGUGCUCCGGACUCCACCAUUCUCUCAAACACAUGAACCGCCUUGCCGGGUUUACCUUCCGCAAUGUACAGCCUGGCCAGCAUUGUCCAUGAAACAGAGUCCGUAACCAGGGACUUGUCAAACAGCCCUUUCGCGGAGUCCGCGCUGUCGAGGCGACCGUACAACUCAAUGAGAGCAGCAACCACGUACCGGUCACCAGAGCAGCCGAGCUUGUGAGCGUGGGCAUGGAGUUGCUUGCCGAGGGAGAGAUCAACCGAAAGGCGAGAGGCAGACAAGACGCGAGGAAGAGUGUGUCUGUCGGGCGACGAACGCGCGGAUGAGCAUUUGGUGGUAAGUGGCGAGGGCGUGGUGGAAGUCGGCAUUGGCGAUAUGGGUCUGGAUAAGUCUGUUCCAUGCAAAGGUAUCUGAGUGGGGCAUUUUGUCGAACACCUUGUGGGUGACGGCCACCUUCGUGGUGGGUUUAGCAUUUCGGGAGUGCUUGUAGUGGGCUGUGUUGAUUGGGUUCUCGGUGACGAUCAAGCGCUGGAUUUGGGCGGAUGGAAGGGCUUCCAUUUCAGUUCAGUCGCACCCAAUUCAGCAUUGCCCGUACGGAUUCGAGCGCAGUUAUCGAGGAGGAGUUUCCUUAAGAAUAGAACCAAUCACCGACUCCUCAAACCCAUCCGGAUAUGCGAUUUUCAUGAGGUGCAAACAAGAACCCUCUGCCAUAAGUGGCAUGAUCACCCAAAGGUUUCUUUCAACGACAAAUGAACAAAACGCCCUCACGACAUUGGGAUGAUCUAUUAAUCUCAUCGUCUGCGCCUCCCUCCGGAUAUCCUCGAAAUUGCUAUUGCACCGAUCGAGAUCCAAGCACUUGACGGCGACGACUUCAUUGAAAGGGAGAUAGAUCGCUCUGUAAACCGUUGCGCUGGCGCCAUAUCCGACCUCUUCCAGAAGCUUGUAGUCGUUCGGAUUCGCCGAGUGAAGCCUCGAAUUGCUACCCAUCCUCCCCAUCUGUUCGAGGACUUGUGCUUCAGAUAUGUCGUUUUGAGGCUACGGGCUCUGCGUUUGGGCUGUGUGCCAGUUUGGGCUUAGUGUUGCUUUGGAGAGAUCUAGGUUUGGUUGAAGAGGUACGGUGAAGCCAUGGGCAAGGGAGAUGACGAAUUGGGCUUGGAGGCUGACACUUGGGCCUGGAUGGCCUCCUUUUGAGAGGCUUGCUGCUGAUGGAUAUACAUAUAUAUAUUUGUAUGUAUAUGUAUGUAAAAGAAAUCUUUUUUUUUUUUUUUAAUUUUUUAAUUUUUUUUUUUAUGUGACUGAACUCGAAAAAAUUGAACAUUCGAGCUGCCUACGUACCCCUCCAAAGAAGAGAUCAAGUCGCAACGUAGUUCAAAUACAUUUUUGGUAUUUUCUUUUUGUGUCGUUUGCAGUUUUAACUCAUGCAGGCAAGGAGUGUUGGUGUCGUUUGCAGUUCCAACUCUUGCAUACAAGGAGCGUUGGUGUUGCCUUUUAUGCUCGUGUAGGCCAGGAGCGUUGGUUCGUGCAGUUUAGGCUCGUGCAGGCGAGGAGCCUUUGGUGUCGUUCGCAGUUUCAACUCGUGCAAACAAGGAGCAUUUGGUGUCGUUCGCAGUUUCAACUCGUGCAGACAAGGAGCAUUUGAUGCCGUGUUGCAGUUUAGGCUCAUGCAGGCGAGGAGCGUUGGUGUCUUGUAGUUUAGGCUCUUACAGACAAGGAGCUUUGGUUCGUGCAGUUUAGGCUCGUGCGAACAAGGAGCAUUGUUGGUUCGUCAAGCGAUCCGAGAGAGUUGUUCCUCACAAUCUUCAUAGCAAGGAGCCUUGACCGCGUGAUUGAAGAAGUCUUCGGGUAAAAAGUCGCGCAUCGUGAUGGCAACAGACAAUCUUUGUGUCGUAGUUUCAUCAUCUUCAACACGUUCACGUUGCUUUGAAGGUUGACAAUAGCUGCUUUGCCCCCUUUUCAAUUGGCGGACUUGUGGAGGAGACGUAUGCUUCUUGUGCAAUUUCUUAGGAGUGACUUGAGUCCAUCCUUCAAUUUUGCUUGUCUUGGACGAUGCCCCCAGCGGUUGAGGUGAAAACUUUGAGUCGGAAGAGCCAGAAGUGAAGGUGGUAUAGUUUGACUUUGCCACUUCGUCAAGAUCUAGCUCGAUGAUUCCUUUCUGAGCCAGCUUCAUGAUGAGAUCUUUCAGCACGAAACAUUUUUCUGUCGGAUGACUGAUGAAGCGGUGGAAUUUACAGUACUUUGGACUGUCGGUGCGAUUCAUCUCUUCUGGCCGUUUGCACUCAGGCAAACCAAUCACCUUCUUUUCCAACAGGUCAUCCAGUAUGGCAACCACAUCAGAGUCGGGGAAUGGAUAAGUCUUCUCCUCAAGCUCCUUUAAAGUGCGUCUACGCAUUUCUUGAUCACGAAAAGCUUCGGUUUGAAUCGCCUUGCCUCGUGUGGAUAUUUUGACGGGAGAUGUGUUGACCGUCAUCGCUUCCUUGGUGGGUUUCCAUGCAGCCUUUUCCACCUUUGUCCCAAGAACUUUGUCGUUCUUGUAGUCGGCGAUUGGUUCUUUCUUCCCAUGAUGGGCGAUGCUCAACUCCAUGUCAUGGGCGCGAGUGGCCAAUUCCUCGAAGGUCCGCGGUUUAAUGCCUUGAAGGAUGUAUUGCAAACCCCAUUGCAUGCCUUGGAUGCACAUCUCGAUUGAAGAGGUUUCCGAGAGCCUGUCUUUACAGUCGAGGCUUAGAGUGCGCCAUCUGUUGAUGUAGUCAAUGACUGGCUCGUCCUUCCACUGCUUUGUGCUUGUUAGCUCUAGCAUGCUCACAGUGCGGCGAGUGCUGUAGAAGCGGUUGAGGAAUUCCCGCUCCAAUUGCUCCCAGUUGUUGAUGGACUCAGGCUCUAGGUCAGUGUACCACUCAAAGGCGUUUCCUUUUAGUGAGCGCACAAACUGCUUGGCGAGGUAGUCCCCUUCGGUCCCUGCGUUGUUGCAAGUUUCAACAAAGUGGGCAAUGUGUUGUUUCGGGUUUCCCUUUCCAUCAAAUUGCAUGAACUUUGGCGGUUGAUAACCCUUCGGCAUCCUUAAGGCGUCGAUUUUCUUUGAAUACGGCUUCGAGUACAACCCGGAGGUAUUUGAGCUCCCUUCGUACUGUGCCUUGAUGGUGUUGGUGAUCAUCUAUUGCAGCUGCUGGAUAGAAAGAGAUCCCAUGAGUGCCGCUGCUUGGUCUGGCUCCGGCUUUGCAUCGUUUUUCUCCACCUGAGGCUCAUCUUCUUCGUCAUCUCUUCUCUUUAGUGGAUCAUUCUCUGGGUCGGGUUUAUCGCCGUCCUGCGCCUUUAGUCGAUUGACGAGUGCUGCAAUUUGCAAGUCUUUUUUCUUCCACCGUUCGGGUCAGCCUUGCGAUUGCUUCAUUCAUCUGAGCCAGUUGUUCUUCAACGGAGGUAACGCCGAUAGUCAUGACUUGUGCGACCAAUAUACGUGACUUUCCUUUAGACAUCCAGGAUGCUGAUGAAGAACGUCGUUGGCUGCUUUGGGAUGUCAUCUUAUGUGCCUCAGCAUCAUGCUUCGGUGCCCCCAGCGAGGUCAGGUUGAUGACAGACUCGCACCUUGGAUGCUCCCCUUGCUCUUUUAGCGGCACCAAUUUUGAAGUAGCAUGUUGGGGAGCGGUUGUGGCGCCAAUGGAUUGUCUGUUUGCGGCAGAAGUGCUUAGGAUCCUUCCCUCAGUGGUUGCGAGAAUGGCUUGUCCUUUGCUUGAUGCCAUUGACUUUGAGGUGUGCUUGGAUUCCUUGAACGAAGAAAGAGAUGAGAGGUAGAGAUUGUCCCACCGGGCGUGCCAAUUUGUGAACACGGAAAAUUCCUGAAACGAAAGAGACAAGAACGAACGUGCACAAACAAAUAUUAUGUAUUUGAUGAUUUUGGGUUACAAUCUCUCUCUAUUUGAUCCUCUGAUUCAAUCUCCGUAAGGUGUGUAUUUGUGGAUGUGUGAUUGAUCCAAAGGGCCGUUGGGCUUGAUCUAAGGAUGAACGUUCUUCAAGGGCCGUGGACUUGAUCUUGAAGGUGGAUUUGAGCGGAUCUUUAAAGGGGCUUUUGGGCUUGAUCUUGAAGAACGGUUGGAUGUGUGGAUUUGUCGAAGUUGUUGAUCCAAAGGGCCGUUGGGGCUUGAUCUUGGAUGAACGGAUGAUGAACGAUGGUGCUUUCUUCAAGGGCCGUCGGGGCUUGAUCUUGAAUUGGUGGAUGGUUGAUCCAAGGGCCGUCGGGGCUUGAUCUUGGAAGAACGAUGAACGAAGAACGAAGAACACUUUCUUCAAGGGCCGUCGGGGCUUGAUCUUGAAUUGGUGGAUGAUUGUUGAUCCAAAGGGCCGUUGGGGCUUGAUCUUGGAAGAACGAUGAACGAAGAACAAAGAACGCUUUCUUCAAGGGCCGUCGGGGCUUGAUCUUGAAGGUGGAUGAUUGUUGAUCCAAGGGCUGUCGAGGCUUGAUCUUGGAAGAACGAUGAACGAAGAACACUUUCUUGAUUCUUCGGGAACCUGGACGCUUGAGAGCUUCGGAGUUUCAGAGCUUCAGAGCUUCAAGGUGUAAUAUGAAUUGGUCCCCCCUAAAUGAAUGAAAUGGGCUUGUAUUUAUAGAAUUUUCCAAGGCCUAAUUUUGAAUAUAAUAUCCCAGAUGAAAUAAGUCGUUUCUGCCAGGUGUUGACACGUGUCCUAUUUGAUGACUUUUCCAACUCAUUUCAAUUUUCGUUUAGUCACACGCUACGUGUAAAAUUUAUGUAAUACAUGAGCGUUGACACUUUGAUUUAUCGGUCAACAUUUAUUUACCGAAAUUUCGAUGUCUACAAAACUAAUAGAUAAUUGACUAAAUAAACAUCCUGCAAAGUUUCAAUAAAAAUUUCCAAGUUUUUCUUACAAUUUCUGUGGUUUCCAUAUUAUUUUUAUCGAUAUCGAUAAUAUCCCGAUAUUUCAAUCGAUAUUUCCGUGUUUUUGGACUACCGAUAUUUCCGAUAUCAUCGAUAUUUUAUACCUUGGCGACGGGGGACUUGCCGACUGGUGCCACCGUGGACGUUGGGUCUUUCGAAAUGUGGUGUAAUGUUAUGAUCCCACAUCGGCUACACAAGAAAUUGUGUAGUGGUACUUAAGUGCAAGGGGUCCUCCCACCUAUUGGACUAGUCUUUUGAGUUGGGCUCUUCCCUUAGGCUUGAGUACCUAACAAACCCAUAAAUCAAAGAAAUCAAAAUCCACCCAGAAUCAAAGAAAUCAAAAUCCAUCCAGAACCAAAGAAAUCAAAAUCACACACAGAUAUACAAGGUGUACAGUACUGACAUGCCUUAAAUGAUAUUAUUCACAAGAUUUAUAAAGCUCAUGUCGUAAUACUUGUGCAGAAUCUAUCAUUCACGGCGUCACUUUUGUGCAAGUUGUAAAUAAAAUUAUUCACAAUUUAAACAUUGUGUGUCGUAUUUGACAAUUUAUACUACGCACUUUCUUUUUCUUUUAAAGCUUUGCGUUAUGUCGUGAAGUUGACUUUCUAUAUAUUUGGGUUGUACCUUUUAUGGCGCAAAUAACACGUCGUAAAUAAUGGCUUUUAGCACAGAAGUUUUGUGGUAAAGAAGCCCGCGCACUAAUUCAUUCUCGCGCCUUCUCUUUUUUAUUUAGCCGCUUCUUUUUUUAUUUUUUAUUUUUUUUGUUAAAUUCCCCUCAAAUGUUAAAAGAAAAAUUAAUGAAAUAUUUGAAAACUUUGAGUUUUAACGAUAAGGAUAAAAUAAAAGGUAAAAUGAAUAGUACCAAAAUUGACUUUUUAGUGUUAAAAUAUGAUUUUUCGUUAAAGUGAACAGUGCCGAAAGUUUUUCGUUAAAGUUCAAUGUUAAAAGGUUUGUAUUUUCUUGGUAAACUUGAAAGACAAACAUUGCAAUUGCAUUUUCAUUUACCCAAUAUUAAUUGUCGAGAGCCCACCCCCUUCCCUUCUCACUGACAUCGUAACUCUCUCCUCUCCAUCGAUCUCGCUCCAUCUGCUCGCCGUCGCUCUAUAUGCUCGUCAUCACCGUCGAUUCGUCUGCUCGUCGUCACCGUCGCCCAUCUGCUUUCCGUCACCGUCGAAGUGCCCCGCCAUUCAAGAUCUGAAAUCCCCAAUACAGGGUGCUUUGCGGCAUUUCGUUCUCCAAAACUUUAGGUAUGCUCUCAAUCUGUAUCAACCCUAUCCUGUCCCCUCUAGAUUUUUGUUUAGUCUCAACUUUAUGGUGCUUUUCUUAGAUUUGUUCUAUCACUGUAAUUUUAAGGGAUUUUAGGUAAUAAAUUUGGUUGAGAAUCUCAGUUAGGUUUGUAAUUGUUUUCUUGGUUGCCUGGGUUUGAGGAUGAUUAAUCCACUUUCUGAAGUUUAAUUACUUUGAACUUUGAUUUGUGGGAAACUGCAAUCAAAAUGUUGCUAUGGCUUUAUAGUUAGAAUCGAUUGUGAGUCUUUGCACCACAUCAAGCAAUACCCCGGUGUUGUAAUUCCGAGGUUUGUAAUUGCCGCUGUUAAUGAUGGUUUGGUCCAUCCUUUUUAGGGAGAUGACUUCAAUGAUUGAAACUAGUUUAUCAUUAUUUCAGAACUCUGUAAUACGAGACAUGAUAUUCCAAAAAAUAUUUGCAUGAAUAUAUGUGCAUUGACUGACUAUUUUUCAGUCUUUGAUAGUGGAGAUAACUCUUUCAGGUCAUAUGUAGUUCUUACAGAAAUUGUAUGGUAUUUUGGUUGGUUUUGUGUUCUGGUUGUAGCAAACUGGUGGAUGCCCUGAGAUGAGUAGUUAUCUACAAAGUGGAUGGAUCCUGAAGAGUACAAAGUCUAAGGCAUUUUAUGUAAAGGUAAAUCCUGUUACUUUUAAUUACUUAUAUGUGAAUGCCUGCCAUUUGAAGUAAAAAUUCUUUUAGCCAUUACAUUCUUCAUAAAGAUCUUUAUAUGCUCAAAAGAAGGAUUUUUUUUAGAUGCCAUGUAACUGGUGGUGGCUAGCCUCUUCUUUUUAAGACUCUAGUGUGUUUCAAUUACACUAGUCAAUCGUUCUUAUGUGUAUUAUGUUUUGUUGAUAAGAUGGCCAAGACAAAGUUGUAGAGCCCUAGUAGCAGGGUGCUGUUGGCAUUUAUAUUUUUCUUUUGAAGGGGUGUUUAUUGCUUUUAUACUUUCAUUGUUUACUCUCAUACAUACAAUACUGAAAAAUAAGCAUGUAUUGACGCGUAAUUUUAGAUCCAUAUUUAUACAUAAUUUUGAUUACAUGUCCAAAUUACCCAAGAUUCUUUUUCCUUUACAAAUUUGUGGAGUGCAUUACAUGGAUAUGAUUCAUGUAUGAAAUACACAUGACUCUCACUAAUUUAAGGGCAGCAUCAUUGACUGUACAGUUUUCAAUUCUUUAUAAUCAUGAGUAUAGACAUUUUUUAAUUCUUUAUAAUCAUGAGUACAACAAUAGUUUCUAUAACAAAAUUCUGUUAAAUAUGUAAUAUCAGUAUUUGUUUUCCAGGUUCAUUAGUUGAGGAUGAUUUUUCCAAGAAAGAAAAGAUCGCGGCUUUCAGGCCGAUCUAAAGAACAUUAUGUUGAUAUUGCACCUGAGAUCUUACAAGAAGAGGACGAAGAAGUACCAGAUGACCUAUUUACAGAGGAGUCGAAUCAAACUAAAAGAAAGAGGGGUCCUACUAGAAUGAAGACAAUUUCCACAAAUGAUGGUCAACGAAUUGAGAUUGAAUGGAAUGAAAACGGCCAGUUUAUUGGUGACGGAUCUAUUGACUUAUCUUCUUACAUGGGUUCUUUGGUCCGAGAGGUUGUCCCUAUAACAUUUGAUACUUGGAAGGAUGUUCCUAAGAAAACAAAGGACAUCCUAAUCAAGGUAAUAUGCAGAUAAGUCAAUUCUGAUCCCUCUACUUCAAGGUGAACAAUUUAUAGUUUAUAAAUUUUACUUGUGUUAAUAUAUAUUUUUUGGUAAAUGUUAUGGAUAUUUUAUCAAAUCAGAGAGUAAAUUCGUAUUAAGUGAAGAUUGGCAAAGAACAUAUUGUUUUGAAAGGAUGAAUAAUGUUUGCAGAUCACAUAUAUCAGUAGUUGUGAAGUCCAUAAGAGAAGCAAGAAAUUGGAAAGCAAGGCUUCGUCUAAAACCAAAUAAUGUCAAAUUAAUUCAAGAUUGGAAGACUUCCCUUGCAAAGUGUAAGCUCAUUUUCCUUUUCUUUUAUUUCUAAGAUUAGUUAUCUUCUUUUGAGUUCAAAAUUGGGUCAGAGAAAUCAAACUGAUAGUAGUUAAAAGUCUAUUUCAACACCAAGCCUUGUCUACACAAGAAUUUGGUGUUAGUUAAACAUGUGUAUGAUUCUAUCUUGAUUGCAUGUUAAUUUAGUUUGAAGAUAGAUUUGGUACAUGCUAGCUAAUUGAUACGUGAUAUGAAUCUUUGGUUUCCUUUUGAUAGGACAAAAGCGAAACAUUCAGAGAGAUGAAGUCUAAGCAACUCCGCACACAUGUAGUCGCAAGGGAUAUGGUAGGUUGGCGGAGGAUUUGGUAAUUACAUUUCAUUCUAGUGCCUUCUUUUCUACAGGACAAGAACAAUUUACUAAUUUUAUUCUGUGUUCUACUGUGUGUUUACUACAUUUAUGUUUCUAUUUUGUAGAAAAGAAAAAGUGUAGACCCUUCUCUAGUUUCUAGAGGUGAUGUUUGGAUUGCAGCACAUACUAAAAAGGGUGGUGGACCAUCCAAUUUGCUUGCUGCAGAGACUAUUGUAAGUAAUUUUUAACCAUUUAUUUCUUCUUGUUUGUUGAUAUGCAAUGAUGAAUGAGGUCUUAACUUUGAUGUGCAACGUUAGGAAAAAAAUUAAGCAAUAUGGAAAUGGAUCAUCAUCUGGUUUUCGAGGUGACGUUCUUUCCAAAGUUUUUGGUGCUGAGCGACAUGGUCGUGCAAGAGGAGUUGGAGGUGGUGUUCCUCCUACAAAGCUUGGAAUAUUUUCACAACAAAAAUUGCGUAAUCACCAAAUGGAUGAAAAGGUGCACAAUUUAACUAAUCAGGUCAGAGCACUGACAGAAUUGGUGUAUCUUUUUAUGAAAAAUCAGGUUAGUGAUUUAAUAACAUUGGUAUCAUAUUGAAUAUUUGUGAAAUCAGUUUUAGUGACACAUCAAAUCACAGGGUAAUGAUCUACCAAGUGAGGCAUCUCCUGACACACAGGUUGCAGCUCCUGAGGCACAUGUUGAUACUGUCGCAAGAACUGAAACUUGUCUUUCCCAUUGCGCAACAAAUGAAUCGUGGUGGCGAGGUUGAUACACUUUUUCAAUGAGCCUUCUAACUAUUAAUGCUCAUUGACUCUGUUAAAAGCUCUGCCAUUUUCAAUCUAACUAGACACUAGAAAUGAUCAUUGACUCUGUUAAAAGUUAUGAUGUUUUGGUCCUUCUCCAUAGUUGCGCAUCUACUGAUGUCUAUUUUUUUUCAAAUACUGCAGGUUAUUUCUGAAAACAUUGAAACAUCGUGGUGUACCAGAUGGUUUGAUUAUAAGACACCUUCCUUUUGGUCCACCAACUUAUUUAUAACUGCUAAAUGGUACGUAGUGUGAUAAUUUUCAAAUAUUUUGAUAUUAAGACAGGUGUAGGACAACAUAGAAAUUCUUAGGGCCUUCAGCAACAAAAUUAUGAAAAAGUGAGUGAGAUACAAUUAAAAAAAUGAAAGAGAAGGAUCAUGAUUCAUGAUCUAAAGGUUUGAAUAGGGUAGAAAGGAUUUAGUUUCGUUGUUAAAAUCGAUUGUGAGUCUAUUGUUAUUGUAUUGUCAAUUUGUUUAUUUACUUGAACUUCCUAGUAUCAAUUUGGUUCGAUAUAUCUAGCACCACCAUAGAUAUAUCUAGUAUCAAUUUGGUUAGAUAUUGUCAAUUUGUUAUUGUAUUGUCAACUAUAGAAUGUGCAUCAGUUGUAAAAGGAACAAAACAAUUCAGAUUUUUUGUUUAUGUCCAAACUUAGAAUUGUAUUGUAAUUGACAAUUUCUACUAAUUAAUUUAAAGUAUUUGGAGUUUAAUAUGUUUAUGAUCAAUAUUGUUAUCCUUCUAUUGUAUCAGUUUAGAUGUUAUGAAGUGAGGUCUGUCUAAAAAUGAUAUGCUAAAUAUAGAUGUAAAUUACGGCAUCUAAAAUCAGCAAUAAUUGUUGAUGGUAGUCUUUUUUUACGAUGCACGAUGUAUGCCGUAAUCACCUUCACAAUAUUACGACACUCAACAAAUGCUGUAUCAAAUAUAAAUUACUGCACACAAGUAUGUCGUAAUUGUUUUUCAGUAUUACGACACCCUAUUAACGCUGUAACUAAUACCAAUUAAGGCGCGUAGGACAUGCCUUAAGAACAUUUAUGGCGUGUUUUACUUAAAUUAUUCACUACUAUUAGAGUACGUCGUAUUUGUCAAAACAUCUUUUACAACAGGGGCUUUUACUGCUUGGAGGCUCACGUCGUGAAUUUCCAUUUACGGCACCCUUUGUGCGCCGUAAAAGGCCAAUUCUAUUGUAGUGAUCCAUGGGUACAUUUUUAAUCUACAUGUUUCGUUUUAAUAUAUCUAUUGCUAUAAUAUGUUUUGGUUGGUUCAAAUUCGUUUUACAUAAAUAUAUGGGUACAAAGUUUUUGGAGAAUAUUAUGUAAAAUGGUUUUUAAGGUUGUUGCAUUUUAUGUACCCACAUAUGCAUGUCUAUAAAACAAUGUGGUAUGAUGUACAUUCUUUUCCUUGAGUUUUUAAAUGUACCCAUGAGUUUUCUUGUAAAUUCAGUAUGUAUCCAUAUGCUAUUUAUGUUAUGGGUACAUAAAUUAUUUUUGGUCUAAGUUGGUGGGUACAUUGCUUUUGUAUGUAUGAAUUCAUUGGGUACAUUAUUUCCCUUAAUACUACUCAAUAAAAUUCACAAAAAUAUGUGCAGUGUGCAUGAAUUUUUAUUGUAGAAAUUGUUUUUUUUUAAUUUUUAAUUUUUAAGUCUCAUAAUUCGUGAAUUUUGUACAUAUUGAUCCCAUAAAUUUUUGAAUUUUAUUAAAUUUCUUUUAGACUUGAUCGAUUGAUUGAAUCUCAUAAUAAUCCCUUAAAUGUUCCAAUCAAUAUUUUAAAUUACAGCUUUUUAUUUAAGAUUUCAAAAAGAUGACAUGAAAAUAUAGUAAUACUAAAAUUUUAUUUUAAAUUACAUUUGUGUAACAAUCAAUGGUAUGUUAAAACUGGGCAAAAAAAAAAGGUAUAUUAAAAAAUUAUAAUUUAUUCUUUUUUUCAUAACUGUCUUCUGCUUAGAUUAAAUUUUUACCAAUUUGGGGGAAUUAGUUCUUACCAAUAUAUAUGCACAGUAUUUGCUUUUUACCUGGGCUUAACACAUGAUUAAUUACUUUCCUACCUGCUAACGCGUUGAUUUGCGCAUCCAAAGUAUUAUCAAAGUCACUGCCACCAAAAAGGUGCCCACUCCACAACCUUUGGUUGAACCAAAGAACAUCACAACAAUAAGGAAAUCGUUAAAUCUAUCUCCGCAACAUUUUUAUUAAUCAUUAGAUAGAUUAAACGAUUCCCCUGUUCAUAUUGUGUUCUUUUGUUGAACCAAACCAUGUCAACAAAAUAUAUCUAUGGUUAAGCAUCUAGAUUCAUGCUUUUGGAUGUGCAUCUUAAACCCCUCAAUGAAUAGCCAAGCAAUUUAUCAUGUGUUUACAGUAGGUCAAAAGAAGAAAGUGUUUGUCUAUAUAUUGGUAGGAACCAAUUCCUCUGAAGAGGAGAGAUGGAAGUGAUGAUAAUACUUUAAAUAAUCAAAGCCCAAACAUUUUAUCAAAUUUCAUCUCUGUACUCCACGGAGACACUAAAUGAGACAUAUCUGGUCCAUCUCUGAACAUCUUUUCUUACCGUUCUUACAAUAGAAAGGGCACAAAAUUGACUUACACAGUCUUGCACAAUACUCACUUUGCUUCAACCCAUAUUUCACUUUGUCAAAUCAUACACGUUCCUGCAAUAGGUGAACUCAUAUGUAUCUACCACUUCUUGCUAAUUUUAAUUUUUCCAUUCCCAUUUUUGCUACAAGUUUCACAUAAAUUUUUUAUUGCACUUGUCAAUUCUUUAUACUUUUUUAUUGUAUUUUUUUUUUGUCUUUUUUUUGUAUUAAACAAUUACAUGUCCUCCAAAAGUUUUGCUUAUUGCCCUAUUUCAUCAAGCUCGGUAUAAAUAGAUCUUAAUUUUUUACUACAGUUAAAUACAUGGACAUGCCUCCACAAAUACAAAUUAGUUCUUGCUUAAAUACUUUGUGUGUUUACAUAGAAAAUGUUCCCAUCGUCUACCAAAAUCCUCCACACAUGAAAACAAAAAUUCUUACUCAAAAAUACAUAUUACAAUACCACCAUAUCUGUUGUUUUUUAUUAAAUUAACACACUGUUUUCAAUUUUAUCUUUAACACAAAAGAAAAUGCUCUUACACAAUAUGCUUGUUUACAUUUUAUAACUUAUCUACCACAUGUUAAUCGCAAUUAUAUAAAUAGGAAAACACGUGUCAAUAGAAGUGUGAUGCAUGCUACUUCGUUAACAAUAGUGGCAACUAAACAAUUAAAUAAUUUGUUUCAAUUAGUUAGUACAUUUUAUAAAUUUCUUAAUUAGAACUGUUUCAGUAUAUUCAAUACAUUUUUAAACAACUUUCCAGUUAGUUGCCCAAACUAAUUAUUCCAGCUUAUUCAUAGUAUAAUACCAACAAUUUAACAACCAAUGAUACUUCGUUUAACAUAAACUUCAUUUGGAAAAAACAAAAAAAUAUCUUUUUCUCUGCUGAAAAAUCCAACAGAGUUAUUGAUGCAGAUCAGUUAUACCAACAAAUUACCAUAGUUUACCCAAUGCUAUACAGGUUUGACUUUUGUUUAUAUUCUUGGAUCUGUUGCUUGGUUGUAUAAUUUGGUUGUGUGUUUUGUUUCAGGACAAUUUGUUCUUCGUUUCUUGAGGCUUUUGUGUGUAGAUUUGAAACCGUUUAGCUUUCAAGCCGUGUAUACUCAAGGUAAAUAAUUUCGUUUUUUUCUUUGUAACCUUUUUUGUAAGAAAUUUUUAUUUAAUGUUGUGAGAGUUGUGUUUUCUAGAGUAUGAAAAUUGAAUCUUUGUGAUCUUAUAUCCUUAGAUAUGUUUCUUGGUUAUAUGAUUUGGCUGUGUGCAUUGUUUCAGGACAAUUUGUUCUUCGUUUUUUGGGGCUUCGGUGUGUAGCUUUGAAGCCUUUUGUAGUCAACAUAAAUAAUUUUAUUUUUCUUUGUUUCUAGUCUUCUUUGAAAGAAUUUCUUAGUUAAUAUUCUGAGAAUUAUGUUUACUAUAGUAUGAAAAUUGAAUCUUUGUGAUCUUGUAAGUGAUGUAACGUCAUUGCAACAUGUAUGACUGCCAUUAUCGAACAUGAAGAGCUUUUUGAUUUUUGUACUCCGUCCUUUCAUACGAUCUGACUCAAAAAUUGUUUCAUCACAGGUUCUAACAUGAUUUUUGCGACGUCUUAUGAAAAUACAAUGUCACUUCUGGUAUUCCAACUUAAACAAAUUACAAGGGAUGUCUAGUUUUAAACCUGCAGUUAGUAUAUACUAAAACGACGGUUUUGGCCCUGCUCUCGACUUCUUCAGAAACCUCGAGAAACUUCAAACUGAGAAAGCUUCUCCCUUCCAUCUCUGCUACGCGAUCUCUGCUUUGCGAUCUCUGCUUCCUCCGUGAUUUCUUCCCUCCUGAUCGACAUCUAUUCGAAUUGAAAACCUUCUGGAGCUCUCUUCCCCAAAUUUCAGCAGCAACUUUGCUCCAGAUCUUUCCAAUUGAAAUUCCUCUCCUUCACAUUUUGCAUAUUGAAUUUCGCAUCAUUAUCAUCUCCCUAGAACCUAGGAGUUUGGUUCGGUUUCGAGUUUUCCGACGGAAAUCCGGCGACAGCGGCCAUCGAGGUUGGUCUGAAACUAUUCCUCAUCACCACAAGUACUUUCUACACCUAUUACACUUUAGAAAAAAUUUCAUGAUUUGGUGGAAUCCAAUUUAAUGAUUAGAAAAAUUUUCAUUAAUUUUCUGGGUUCGUGGGUUGGAGGUGGAUUAGAAAUUUUUUCAUUAUUUUUCUGGGUUUGUGGUUUUUUUCCAAAACGUUUUUCCUUUCUACUAAUCCAAGUUCCUUCACAUCAAUCUCUCUGUUUCGUUCUUGAUCUUCCGCGAGUAGAAUACCUCUCCUUGCUCUCGAGCGCGUGGGCAGUCGCUCCAAGGCAGCCCAUGACGUCAUUUUCCGAUUCGACUCGGAGGAGGUUGGCUGCUCUUCUUGGCUGAGCUUCAUGGCUGGCCGAAUUCCCCUAUUCCCUUCCUCUUAUACUCUUUUGUAUUCGUUCACCAAAACAAUAGGAAAACGUCUCCGUCUGUUUGAUUGACGGCGAAGAAAAAAAGACGGAGAUAAAAGCCUGACGGAAGCUGAAAGCUUGGACUCUGUUUGUAUUUUUAAUGGAUUUUCAGAACACAGGUCAAGAAUACUGCGAUUUGAGAAAGAAAGAAAGAACCACGUUGACAUAAUAUAUUCACAAUAGGCGUACAUAAAGCUUUACUGUGGUUCCAUUUUUUUGCAUAUUUCAAAGGCUCUGAAUUGUUAAGGGAAUUAGCCUUUUGUUUUAGGAAGAACUUGGAACCCCCUCCGUCCAUUCUAUUCCCGAUGGAAUUAACACUUAGAUAGUACUAUGACAAUGUGUCAUUAAUUGAUGCAUACCUGUAUAAAUUUAGGCCAAGUGUUUUAUACACAAAUUGAUACAGAUUAAGCUUCUGGGUCGAAAUCAUAUACCGGUGAGCUAACUACACAAUGAUACAUUCUUAUCUGUUAAUUAUCUUUGGUUACCAGCUAUCCAUGUUGCUGACAUAUUAAACUACACAACAUCUAUUGUAAUUUAUGUCUUAUUAGUAUCAUCACUUUUGUUCUUUAUUUCAAUGUCUAACAUAAUGAUCUGGUUUCAAUUUGCUACAGGCAUUAUUUCCAGACAAUAGCUAUGGUUUUGAUUGUAGCGGUGACUGAAAAAUUAUUCCGAAACUAACAUUUGAGGAAUUCAAGGUUUGUUAGUUAAUUUGUACAUCAGAAUACCAUGACAAACUAUGAAGUUGUAAUUGUUGACCUUACAAUGUAUCUUUUUUGGUUUGGAGCAUUAGACUUAUAUGUGUUGCUUUCACUUCAUGAAGGCUAACUCUUUAUUUUAGGCCUUAGAAUAUAAUUUUUUGGAGAAUCUACAUUGUUGAUAAUUUUUUGAACAAUAUUAUCCCCAAAAUUUCUCCGCAUGUUACCCUCAACGUAGACAUCAUAUAACCAUCAUUGAACUUCUGAACCAAAAAUUUGAGUUUUAUGAUUAUAACUAAACGUCUAUAAACACAUGAUACAGAUUGAGACGAAUGUCAAAUUUAAAAUGGCAUUAAUCAGGACAGCUGCAAACUCUGAUUUGCGGCCUUUGAAAUGGAGCAGUUACUUCUUGCUUCACUUCAACAGCAUAGUCCAGCUUCUAAAUUCAGUUCUCAGGUAUGAGGUUUCUCAGUUACCUCUUUUUUGUAAUAAAACAUUUGAUCAGUACUUGCCAGGAUAUCCAAUUAAUUAGGUCAGUUUUUGUUAGCGGUAAUAAUUUGUUUUUGUAGCUUUAUAUGUGUCUCUGUCUCCAAAUAUGAUGAUCUCUUAAUUUGCUUCUAUAGCUUUUGUAAUAUAAUGAUCUCUUAAUUUGCUUUUGCAUAUCUUCUUUGCUUCCUCUGCUAGCUCUAUAUGAGAUUCCAUCUCCAAAUAAUUAUUCCUUAUUUCCUAUUUUUACAGGAAGCAAAUCAUUGAAUACACAUGGAAAAUUAAAAGGGUUUUAGUUUUUGGAGUAGUUUAAAUUUUUUGUUUGUUAUUGCUUGUAUUGCUGUUAAAUAUUUGAUGGGUAGUUUGAAAUGGGGAACUUGGUUGAUUGAGUAUUAACUUUUAUUAAAUUAAUAUUCUUAUUCAAUAUUGAAUUAAGACUCCUCUUAUUAAAUUAAGACUCUUAGAGUGCGUUUGUUGCGCCAGACUGUCUCGGACUGGACUAGCUGCCGGGACUAAGCUGGACUGGCUUAGACUGGACUAAGCUAGACUAACUUAGUGAAGCGUUUGGUGUAAUGUCGGACUAAGAAGCAGGAUAAGAAAAACAGUACUGUUCACCAGAUUUGUGUUUGCUUAGACUAGGAUUACAAAUUUUUGCCAUUGUGUAAUAGAGUAAUGCUACAAAUCUCAUGAUAUGGGUUAAUUGGAGCAUAUUUUUGCCAUGUAUAUUAUGAAUCUUAAAAAAAAUUGACAAUUGUUUUGUUUCUAUUACCUGCUAAUAGAAUUGGGUUUAAUUUGCAAAUGUAGCUUAGUUUAAACUCUAUCACCCAACAGAAGAAAAAUAAUAGUGCCCAAUACAUGCAACUUCAACAAAUACAAGUACAUAAGAAGAUCUCCAUAAUUUAGAAAAUCCUAGUUAACAUUAGUUAACAUUAGCCAAAAUAGAUCUCCAUAAUUUACAAAAUGGCUAGUUAACAUAAGCCAAAAUACUAGUGCAAAGCUAAGUUAUAAGCCAUAACAUAAGAUUGUAUGAUUAAUAAAAUACAUCCAUGUUAACAUUAAUAAAAUACAUCCAUGUUAACAUUAGCCAAAAUCCUCAUCCGCUUGCGUUGUCGCUUAAAAGCCUUUGGACGAACACUUUCUUGAGUUCCGGUUUGAUUGCCCUGAACACUCCCACAUUUUUUGGUUUAUCCAAAAUAAGAGACAAUGCAUCAAUUUGAUCCAUAGGAGAGAGACCCAUUACUUCAAGUUCAUUAGCUAUGUCAGUAUGAUCUGCAAUACCUUGAACUAAAGCUUCAGUUACCAUUUGCAUCCUCUUCCCACUUUCAACAUAAAAAUCUUUCAGUCCACUGAUAAUUGCCUCGGUUCCAUCACUUGAAUUUCCCACAGCUCUUUUCCUCUUUCUUUGGCUAUUUUCAGAUGGGGUGCUUUGUUGGCUUUGUUGGUUCAUUGAAGAAACAAAAUUUUCACCUCCAAUAUCACUUUCACCAACAUGAUCAUGACUUUGUUCCUCCACCAUUUGAGCAGGGGUUUCGGCUACAUUACCCGUAGCCCGAUCUUUUCCAAAUAUAUAUGCAAAUCUAUCAAACAGUGGAAAAGGUUUGCUUCUCCAUCCAUCGGCUUCUUUAUUUCUCUAAGAUUAUAUCAACAUAGCAAAACUAAAAUUUAGCAUGCGUAACAAAUAUAGCAGCAAGAAUAUAACUAAUGUAUAAAUAAAAUAGGAUAUGAACCUGCACAUAAGUUUGCCAUGAGUCAUCACUGUCAACUUCAACGCACUUUUUGACAUCAUUUCAUGCAAAUCCACUUGUGUUUAUCAUGUCAACGACCAUACUAUAUGUUUUUUUCCAUUUCUUCAACUUGGACUCAAUAUGUGGAUUUGCCUUUAUAUUUGAAUGAGGACAUAAAACAUUGACAACUUUUGCUAUUUCAACCAAAGUACCUUGUUUGAAAGCACCGGUGUCACACCGUUGCUUCCGAGCAACAAAAUCCUCAAGAACUCCUAGUAAUACUUCUUCCUCAAAUGCUUCCCAUUUACGCCUUCUUCCUUUUGGCUCUUGAGUAGCAUUCAAAAUAUUUUCGUUAUCCAUACCUAAACAAAAAAUAUUUUAAUGAAGGAAAAUACCAUACAAAUAAUCAAUUUGCAUAAUAUCCAAUCAACUUGCAUAAUAUCCAAUUAAUUUGCAUACCAUCCAAUCUUUGUGCUAAUAUCUAACAAAUGCAUGAUAAAAAGGAAUACUAAAAUAAAAUGUUAUCAUUAACACAUAUAGCUAGUUCGGUUGCUGGUUCCUAAUUGCUCUCCAUUCAUUAUACAUUUCCUGAGCCAUGUCAUUCCUCUUUGCAGUCCACUGGUCAGAUGUUUGAACACUACCAACAUAUUCACCUUCUUCUGUAUUUUGUCCAUCUUCUAUUAUUGGAAAAUUCUCCAUUGGAUCUACAGACAUCUCUUGCCUAAUAAGAUUGUGUAGUAGGCAACAAGCGGUAAUUAUUCGACCUUGUGUCCUUAUCGGAUAGAAAGAUGGACUCCUUAGUAUCGACCACCUUCCUUUUAGCAAGCCAAAACAGCGUUCAAUUACAUUCCUUGCCUUAGAAUGCUUCAUGUUAAAAUAUUCUUCCUUAUUAGAAGGUGUUCGUCCCUCCCAUUCAGAUAAAUGAUAAGGUAUUCCUCUAUAGGGUGCAAGGAAUCCUUCACCAUUUGUAUAACCACCAUCUACAAGGUAAUAAUAACCUAAUGAAAAAAAAAACAGACCUUAUUAGUGUUUUGUAGUUGACAAACAGAACUAGACCUAACUUACAAAGUUGAGACUAAGUAAUAGUCUUACCCGCUGGUACCUUAAAACCAUUAGGCCUAGUAAUUGCAUCAUGUAGCACUCUAGAGUCUGAUGCAGAACCCUCCCACCCCGUAAACACAUAUAUGAACUGCAUAUCUCCUGAACACACACCUAACACAUUAGUUGCGACUCGACCCUUUCUUGUUCGGUAUCUUGGUUUGUCAAUUUCAGGUACAUGCACAUCAAUGUGUGUUCCAUCCAAUGCUCCCAAGCAAUUCUUAAAAAAAAAAAAAAAAGUUUUUGUUAAUUUAUACAAAGGGAAUGAAGAGUUAAAGCUUAGGGAAAAUGAAAAAAAAUUCUCAUCAUACCUUAAAACAUCGCCACCUAGGAUCUGUAGAAUCAAUAGGCACAGGCUGAGGGACUUUUAGUAGGAUACCUUGUAAUCGCAAAAUUCCUUGCAAUACGAUAUUGAAAUACCUACUUAUAGUCUCUCCCGACCUAUAAAAUCUACCGCCAACACUACGAUUCUUAGUAUGAUGUGCUAAUAUUUGUAAAGUCAUACACACAUGCUCCUCUACAGACACCAAACCAUCAGUUUUUACCCUCCCAUCUUGACGAAGUAAGUCACAUAAUAUGCCAAAAGUCCUUCUAUCCAUUCUCAAUUCGUUGACACAUUCAGUAUCAGUAUUCCCUAUUAUACCAUUCAGAUAACACAAACUAAUCUCUCGUCUAAUAAGUGAACGGUUAGUCAAUGUGGGUCGUUCAACAUGUCUCUGUUUGCCACGUAGCAUCAUCAACACAAGAAUCGUACAAAUGCAAAUUGUCUCCAAAUAAGACAUCUCUAACAAUAAGAUCAAUAAAAGCUUCCUUCGAUCCAUAUCUAUCCAAACAAAAAAAAACAAAAAACAAAUUAAGGACAUUAUAUAUGUAAUAUUUACUGUUAUUAAGGGUUAUGGAAAUGAAGUGAUUAUGAUACGAAAUGAACUAGAUCAAAGUAACUAGCGAAGUCACAAUCCGAGGCAUCAAAUAUACGGGUGGUGUUGGAAAAAAAAAAGUUAUCAUUAACCCGAGGCAACAAAUAUACAGGUCAGAUGCACACACUGCAUACACACUCACACACAUACUCACACGGACAUACACACUAUCACACACGGACAUACACUCACACACACCCUACAUACAUACAUACAUACACACACACACUGCAUACAUACACACACACACACACUGCAUAUAUACACACACACACACACUGCAUACAUACACACACACACACACACUGCAUACAUACACACACACACACACACACACACACUGCAUACAUACACACACACACACGACAUACAUACACACACACACACACACACUGGUCAGAUGCACUGCACUCACACGGACAUACACACUCUCACACACUGACAUACAUACACACACACCCUGCAUACAUACACACACACACACUACAUACACACACACACACACACACACACACACUGCAUACAUACAUACACACGCACACACACUGCAUACACACACACACACACAUUGCUUUAUGAAAACCCCAAAUUCCAAAUUUGAAACCCCAAAUUCCAAAUUUCUAAUCUCAAUUUCAAACCCCAAAUUCCAAAUUUCUACUACAUACUUACAUACACACACACUGCUUUAUGAAAACCCCAAAUUCCAAAUUUCAAACCCCAAAUUCCAAAUUUCUAAUCUCAAUUUCAAACCCCAAAUUCCAAGCUUUAUGAAAACCCCAAUUUCUAAUCUCAAUUUCACCCAAAUAUCAAAACCCUAAAAUUUGUUCAACUGCAGAAUCAAAUAAAGCUCAAACCCAAAACAAAUCCGCCCAAAUCGACGAAAAAAAUCCACCCAAAUCGACGAAAAAAAUCGAACAAUCGAAGCUUACCAGACAACUGGAGGCAGAUGAGGGCGAGCAGAUCUGUUACGUGAAGACGAGGGAGUGGACGACGAGAGGAACAGAUGAGGAGCAUGAUGCAGAUGAGGGCGACCAGGAUGCAGCUGACGGCAAGCAGGAUGCAAAGAUAAGGAUGAGGAGGACGACGUGAGGGAGGAGGACGUCGACGACACUCUCUCCUAGGAUGAUCGAGGUUCUUUCUCGCAAGAGCGCAAUCGGAUGAGGAGGACGACGUGAGGGAGGAGGUUUUAUGAAUCUGGACGUUUUUGGGGUGGUUCGCUAAGAACUCCUAGCGAGGGUUUAAUCCGUGCGAGUCAGAUCUAAUCCCAUUAAACCUAAUCCUUGCCCCUACCAAACAUCAGACUACAAUACCAAUUAGUGGAGUCCAGAACAGUCCCCCCUAAGAAGGUCAAACAAACACGCCCUUAAGGCUCUAAUCUAAUGUUCAUGCUCAACAUCUCCUCUAUCUUUCUACGAUUGGUAAAACUUUUGUAUUAUUAUUCCAAUUUUGGUUACUGGGUUGUGGAAUUUUCCAUUUUUUUUCUCGGUAAUCAAUACUAUAUAUAUGCAUGACAAGUAUAAACAAUAUUUUGGGGCAAAUUUAGUUGUUUAAUUUUUAAUUUUUAUGUGACAGUGAGAUUAUGGUAGGAUUUCGUUUAGAUUCUGCGGCCCAAUGGGAGUCUCUGCUUUGAUAAGAUUGGGGUUGAUGCCAAGAAAGCCAAUAAGCCUACUGUGGACGCCGUAGCCGCCUGGCGCUGUUUUCCAAAAUCCUCUCUCACUUGGUUAAGCAAUUAAGACUUUUUGGUUCAGUUUUUAUUAUGCCCAAUUUUGUAUUUAAACCUUAAAAAAAUUUAAACUGAUUUGGGGAUACUGAAAUAGGCUGCAGAGCUGCCAUCCCUGAAUCAGAAGAUGUUCAGAAGGAAGAAGAAGAAGAAGAAGAAGAAAGUCGUGGAAUAUCAAAAGCUUUUAGCUUUGUGAAAGUAUGCUUUUUCCCAACUCACCUCUUGCUUUUGUUGCACUGAAUUGGUAGAUUGGGUUCAAAAAUAUAUAUAUGUGAUUUUUCGUGUAACUAUUUCUUUACAUAAUUACCAAUUGGAGGUGAUUUUAGAUCAUGUAACAUUUCCUCGCUAGAACCAAAGAUUGUCGUCGCUCAGAGCUGCGUUUCAUGAAACAAGUUCAUCUCCUGCCAAAUUUGUGUACCCACCUUUUAUUCAUGAGGGUUGGUGCUUGCUUGCAACACAAUUUGGUGUUAUUAAGUUUUGCGGUUUUACAAUUUGUUCAUGCUUAAACCUCUUUCAAAUUUUCAUUUCUGUGUAAAUCUUGCAGGUAGGACGACACACCUAUCUUGGCAAUGUCGGGAUGUCUAGGCUUGGUGGAGACGUGGUCUUAUGGAAGAGGUGAAGUAGCUUAGCUCGAUCUCAUUAGCUCUUAUCUGUUCUAUUAUGUUAAGAUCAAUAGUAAAAAGUUCUAUUGAUUUUAUAAUCAAAGAUACAUAUAUUAUAGAAAUAGAGGGUAUAUCAUUAAUUUCUUGAUGUAAACAAUCAUAACUUGAGGAACCAUUUAAAGUAUUUUGGUAAUCAACAUACUUAAACUUAAAUGUGAUAUAUCCAUUUAGUAUUUUUUUUAUACAAUGAUAAUACUUAAGUAUAAUUUACAUCAUAUAUCUUUUGAAGUACAUGAAACUAUGAAGAAAAUGAUAAACCAAAUCCCAUUCCAUCUCUGUUUGCUACUGCACAAUCACAAUCCAAUUCCAACAUGGAAUCCUCAGACGACAUGCCUACUGCAGAACAAGUUUCAUACUGACUUAACUUAUAUUUAGUCCACGUCCUGUUUAGAUUGUAAUCCUAGUUCUACGUGUGUUUGUAUAGUACUCCUAUAAAUAUCAAUGAACAUCGCUCACUCUAAUUAAGAGUUGAGAUUUUGCAAAUCAUAUUUACUAUCUUUCAUGGUAUCACGAGCCAGCGUCUAACGACAACGGUUCCUAUUAUAAUUUUUUUCUCUUUUGCAGAUCCUAAACUAUGGCAUCUUCUUCCUCCUCCGCUGCUCCCUCCAUCACAAAUUUUCUUACGAUCAAGCUCGACCGCAACAACUACCCUCUCUGGCAUGCUCAGUUUCUUCCCUUGCUGCGCAGCCGCAACUUACUCUCUUAUGUUACUGGCGAAACUCAAUGCCCCUCUGCCUUUCUUCUUGAUGACAAUGGUAAAUUCACCGACAAAGUCAUUCCAUUAUAUAAUGAAUGGAUCCAGACUGACCAGAUGAUCCUAUCUUGGAUUACGAGUUCUCUUACUCCCAAGGUUCUUGCUACGAUCGUCAACAAAAUUGAUUCGGCCUCUGCUUGGUCGUCAAACCCGAAUUAAUCUAAUUGUGGGGGUUUUGUUUUAUAUCAAUAUAUUGCAACAGAAGUCACACUUUGAAGAGUUCAUGCUGCACAGAAAGAUGAUGAAAUGUUACCCGUUGAGUCUAUCAUUGCUCCAUUGGAGACAGAGCUGAAGCUUACUGCAGGAGUUAUACAGUUGUUAUGCAAUAUGACCCCUUUAAUUUUAUUUUAAAACUGAUACAAAAUACUACAAAAAUUUAUGUAGUAUUUUUGUAUUAGUUUUGAGUGUCUAUUUUGGCUUCCAUAUAUCGUCUGUACAUGUGAGAGGUAUAGUGUUCAAUAUGUAUUUGGUUUCUAUAUUGUUAAUGGAUCCUUUUUUUUUUAAUUUAAUUUAAUUUUAUUAAGGUAACCAAGUUGCAGGAUGACAUCAGAACACUUGAUCUGCAGGUAAACCUUCAAUUUCCAUAUGAAGUUUGCAUGUUCGUUGUUUCUGGAAUUUGAGUUUUUAUUAUUUCUCAAUUCUAUCACAUAGAUUAUGAUUUCACAUAUGGGAUUAUUAAUGGCAAUUAUAUGAUAGAAGAAUUGGGAUUAGAAGAAGAUAUUGAGUUGUUUUAUUUAUGGGGAUUAGAAAAUGAUUAUCAUACGAGUGAUAUUUAUUUUUGUGUGGAUUGUUAAUAUAUAAAACUAUAAGCUUUUGAGAUUGGGAGAUAAAACCCACAAAUUCAAAUCAGACAAAAUAAAUAAAAAAUUUAACUGACUUAAAGAUCAAACUCCAAAAGGGUAUUAAAAACAAGGCUUAUUUGAUCCAUUGAGUGUGAAAGUUUUGAGCUUUGAAGAAGCAUAGGAGGAGAGUUGUUAACCAAGCUGCAUUAUCCAUGUAUUAGGAUGUUGAGGGUAGGCAGGAAAAAUACUUUUUGACGCCAUAUCCAGAGGAGCAUAACGACAGGCCUGCAUUUUUGCAGCAAGGACCAAAACAAGUAGAAGUGAAGGCUUGACUAUUUGGGUAUUAAUCCUAAACCUAAUUAUUCUUAUUUAGGUUUAGGAUAAAUGAUUGAGUGUGUCUCGAUGAUUGUAUUACCAUGUUUGAUGAAUGACUUGAGGAGUUGGAAAUGCUUUAUUGCUUAUGUUUUUCUUAGGUGUGUACUUUGGUUAUUUCCGAGCUUUUCACGACUCUUGAUACCUAAUAGAGAAUAUGGAAACCCCAACUUUAAUUUUAUGAAUUGGUUUUGGUGCCUAAAAUGAAAUCUAGCAUAGUGAAAUCUUGCAUAAUGAAAUUAUGACAAAUUUCCCUUCAUCUUUAGAUUUUCAUUUAGUUCAAUUUGUAUGCAAUUUAGGGUUAUUCAAUUCAUGAGUGAUCAAAUUAUGUUUUUAAUUCCUUCUUCUUUUGAUUUACAGUUCAGCAUUGUCGUACAAAAUGAAAAAGGUGCCAGUAACAGAGUUAUGGAUUUGGAUGCCUUUAGUGGAAUAAAACUGAAUUUUUUAACUUUGUAUAGUUGUAAACAUAAAAUACUCCAUCAGAUAGACUCAUAGCAUUUGAAAACAAUCCUUGAGGAUGGCAUAACAACAUCUCCAACUUUUGUCAUGUAAUGUAUGAAUGUAAAUAGCACUUUGUAAACAUAUGGAUGUAAUAUAUGUAUAUAAACAGUCUUUAGCAUGUAUAUUUUUCAAAACUUUCUACAUCUUCAACAAUGUUUCAAUGAUUUCUUGAUGUAAACAAUGAUAAUUUGAAGAACCAUUUAAAGUAUUUCGGUAAUCAGCAUACUUAAGCUUAAAUGUGAUAUAUCCGUUUAGUAUUUUUUAUACAGUGAUAAUACUCAAGUAUAAUUUACAUCAUAUAUCUUGUGAAGUACAUGAAACUAUGAAGAAAAAACCCUAAUUAAUCUGAUUAUGGGGGUUUUGUUUUAUAUCAAAAUAUUGCAGCAGAAGUCACACUUUGAAGAGUUCACGCUGCACAGAAAGACGAUGAAAUGCUAUCUGUUGAGUCCAUCAUUGCUCCAUUGGAGACAAAGCUGAAGCACACUCCAGGUGGUAUACUUUUGUUCUGCAAUAUGACCACUUUAAUUUUAUUUUAAGACAGAUAGGGUUGAAAAGAAUUUAUGUAGUAUUUUUGUAUCAGUUUUGAGUGUCUAUUUGGACUUCCAUAUUUGGUCCGUACAUGUGAGGUAUAGAGUGUUCAAUAUGUAUUUGGUUUCUAUAUUGUUAAUGGAUCUUUUUUUUUGUUUUAUAGGUAACCAAGUUGCAAGAUGAAAACAGAACACUUGAUCAGCAGGUAAACCUUCAAUUUCCGUAUGAAGUUUGCAUUUUUGUUGUUUCUGGAAUUUGAGUUUUUUGCAGGAUGAAAACAGAACACUUAAUCUGCAGGUAAACACUUGAUUGGUUAUUUCCAAGCUUUUCACGACUUUCGAUACCCAAUAGAGAAUAUGGAAACCCCAACUUUAAUUUUAUGAAUUUGUUUUGGUGCCUAAAAUGAAAUCUAGCAUAGUGAAAUCUUGCAUAAUGAAAUUAUGACAAAUUUCCCUUCAUCUUUACAUUUUCAUUUAGUUCAAAUCGUAUGGUUUAGGGUUAUUCAAUUCAUGAGUGAUCAAAUUAGGUUUUUAAUUCCUUCUUCUUUUGAUUUUCAGUUCAGCAUUGUCGUAUUUUGGAUGCCUUUAGUGGAAUAAAACUGAUUUUUUUUUAACUUUGUAUAGUUGUAAACAUAAAAUACUCCAUGAGAUAGACUCAUAACUUUUGAAAACAAUCUUUGAGGAUGGCAUAACAACAUCUCCAACUUUUGUCAUGUAAUGUAUGAAUGUAAAUAGCACUUUGUAAACAUAUGUAUGUAAUAUAUGUAUAUAAACACCACUCUUUAGCAUAUAUAUUUUUCAAAACUUUCUACAUCUUCAACAAUGUUUCAAGCCCCGCAGCAACGGGCGGGUACACUUGAUAGUAUACAUCUAAAAUUAUAAGACUAAAUCCUUUAGUUCUUGGAUUCAUCUAAGAACUACUUAUUCCAGCAGAUGCUAUGCUUGCACUACUAGAAUUUAUGGCUUGCCCUGUCAACUAUUGCGCGACAGAAGAUUUCGUCGGUUUCACUUUUUUUAACCGACAUAAUAUAAGUUUAGUAGGGCAAAAUCAGUCAACAAACUGGGUUGACUGAAUAAAUUUACAGGAUGGCUAGAGUUCGUAGGUUAAGACAUCAGUCGUUGGGCAAACAUUUGGAGCGAAGAUGUGAGUGUUUUAACUGACGAAUAAGCUGGUCGUCAUGUAGAUCUUCUUUCCCGACUGACGGUUCAACAUGUAGCUCUUUGGAUAAUAAUUCAUCUUCAAGGGGAACAGGUUGCCCCUCAGAUGAAUGGUUAGAGGCAAUUGUGAGACUAUAAUUUUCUAGGGCCGAAAUAAAAAAUACAUAAACCCUCACUCAUUCUGUCUCUGUAACCAUCCACCAAAUACCCUUUCUUCCCUUUCUAUUUCUCUCCUAGUAAUAUCCCCUGACCGAAUCACACAAUCCAACCAACUCUCUUUAAGCCUCCCUCACUGAUUCCAUGGAUUUCAUGGACUUAUCCCACCCUCUCUCCUUCCCUCUAUAUAUAGCAAGUCCCCUUGCCUCAGUGUCCCUGGCAACAGAAUUUAUGGCAUUUCUUCGUUCUUUCAAUUAUUUGAAAGCUUCCUAGCCCUGCAAUCUUGUACAAAGGCGUAUGGUGUUUCAUCAGUUCCAUUUGGUGGUUGGGUGGGAAAUGAAAUUAAAACACUGCAUUUCAAAUGCAUUUCAAAUGGUCUAAACCAAAUUGAAUCAAAUGUGAAGCAAAGGGCAAGAGGUGUAGAUUGAAGAACAAUGGCACCAAGAGCGAAAUUGAACUUGUUGACAGGAGGAAACCAAGUAAGGAUAACACGUCUAAAUCUUAUUUUGAAUCCAUUCAGCUCAUGAUGUUUUGAAUGAUGAUGAUCGGUAUACUCUGCUACAUGCUGUGAUUUUUCCGCUUUCAUGUAAUUAACGGCUUAUAUGUGGUAACGAUAUUGAUUAAAAAAGGUCGUACCCAGUGCAUAAGGCUCCCGCUUUACGCAGGGUCUGGGAGAGGUGAAUGUCGGCUAGCCUUACCCCCAUUUUAUGGAGAGGAUGCUCCAAAGUCUCAAACCCGAGACCUACCGCUCAUGGGCGAAGGCAUUUGCCAUCGCACCAAAUGCGAUAUUAAUUAAUUUCGAGAAAUGACAGUCUGAUUUUUGCAACUGUCUUUUGCAGGCAAAACAAAGACGUUUGCAAGGGUGAGUUGUGUAGGAGCUUUGUUUCAUGUCCAAAUGACACUUGAGAAUAAAUGUUUACACUCAUGGAUAAUAUCUAUCUAUUUGCAGGAGCAACCCUGGGUUCAUUUGUUCUGUAACUGCUGGUCAUUGCGGCAUAUCACGCCUAUAGCACUGACAAAAGUAAAAAGAGAAUCGAAUGAAAUUUGAUAAGUUUUCAGCGGACUACAAAGAUCUUAAGCCAAGCAUAUAUUCCCAUGCAGAUAUUAAGAGGUUUACAAAUCAAUUCAAGUACAAGUUGGGCCAAGGAGCAUACGGAACUGUUUUUAAACGAAAGUUUUUUUCUGAAUGCUUUGUUGCCAUGAAAGUACUUAACAUUUCCAAGGGUGACGGGGAAGAGCUUGUAAAUGAAGUGGGAACAAUGGGCCAUAUUCACCAUGUCAAUGUGGUUCACUUGGUUGGUUUUUGUGCUGAUGGAUUUAGAUGAGCUCUGGUUUAUGAGUUCUUUCCCUUUGGUUCACUCCAGGAUUAUAUUUCAUCAGCAGAUAGAUUUCUUUCCUUGGUUGGCAUAAGUUGCAAGAUCUUGCUAUCAGCAUAGCCAAAGGAACUAGGAAUGUGAUCUACAAAUCCUCCAUUUCGAUAUCAAACCCCAUAAUGUUUUGCUCGACCAAAAAAUCACGCCAAAAAUCUCUGAUUUUGGUCUGGCCAAGUUAUGCCAAACAAUUACAGACAACAGUUAUUCACUAAAUCACUUUAAGGCAAGAAUUUAAUUAAUAAUACAUUACUGCACUUUCUUAACCAUUUGACUAUCACCUAGCUGACAAUGAACACGUUAGCUCCGCGUUAGAACAUCUUGGGUUCAAUUCAUUGUCUUGAAUAUCACCCAUUGUCACAGGCGUCUGUUGGGGGCAUAGAGAAGGCCUGAGAGGCAUUUGCAGACAUUCAACAUCUCCUCCAAGCAUUUUGACAACUUUGGACAUCGAAGGGCGAUCAUUUGGUUUCAUUUGAAUACACCACAAGGCGGUUAUAACCAUCUUUCUUAUUACUUUCUUUUCCUCCUCUGUAACAUUGUCCAUUUCCAGGUCAUUUCCCACAAUAUAUUGAUCGUAUACCCACAUUGGGAAGUAGAUUUGGCUUGAAUGCUCUACCGUUGGAUUCAAAUUCUUCCUUCUGCUUGCCAUUUCCAUCAACAACAUUCCAAAACUAUAGACAUCUGACUUGUAUGAGACGCAUCCAAUAUUUUUGUAGAACAACUCAGGAGCAAUAUAUCCCAGUGUACCCCGUGCUGCCGUCAAAGAGACAAUGCUAUUAUCUACAGGAUACAAUUUUGCAAGCCCAAAGUCAGAAACCUUUGCUUUAAAGUUCUCAUCAAGAAGGAUGUUAUGAGGCUUGAUGUCGAAAUGUAGAAUUUGCAUUUCACAACCUUGGUGUAGAUAUUCGAUCCCUUGAGCCACUCCAAGAGAAAUCUCGUACAUGUUCUUGAUAGUUAAGGGGACACUUCCUUCUUUGGAAUAAAUGUAUUUAUCAAGAGAACCAUUAGGCAUGAAGUCAUAUACUAGAGCGCGUUUUGAUCCCUCAACACAGUAUCCAACAAGUUGUACCACAUUGGCAUGGUGAAUCCUUCCGAUUGUAGCUAUUUCGCUAAUGAAAUCUUGGCCAUCAGCUUUGGGCUUGCCCAAAACUUUAACUGCUACAAAUCGACCACUGCGUAGCUUUCCCUUAAAUACAGAGCCAAAGCCACCUUCGCCCAACUUGUCCUUAAACCUGCGAGUCAUUUUCUUGACGUCCGAGUAAGAGUACCUUAUAAGCAUGAUGUUGUUAUUGCAUUGCAGAAAAUCUUCUAUUGUGCUAUACAUUGAUAAAUGUCUUCUGCGCCAUGUGUAGAUUAGAAAUGCAGUCACAACUGGAACUCCAAAAACAAAUCUGGCUAGGAAAAAUAACCCUGCAUGCAUGGACAAUAAUAUGUUAGAUCCACUGUGUACUACUUUUUCUUCCCUUUCUUUCCAAAUUACUUUAUCUUUGAUGUAAUUAAAGAGAGAGAAUGGGAAAUCUACAUAUGUUGAUAAUAUAAUCUCGUCUUAGUCCUUACCGAUCCAUAUGAGUAUAAACCAUCCAAGUGCUGCAAAAAAAUCAAUCGACUAUGAGUUUGAAAAGUGCAUAAAGUGAAAAAAAAAAAAAAAAAAAAAAAAAUCAAAGGGUGCCUUUAUUGACACCCAAAUUUUAGUUAGUUUUACUCAACUAAAAAAUUUUUGUCAUCAAACUUUUUAAUUUGCCGUCGAAAUUGAGUUCACCCAACCACAAAGCAGCAACUACCACUCACAAAAAAACCAACAACACACAGCCACCAGUACCAUUCACCAAUAGAAAGAGAAGGAACACACAGACCCACCAAGGAGCCGGCAUCGACGCAUCUACGAGGGAGGGACCGGAGGGUGGUGUAGUUUUGUUGGGCGCGCGGUGGUUGUUUUGUUUGUUCAUUUUCUCUUUCUUUUGGUAGGUGGAGGCUGGUGUGGAUUUGGGCGAACUUAAAAAUGAGGGGAAACUAUGAAGUUUGACAAAAUGUUUUAGUUAGGGGAACUUAACUAAAAUUUGGGUGCCGAUAAAGAUACCCAAUUUCAAAAAUACUUGAGCUUAUAGACUAAUUAAAUGAAGUUGAUCUUACAGAUCUCGUGGCUGUAUGAUGAAUGCCACUUGCCAGCUGCAAUAGAUACCACGGAAAAGUGAAUAAAGACAUACAGUUACUAGGUUUAAGAAGUACAGAUAGAGCACACAAAAAAUAAAAGAAGCUUUUGGGAAGAAACUUCUUACGCCAAUAGUUGUGUUCUUGACCUACAGUAAAAAAUGUGAAGAAGAAUACACAACAUUAGCAAUAGCUCACCCAGUCUUCGGAAUUUAAAAAAUCAAGUUUGUCUCGAUCGAAAACUUGUAAAUAAAACAAAAAGAGGACCCCUUACGGAUUUGGUGCCAUAGAUAUUGAAAGAAACCUACAAAAACAAAGAAAGAACAAGACCACAUGCAUUAGCAUAACAAGUGUGAGGUGUAUAAGCCGUUAGAAAAUAAAUUUAAAAUUCUAGUGCUGUCAAUACAUUGAUAAUAUAUAUAUAUAUAUAUAUAUAUAUAUAUAUAUAUAUAUGUAUUAUUUUUCUGAAAAUUUAACUUUCUCCCUCCAAACUCAUUUUUCUAGUCUCUAGCCCAUCAUAUAAUAUUUAUCAGAAUAAAACCAAAUGAUUAGGAUCCAACUAAGAAACUUACCAAAUUAAGUUUGUGUGUCCAUUUUUAUAUUUUUUGGAUCCCUAAUAUACCCCAUCUAAGCCAGUAUGGAAAGUUCUUGUAAUUUUGCUUUAAGUGAUCACGUGCAUUGAAUUUGGCAAGGUCUUGUAGCCAUGAAAUAUGGUUCCAGAUGGAGGAAUGAAUUUGGAUUUUUUUUUAAUUUCGGCAACAAAUUUCAAUUUGAAUAUACCUAAUUUAGUGUUUAUUUUCAACAAUAUCUAUUGUUUAAUUUUAUGAAAAUAAUUAACCUAAUAUGAAAAUUAAUUUUAUGAAAACAAUAUCUAUUGUUUAAUUUUAUACCUACAGGAUAAUUACAUGAAAAUAGUUUACCUACUAUGAAAAUUAAUUUUUUGAAAGCAAUAUCUAUUGUUUAAUUUUAUGAAGAUAAUUUACCUACUAUAAUUACAUGAAAAAAUUUACCUACUAUGAAAAUUAAUUUUUUGAAAACAAUAUUAUUGUUUAAUUUUAUGAAAAUAAUUUACCUACUGUAUAAUUACAUAAAAAUUAGGGAAAAUUAGAAUCCCCUACAGUUUUUAUAUAUCAUUUAGAUUAAACAUUUGUACUUUUUUAAAAUUUGAUUAAAGUGCUUUGACCAAUAGUUACCUCUAUUUUUUUAAAUUAAAAUAAUUUUUGAAUUUAUCCUUUUAUCUGCACAAUGCACUUUUCCUUAUUUAGUGGAGAUAUUAGUAAUGAAACUAUAUUUUCCCUUCUUCCAAAUAUGUUUUUUCGAUCACAGUUUUUUUUUUUUUGGGUAUGCAAACAUUUGAUAUUAUUUUUUUUCCAAAUGGUUUUUUCUUUUUCAAAUAGUUGGUGAUCAACAUAUAAGCUCUGUGUAUUUUUUUCAAUGUUUUUGUGAAAUUAUAUUUUUUUUGCUGUUUUUUAAGUAUAGUUGUUGACGAAUUAUUAUUAGGUACAAUACAUUACGUAUAUAUUAUCUGCGGGUACGUUUGAAUUUACUAAAAUCAUUAAUUGGUACGUUUGAUUUGAUACAUAUUGUUAAUAUUGGUACAUUAUUUUUAUUUUGGUACGUUUUAUUUUGAACACAUUUUGUAUUGGUACGUUUAUAGUAUUCUCAAUCCUAUUUUCUCUUAACGUACUAAAAGAAAAACUCAUUUUGGUACGUUUGAUUUUGGGGGAUUUAAAAAUAUUUUAAACUAUUUUGGAAAAAAAAAAAUCUUAAAUCGUAGAUAAUUAUUGCUAAAUUGUAGCAUUAUUGUGAAAAUAAAUUGAAUCUAACCAACUUUUUUUUUUACAAUUAUCUCUAAUGGAGGAGAGUGUAAUCAAAAGGCUAGAUUAUAGGAAAUUUGUUACAAUAUAAUGGGCAUAUAGCACCAAAAUUAUGAUAAAAAAAAGUUUAAUCAAAUCAUUAAAAGGCAUGGAUGUUUGAUCUAGAAAAUUCAAAACUGAGGCGUCUAUAUCAAAAGAUCCCUAAAAAUUAAUGUGCCUACUUUUUAAAUUUGUAACAAAAUUAAUUUACCUACUUUUUAUGGUAUUAGUAUACAUAAAUGUAGAAUAUAUGUCCGUAUAUAUUUGAUCUAAUUAGGUUUUGGAUUGGAGGAGUUGACACAAAAUUAUAAAUAUAUUAAACAAAUUUAUCUAUUCUAAAGUUGGAGGGGAAUUGGUCUGUACAUUGCUACAGUAAACAAAUGCUACUCAAUUUCACGUUAUUUACAACAAAGCUAUCAGAUUUGGGUUGGGUUGGAGGGUAAUUUGUUAAAAGUUAGGAGGGUAAUUUUGUGCAUAGGGUUUAGGUGCCCUCCUAUACAUGACCCUUGAGUUUACUUUAUUUACACCACUGCCAUCAAAUAUGUGGCUGAAUUGGAGGGUAUUAUUAAAAGUUAAGAGGGUAGUUUUGUUCAAGGGGUGGGGGCGACAUUCGCAGACGGAGGCCGAUGGGAGCCAUGCCCAUUGCACAGAGAGAAAGGGAGUGAUGGGGGAAAUUACAGACAGAAAAGGAAGGGAUGGGAGGAUUUGAUGGAUGGUCACAGAGAGAGAUUCGGUGAGGGAUGUGAGGGGAGAUUACAGAGAGAUAAAUAAAAGGGAGGGAUCGGGGGAUUUGAGGGAUGGUCAGAGAGAGAAAUAGUGAGGGAGGGAGGGAUGGGGGGGCUGAUUUUCGGUUCCUCCUUCAGAUUUGUUCCGUAAAACCUGUUGGGUACAAUUCAAUUUCCUCCCCCUUUCCCCUGAACGAAAAAUUCGAAACCUACAAUUCAAUUUCCUCCCUCCUUGGCUUUCCGCUUUACUCAUCUCCCGGUGGUUCUUUCUCUCCAUACGAUUCGAUUUCGGUGAGUUCUUCGUUGCCCUCAUGAUUUCCCAGUUUGAUUUUUUGAGCGUCCUUAGUCGUUGUUUUUAUCUGGGUUUACUGCAUUGUUGCUUUUAGUUUCUGGAUUUUUAUUUGUUCCGCGGUUCGAUGAAUCGGUUAAUAAUUUCACACCAUGGGAUUUUCGCAUGGAAUUGAGCGCGGGGAUUCGGGGUGGGGUUUUACUGAUAAUUUGUCUUCAUUCAAAUGAAUGGUUAAAAUUUCUGAAGUGAGUGUGCAGGUGGGCCCGUUCACUAACUAAGCUUUCAAGGGAACCCAUCAGCGGUUUGCUUGCUGGGGGAAUUCGGAGACUACCAGUGUAUGAUUUAGUUAUCAUUUAUUUUUUUACUUAAAUUUAUCCAUAUAUAAUAUGUGGGUAAAUUUACACUAAACAAUUGUGAUAAGCCAAUAUGCCAUACGACUUUGAAAGCAUUGAUUUUGUGUUUAGUUUGCAUUUUUGCAUUGUGAAUGUUGAAUUUUGUGUUUGAAUUUGUAGCAUGAUCUUCCGCUGCAGCAUCCAAAUUUUGCAUUUGUAAAUUGUCAAAGAAAAACGAAGUAUGAGGAAAUUAUAGGAGAUUGUGUCGGCUUUGGCCAUGAAGGGUAUCAGCAGCUUGUUCCCCCAUACAGGUGAUUAAUCGUUUUUCAGUCUGUGUUCUAUUUGGAUGAGAAAGUGAUUGAAAAUAUGAUUUUUUUAUUUGUUGGUUGAUUUUGUAUGGACGAUGUAUUAAUUUUAUUUUUUUUGGGAUUUUGUGUAUUGGGCAUUGUGUAGAACCAGCAAUGCAAGAGCAGGAUCUGAUCAGUCAUGCCUGAAAAGGGGUUUGUUUCUCAAAUCACAUUAAUUAAUUAGAUUAUUAACGUGCGUUGGAAGGCUCUUCAAUAUGAUUUCUAAUUUCUCCUUUCCAGCAUUCUCUUUUUGGUUUUUGGAGUAUGUAUGUGAUUUGUAUUUUUUUAUAGAAUAAAAAUUAAUAAAACACGAGAUGCAGCAAUUAAUUUGCAUCCUUAUGACAACACAUAUGAAAGUGCAUUCAAUUUCAAUGUGCGAAUGUGUGACAGGAUGUGCCUGCCCGCUGCUGCUGGUAUGCUUGCUGUUGUUUCUCGCGUUGUUAAUUUUUUGUGUGUGUUGAUUUGAUUAACAACUCAAGCGUAUCUUUUUUUUUUGUGUUGGUUAGCAGCCAGUUUUAUGGCCCCGAUCUAGUGAUGCUUCUCAGUGACUGUGGUAAUUGCAGUUCAUUGCCACCAGUUGGUCAGCUACCUGCUCUGAAAGAGCUAUACGUAGAAGGGAUGAAAGUUGUUAAGAGUGUUGGUGUUGAGUUGUACGGGGGAAAUCAACCAUUUCAAUGUUUAGAGAAGCUAAAGUUUCGGGAGCUAUAGCAGCCUAGUCCAAGUGGAUGUGAAAGUCCAGACUUUCCUCAUCUUAAGGAGCUGGGGUUAUACGAAUGUCCGAAGCUGAGAGGAAACUUGCCCACUCAUCUUCCCUCCUUGAAAACACUUCAUGUGAACAAGUGUGAGGUUCUACAUAAAAACAGGGCCAGUAAUACCCUGAACGUGGAAUCCUUACGAGGAUCUCUUGAAAAACUGACAAUAAAUGGAUGCCCGGGUCUCUCAUUGUUACUAGAGUCGACGGAGACGCUGCCGUCGCUUCAGAAGCUUGAUAUUGAUAAUGUGGUGGGAAAGAGUUGUUGGCGCAAAUGGUGCACAACAGCAAUCGUCUUCAAAGUUUGACUUUAUAUAAAUGUUCCUCACCCUUGUCGUUCCUUACAAAUGGUCUGCCCACCACGCUGACAUCACUGAGCAUAACAGAUUGCAAGAAAUUAGAAUUCCCAUCACGUGAGAUGAUGGCCAAAUUGACUUCCCUUCAGUCUUUGCGUCUAUCCAACAGCUGUGAACGCAAAGGCUUGAGUAUUUGCAGUUUAGUUUUUUUUUUCUUCAUUUUAGAGAUUUUUCUACUGUUUGGUUUUUGGGUUUUGUCUAAUUUUUGUGGUCUGCUUUAUAGAUUGUUCUCUUUGGAAGCUUCUUUCCAGCCUUGACCUUCUUCUUGCCUGGUGCCUUCUCAUUGAGUAUUGGAGGAGCAUUAAAACACAGGUGUGUGUGUUUUGUCGACAUAAGAGAUGAAUGACAUAAAAACAUCCGUCUCUGUAUUUUUUUGUGCUUUUUCUAACCCAUCAAUUUCUUUUGAGUCAACCAAAUAGUCCCAAAUUGCAACUUAUGUUGUGAGGUAUUAUUGUCUAAAAUUAAGUAUGCAUGUAUAUUUUAUGUUUGUGCCCGCGCACACAUCCGCAUGGUGUUAAUCUCUGUGGGUCAUCUAUGUAUAUGUAGAUAUAUCUAUAUGUGUGUGUGGAAUGCAACAUAUCGGAUUUAGGUUAUACUGUGCAUAGUUUUAUUGCCUGUUAUUAUCUACGAUAUCACUAUGCCAUUUCUAUGCAGGCUCUGAAAGUUAUUCAUGAGCUUUAUAAGCACUUACCAUAAUUUAAGCAGUCUGUUUUGGGUUCUUUUUCAUUAGGUCAUUAGCUACAGAUUAAUGGAGAAACGAGGACCAUGCCACUGAUUUGGGUUCUUUUUCUAAUUUUCUGAUUUUGGGGUUUUGCAGGGAGAACUCCGCCUAUGUACUUACAUUGCCGAUCCCAAGCUCGGAUAAAGGAGGAGGGGGAGGGCGUCAGGUAGUCGACAGUCGGCACUCCAUGAUCACGUCGAAUCCUUAUGAAAAUGAAUUCAGAAUAAAAUUGCGCUAAAGCUAGGGCGUCACCCGUAAGUGGCGCGCUGUGUGGCCCGAGCACAGUGAUAAGUGAGCAAGGGUCGCUGUAUCUCCAUCGGCACCCGGAUGCAGUGUUAAAUGAGCAAGGGGGGCAUAGGAACUUCUUUUCGAACGACUCCACUCAAAGUUGUUUGGGAGCAUAUGCUCCUAUCAACUUUACACGGGACACACAAAAGAAGUACUUUGAUCCUAUUAGACGGGGGAGGGUGAAGAAGCUAGGACAGAAGGGUAGAGUUCAAGAAAGCAAAAUGCGUUUAGGAACGUGGAAUAUAGGAACCUUAACGGGAAAAUCUAUGGAAGUAGUGGAAGUUAUGGUGAGGAGAAGGAUAAAUAUUAUGUGCCUACAAGAAACUAAGUGGGUUGGUAGUAAGGCAAUUGAUCUAGAAAACUCAGGGUUUAAACUUUGGUAUUCGGGCACAAAUAGAACGAGAAACGGUGUUGGCAUCAUCGUGGACAAGACCUUGACACAAGAUGUUGUAGAUGUCAAGAGGGUAGGAGAUAGAAUCAUGGCAAUCAAGAUUGUAAUAGGACAAGAACUUAUCAAUGUGGUUAGUGCGUACGCACCUCAAGUAGGGUUGGAUACGAGUUCGAAGGAGAAAUUUUGGGAAGACCUUGGAGACUUGGUGUAAGGAAUUGCUCAGACGGAGAAGUUAUUUAUAGGAGGAGAUUUAAAUGGACACGUGGGCAGAGAGACAGGCAACUAUGGAGGUUUUCAUGGUGGCCAUGGUUUUGGGGAGAGAAAUGAGGAUGGGGAAGCUAUCUUGGAUUUUGCAAUGGCAUAUGAUCUCUUUUUAGCCAACACCUUCUUUAAGAAGAAAGAAGAACAUGUGAUCACCUACAAGAGUGGGUUGUCAAAAACACAAAUAGAUUUUCUUCUAAUGAGAAACGAGGAUGGGGAAGCUAUCUUGGAUUUUGCAAUGGCAUAUGAUCUCUUCUUAGCCAACACAUUCUUUAAGAAGAGAGAAGAACAUGUGAUCACCUACAAGAGUGGGUCGUCAAAAACACAAAUAGAUUUUCUUCUAAUGAGGAAAGGGGAUCGUAUAACUUGUAAGGAUUGCAAAGUUAUACCAGGAGAGAGCGUGGCUAAUCAACAUCGCUUGUUGGUGAUUGAUGUACAUAUCAAAAGAGUGAGACAAAAGAACAAGACUUGGAAGUGCCCAAGGACUAGAUGGUGGAAUCUAAAAGAAGAAAAACAAGCCAUUUUCAAAGAGAAAGUAAUCAUCCAGUGUGUGGGAUAGAGAUGGGGAAGCUAGCCAAAUGUGGGAUUCAAUGGCUAGUUGUAUCCGAAAAGUAGCAAAAGAGGUAUUAGGAGAGUCAAAAGGCUUUGCCCCACACCAAAAAGAAUCUUAGUGGUGGAAUGAGGAGGUACAAACAAAGGUGAAGGCUAAGAAGGAAUGUUGUAAAGCCUUAUACAAGGAUAGAACUGAUGAAAAUGGUGAAAGGUAUAGAAAAGCGAAGCAAGCUGUGAGAGAAGCUAAGUUAGCGGCUUACGACGAUAUGUAUAAACGACUAGAUACCAAAGAAGGAGAGUUGGAUAUCUAUAAACUAGCUAGAGCAAGGGAAAAGAAGACAAGGGACCUAAACCAAGUGAGGUGCAUCAAGGAUGAGGAUGGAAAUGUUCUUGCUACAGAGAACGCGGUUAAAGACAGAUGGAGAGGUUAUUUUCAUAAUCUUUUCAAUGAAGGACAUGGAAGGAGUGCUUCUUUAGGGGAGUUGAGUAACUCAGAAGAGUGUAGAAACUACUCUUUUUAUCGUCGAAUCCGGAAGGAAGAAGUGAUUGUAGCUUUGAAGAAGAUGAAACAUAGAAAAGCAAUAGGCCCAGACGAUGUACCAAUCGAAGUGUGGAAAGUUUUGGGAGAGACAUGUAUAACAUGGCUCACUGACCUUUUCAAUAGGAUUUUGAAAACGAAGAAGAUGCCAAAUGAGUGGCGAACGAGCACUUUGGUGCCUAUCUACAAGAAUAAGGGCGACGUACAAAAUUGCAUGAACUAUAGGGGUAUUAAGCUAAUGAGUCAUACAAUGAAGCUCUGGGAGAGAGUCAUUGAGCAUAGAUUGAGGCAAGAGACACGGGUUUCGGACAACCAAUUUGGGUUCAUGCCAAGGCGCUUAACCAUGGAGGCAAUCUAUCUCUUACGAAGAUUGGUGGAAAGAUAUAGAGAUGGGAAAAAGGAUUUACACAUGGUUUUUAUAGAUUUGGAGAAAUUCGUAUGAUAGGGUCCCAAUAGACAUUCUUUGGAGGAUUUUAGAGAAGAAAGGAGUACGAGUAGCAUAUAUCCAAGCUAUAAAUGAUAUGUAUGAAUGAGCAAAGACUGCUGUAAGAACUCAUGAAGGACAAACUGAAAGUUUUCCCAUAACUGUAGGAUUACACCAAGGCUCAUCCUUAAGUCCCUACCUUUUUGCGUUGGUAAUGGAUGAGUUAACAAGACAUAUUCAAGAUGAUAUUCCUUGGUGUAUGCUUUUCGCAGACGAUAUAGUGUUGAUAGAUGAAACACAGGAAUGGGUAAAUGCAAAGCUUAACCUUUGGAGAGAAGUGUUGGAAUCUAAAGGUCUUCGCCUAAGCCGAUCAAAGACAAAAUAUAUGGAGUGCAAGUUCAGUGCAAAUGGAGGCCAAAACGAGUUAGGGGUGAGGAUCGGAGAUCAAGAAAUACCAAAGAGCGACCGUUUUCGUUACCUAGGAUCUAUCUUGCAAAAGAACGGAGAAUUAGAUGGAGAUCUCAACCAUAGAAUACAAGCUGGAUGGAUGAAGUGGAAGAGUGCAUCCGGCGUGUUGUGUGACCGCCGUAUGCCACUGAAGCUCAAGGGAAAAUUUUAUAGGACGGCAAUAAGGCCGGCGAUGCUGUAUGGCACAUAAUGUUGGGCGGUGAAGCAUCAACACGUACACAAAAUGGGUGUAGCGGAGAUGAAGAUGCUUCGUUGGAUGUGUGGGCACACGAGAAAGGAUAAGAUUAGGAAUGAGGAUAUCCGGGGUAAAGUAGGAGUAGCCGAAAUUGUAGGAAAGAUGAGAGAAAAUCGGUGACGGUGGUUUGGACAUGUGCCAAGAAGGCCUACUGACGCUCCGAUUAGAAGAUGUGACUACUGGACAGAGGUUCAGGGCCGAAGGGGUAGAGGAAGACCUAGAAAAACUUUGGAAGAGACUCUAAGAAAGACUUAGAGUACCUGGAUCUAACGAAGGACAUGACACAGGACCGAGCAUAAUGGCGUUCUAAGAUUCAUAUAGCCGAUCCCACUCAGUGACUUGGAUUUUCCAAGUCUCCAGCCGAGAAGUUUUCCUCACUCAGGAAAUUAAGGGAACACUACCCCAACCUACAUGCUCCACUCACAAAGCUUCAACAAAAGAAAAUUCAAAGAACUUAGCGAAGAAGGCUUUGAUGUAUUUAACACAAUACGUUGAAAUGAAGGAAAGCUUAUUUAUUGAUAUCAUCGAUAAGCUACAAAUAUGUACAUAUACAUAAGUCAAAAUAAACAAACAAGAGGGAGCCUUCACAAAGGUUGCUUAGGAGAAGUCUCAGCAGUCGGUAGAGCCCCAGAAAGAGAAGGCACCGGAGGGGGAUCAUUCGGAGCCUCAGUACUGGACAGAACCCUAGAAGGAGGAGGCAUAAGAGGUUGAUCAUUUGGUGCUUCAUUACGCGGUACAGCCCCAGAAGACGAAGGCAAUAAAUGCCUUUGGAACAAACCCACAAAUCUCUGAUGAUCAAGUAAAACCUGACCAUCAGAUUCCUUCAUCUGGUCAAGCUUCCUCUUCAUGUUUGUAGCAUAGUCAUGUGCGAGCCGGUGCAACUGUUUAUUCUCAUGCUUGAGCCCUCUAAUCUCCUGUUUGAGACUCAUCACUUCAGCCGCCAAUGAUUCAACUUGGCGGGUUCGAGCAAAUAGGUGUUGGGCCAUAUUAGACACAGAACCUGCACACUGAACACUGAGAGCCAGAGAAUCCUUAACAGCUAACUCAUCAGACCGUUUGGAAAGUAGUCUGUUAUCUUUGGGAGUGAGAAGGUUCCUGGCCACCACCGCAGCGGUCAUAUCAUUCUUCAUCACGGAAUCCCCAACGGUAAGAGGACCAGUAGGGGAGACGAAGGAUGGGCGCCAUAUGUUGUCUGGAGAAGGCGGGGCUUCCUCUUCAACAAGGUUCAAGUCAAAACGACGGUCGGAGGGGCCAGACAUUUUCAAAUGUGUUGAAGAGAGAAGAGGUCGGACAAAUCAAGAUCUUAGAAGUGUAAGAAUGGAGCUUCUACUGGUGGAGAUUCAAGUGUGCUUUGGAACUUAAUGUCAGCCCCUAUAAAAAUCUGCACUCAACGGAGCUUCAGAAAUCGAAGAGGCGCCUGCUCAGAAAUCGAAGAGGCGUUUGCUUUCUCAAAAGCAAGGCUGCUCAGAUACCACGAGGGUCGAUCUCAGAAAUCGAAGAGGCGUUUGCUUUCUCAAAAGCUGGGCAGCGCAAAGACCACGAAGGCCGAUCUCAGAAAUCGAAGAGGCGCUCAAAAGUUGGGCUGCUCAGAGACCACGAGGGCCGAUCUCAGAAAUCGAAGAGGCACCUACUUUUCCAGCCUUGUCAGUACCUGUCACACACACACUCAGCUUUGCGAAAAUUAUGGGGAUUCGGUCGAAGACUUCUGGUGAAGUAGAAAGCACAUGAGUCUUACUGUUCAAUCACCCACUUCCCACACGCAACAGUAGCUCAUGGGUACCACAUAUAACUUUUCCAAAGUUCUCUGCCAAAGUUGAACACGUGAAGUUUGCAGCUCCCACUACAUCGCUCUGAUCAAGAAGGGUAAAAGAAUAGCAAAGAAACAACACUAACAAAGUUUAGACACAUAAAUUUUGAUGGUCGAGCUACCAUAUUAUUACCCACAAGGGUAAAGGAACAGUACCACUGCUGGAUAAUUGGAAAGUCCCUGUGUGUCAACCUCUGUGCUUCGUGGCAAGGUAGACUAUCAAACAUGCCCAACCUUUACUCACAUUCGAGAAAACACUCCCAACAAGAUUGCUUGCUCCAAAAUCGAAGAGGCACCGUCCUUCGAAUCUCGAGAGCCAGACUCCCAACAUGACUACUUUCUCAAAAAUCGAAGAGGGUAAAGGAACAGUACCAUUGCUGGAUAAUUUGAAAGUCCCUGUGUGUCAACCUCUGUGCUUCGUGGCAAGGUAGACUAGCAAACAUGCCCAACCUUUACUCACAUUCGAGAAAACACUCCCAACAAGAUUGCUUGCUCCAAAAUCGAAGAAGCAUCGCCCUCCGAAUCUCGAGAGCCACUCCCAACAUGACUACUUUCUCAAAAAUCGAAGAGACAUCGCUCUCCGAAUCUCGAGAGCCAGACCCCCAGCAUGAUUGCUUUCUCAAAAAUCGAAGAGGCACCGUUCUCCGAAUCUCGAGAGCCAGAUCCCCGAUAGGAUUGCUUGUUCGAAAACCGAAGAGGCAACACUUUCCCAAUUUCAAGAGCCGGAUCUCCUUGGAUAAAGCUAUCUGUAAUCUUCACUCGCAACAUUAGCUUUCCAGCUACCACAGACCACUUUUUCAAAGUGAUCUGACAACGUUAAAACAUGUGAAGCUGGCAGCUUCCACUACCGUGCUAUGACCAAGUAGGGUAAAGGAAUAGCAUUACUACUUGUUGUUAAGGAGACUCCUAUAUAUGUCGACCUCCAUCCCCAACGGAUAGGCAGACCUGCAAAAAUGCUCAACUCUUCCUCAUAUCUGAGAGGGCACUCCCAACGAAGCCUUUCGAAAUAUUCAGCUUUCUUUCCCCCCGAUAAUACCUCUGCAAACAAGCUAUACUAGAGCAAGAAUAUCUCAUAUCAUCAGGGUUAAAAGCAAGAGUAUCCCAUAUCAUGCUUUUUCCUUGUCUUUUUCUUUGGCCUUGUUCUUACCUGCAAGACAAGAAGAAAGAGAGCAAUCAGUCAGUACUUGGAAUCAAGCUUCCAGCCAGGAACUGACUGCCUGGAACCCCUUACCUGAUUACUUACCUGACAUUGUUCUCGAGUACUCAUCUUCAACAUCUUAUGCUUCCAGGGAAGAUACCGCAUCUGCCUGAGGAACAGAUAGGGCAAGGGAGAAGGAUAUAAGGAAGCAUGUGGAGACAAGCGUAACAGCACACGUGCCGAUACAUCCAUUACUCUGUCAAAGCAAAAGUAUCCCAUAUCAGUAGGGUCGAACGUACUCUAGAUUUGAUGGACUUGUUUUGACCCUCAAAUUCUUCAGUCGGCCUUAUACUCUGGAGGAAACCAGAAAUUUCUCCAGCUCAGUGCAAGAAUAAGCUUGUGGAAAGUUACUUCUUCAAAAGCAAAAGUAUCACAUAUCAUCUCUUCUCAUUUUCUUCUCUUUAUCCUUCAUGCUGCCUGCAAGAUAGGGAGAUUGUGAACAAUCAGCUGGAGCUAUGAUUGCUUACCUUGUCUGUCACCUCUUUCAGCAGAUCCCCUAGCUCGGCGAUUUGGGGGACUCCUACUACAUGGUUUGUAUCGCGCUUGACCAAGCCUGAAACUACAAGUAAGCUUCAAGUGAAAUUGAUACAUUACCUUGUGCAUCUCCACCAGUUAAAGAUACUACCCCUGGAUGGAGGAAGAGUACUUCCAGAGAAGAUGCCCCAUCUACCUAUGAGACAGAUAAGGCACGUCAAGACGAUACCACACUCUGAUACUUAGAAGUUUCGUGAUUACGAGAUCAUUCUCCCACAAUAUUUCCUAAUGUCAUUUGUACUAAAUCAUUCACUUGUACUCACUAAAGGAGAGCUUGAACCUAUGUACUUGUGUAAACCCUUCACAAUUAAUGAGAACUCCUCUAUUCCGUGGACGUAGCCAAUCUGGGUGAACCACGUACAUCUUGUGUUUGCUUUCCUAUCUCUAUCCAUUUAUAUACUUAUCCAUACUAAUGACCGGAGCAAUCUAGCGAAGAUCACAAAAAGCGACCGUUUUCGCUACCUAAGAUCUAUCGUGCAAGAGAACGGAGAAUUAGAUGGAGAUCUCAACCAUAGAAUACAAGCUGGAUAGAUGAAGUGUAAGAGUGCAUCCGACGUGUUGUGUGACCGUCAUAGGUCACUGAAGCUCAAGGGAAAAUUUUAUAGGACGACAAUAAGGCCAGCGAUGUUGUAUGGCACAGAAUGUUGGGCGGUGAAGCAUCAAUACGUACACAAAAAUGGGUGUGGCGGAGAUGAGGAUGCUUCGUGGGAUGUGUGGGCACACGAGAAAGGAUAAGAUUGGGAAUGAGUAUAUCCGAGGUAAAGUAGGAGUAGCCGAAAUUGAAGGAAAGAUGAGAGAAAAUCGGUUCCGGUGAUUUGGACAUGUGCAAAGAAGGCCUACUGACGCUCCGGUUCGAAGAUGUGACUACUGGACAGAGGUUCAGGGCCGAAGGGGUAGAGGAAGACUUAGAAAACCUUUGGAAGAGACUCUAAGAAAAGACUUAGAGUACUUGGAUCUAAUGGAGGACAUGACACAAAACCGAGCGCAAUGACGUUCUAGGAUUCAUAUAGCCGACCCCACUUAGUGGGAAAAGGCUUUGUUGUUGUUGUUGUUGUUGUUGGGGUUUUGCAGGGAGUACUAAUGUACUGAUUUUCUGGGAUUUUUUUUGUCCUUGCAGGAUUUUUGGUCUUUGAAAUGGGUAUGUGUUGUUUUUAAUGUUUCAGUUCUAGCGUUUUCCGUUCUUCGUUGCUUCGUGAUUCUCAUUUUUCAGUGUUGGGUGAUGGAAAUUUGUUAAAGUAGUUGGUAGUUUUUUGAGAAAGUUGGCAUUUUUAGUUAUAUUUUCUGUUUAAUCCUAAAUGUUUUGAAAACUCAUAAUUUUUUUGUUCUGGGAUUUAAAAGCAUCUUUUCCAGAUUGGUUACAAGGGUUAUGUUCUCUUCAAUUGGUUCACCUAAUUUUGAUUAGUUUUAAGUUUUGUCCUUUAAGUUUGUCUUUUAAGUUUUGUUCUUUAAGUUUUGUCUUUUAAGUUUUGUUCUCUAAGUUUUGUCUUUUAAGUUUUGUCUUCUGUGCUGUAAUGAGAGAUUUCCGUUGGCCUUUCGGAUUUUGGCAUGGGAAAGUUCACUUAUUUGCAAGGUUCUAAAAAACGCUAGGCGUUAGUUGGGCGGUGGGCUAGCGCCUAGCGGCUAGGCGGCUAGGCGGGAUCUAGGCGGGAUCUAGGCGGGCGCCUAGGCGGCCUAGGCGGAUUUAGGUAAAUUUCUUAUAUAUUUUAUGAAUUAAUUAAAUUUACUAUAUCAAAUGUAAAUAAUUAUUAACUAAUAUGUUAUUUCUUAUAGAAGAACAUACAUAGUGAAUGUUUUAUGUACAUAUAUAAUAUAUUUGUCUAGGAAAAAAAAAUAUUAUCUAAAUAAUUUUUAUAACAUAUAUAUAUAUAUAUAUAUAUAUAUAUAUAUAUCCCAAACUUUUAAAAAUAUAAAUAGCAUUGGGAGAGGGGCGUAGGGUUUCUAAAAGCACACUCAGAAAUAGAGCAUAUUUUAGUCUUUAUUUUAGAAUCCUAAGGAGCACCCUACUCGGAUGCACGACAUGUGUGCAAAUCUGGAGAUUCUUGCUGUAUCGGAUACACCAAUGCUUAGUCAAAAUUUCCUGCUAGGGUUUAUGGUGGACAUGUGUGUGUGGUCUUCAUUAUUAAACCCAUUAGCACCUCACCUUUUCACAUCACCCGUCCAUCACCUUGGGUGGUUUUGAUAAUUAAAACCAUCAACAUCCAUGGUUUUGAUAAUUAGAACUACCAACUUUUCCUUGGAUUUGAGAAUCUGAGAUCCCAUUCAUCGCCAUCAAAUAUUGAAAUGUUUCAUUGUUCAUCUCUUUCUCCCUCUUCUCACUCUCUAUUCCCUCAUCUUCACAGAGAUGAGUUACAGAAAUUCUCCGGUAAUCUCUCUCUCUCUCUCUUCGUAAUCGACGAGCUCCUCGACUUGAAGUCGCAGCCAAGUUAUGAAGAAUCGAGAUGCGAGAGCAAGUGGAGAGUGGAGACUCUGGAAAUUGGGAGUGACGAUCGACGACGAUGAGUCGAUGACCCAGGAAACCUCUUGAAGUUGCAGCAGGUGAGUGCACUGCAGUUGAGGAAGAAGAGACGAAGAGACUUAGUUUCUGAAAUUAGGGUAGCUGCAAGGCACGGGAACUUAAAAACAAAAAAACAAAAAGAAAACCGCCUAGCUCCGCCAGCCGCCUAGCCUGCCUAGGCGCCUCCUAGCCCGCCUAGGUGCCGCUUAGCCACCGCCUAGAGCCCAGCCGUUUUUUCCCACCGUUUUGCACAAAAACGCCUUGGCCACCCUCCGCCUAGCGCCUAGGCGGCCGCCUAGGCCGUUUUUUAGAACACUGCUUAUUUGUCUAAUUAGAUUGUGGAUGCCUUCGAUUCUUUAUUUAAUUGUUCUGUUUGCGUUCGGGUGUGAUGAUCUAAAUUUCAUAUGUUUGGAAUUAUUUACUUAACACCAAUUUGUUACAUUCAGAUCUCCACCCCACAUUUCACUAGUUCAAAUUCCAUAGAAGUUGGUUAUUGCAGAUUGCGUCUACAAUUAGAUCAGAGAUCAACUACUCUUUUGUUAUCCUGCAGAAGAUUGCUUUUGGGAAGGAUCUGAAGUAGUUUCUCUCUGUAUGUUUAUUCCCAUGUAGCUCUGUCUUUUCUAAUUGAUGGUGUUGAUAUUACACUGUAAUUCAUGAUGAUGAUUUAAUUGUUUAUUGAUUUGUAAUUGUUUGUGAAUAAUGUGGCAUAUAUGAAUUGCAAUCUGUGUUUGUAUGAAAGGGAUGGCAUAUUAUGUUGCUGACUUAAUUGUUUAUGUUUUUCAUAUUUGCGAAUGGUGUUAUGAUCAAUUAGGUGAUUGCUGACCUGUGACUUUGUUUGGAGCUCAAAUUUUGUGAGCAUUACAUUGGAUUGUUUUGAUGUUGUUUUGGUUGACAAUGCAGGGAUAGGAGAAACAAAGAGGAUGACACUUAUAACUGCCAUUCCCCAUCGGCCGUCUUCAAAUUUGGAUCACAAGAAGGGAGCAACAUAGGUGUUUUCCUUCUUUAUUUAGAUAUGGUUAGUGUAAAUAAUUGGACAAAAGAGCCAAACAAACCCUGUUCUCUCAAAUGGAGUUGAUGAUGUGGUCGACGGCCACCAGCCCCAACUCAAGAGUUUGGCCUUCAUAUAAUUGGAUUGUAGUAUAAUUUUAUUUUUGUUCAUUUCUUUUUUCCUUUAUAUAAGUGCAGGUGUUGUGAUGUUUUGAAUAAAGGGUGAUGAAAGGUGGUUCACACUUCCUCCUUACUUAAAGCAAGUGGAGAUGACGGUUUGUAUAAAAAGAAAAACUUGCCACGUACUUCAAUUUUCUAUUUUAUUAAUUAUUGUUUGGUUUUCCAAAUGUUGUAUUCACAAAGAGAGACCAAUUAUGUCUUUGAGAAACAAGUUUCUUUGUCUACAUUGCGAGAAUUUGCAGUUUGCAACUUUCAUUGGUUAUUAUAUUUGAUUGAGUUAAACUUGGAUUUCUGGAUUCUGACUUUUUCGUUUGUUUCUUUGUUGCAGAGUUGGCUUCAUUUCAUUCCAGGAACUCUCUAAAUAGGGCCAAGAACUCACUAAAUAGGUAGUCAAGAGGAAUUCAGUUUUGCCUUCAAUUUUUGCCUUCUGUUUACAUUCUUCCUGGAUGCACUCUCACCGCUUCUCUCGCUUACCACUUUUUUCUCACUCACCGCUUCAUCUCUUCUGUUGCUUACAAGGUCGUGUCAUAUAUUUUUUAAUUUUGUGGUUUAAUUUAUUGAAUAUUUGAAAAAAGAGAUAAAAUUAUAAGAUACUAUAUAAGAUACUAUAUAGUAUCUUAUAAAUAAAUGAAUCACAAAUGAUACUAUAGUUGUUAAAAAAUCCCAUUACUCAAAACUCCAAUUCCCUCCCAUUACUGAAAGCUCCAAUUCCAUCAAAACCGAGAUGGUAAAAGUACAAACUGGCUAGUUUCCACCAAAAAAAAAAGUACAAACUGGUUACAAAAAUAUGUUUUGUCCCAUCCAAUUGACGAAAAGAGAUAAAAUUUUCAAUUUACAAUUACUGAUAUGAUGUUUGUUUUGAAAAUCAUUAAGGUGAAUGGAGAGAUUUACAACCAUGAAGAGCUGAGGAGCCGUUUGCCAAAUCAGAUUUAUAAGGUCUCAUCAAUUAUGAAUAAACGACUUUUCAUUCCCAAUGACCUUUAUCGUUUUUCUUAAUGGGUUAGCUGAACAUGAGGUAGAUGCUGACUUUAUCAAAUAUGAGAAUGUUUUAGGAUUUCAUUCUAAUUUUUUGGCUGUUUGAUUACUUUGCUUUUCGUAAUUUGUUUUGCUUAUCGUCAAUUGGAUGGGACAAAACAUAUUUUUGUAACCAGUUUGUACUUUUUUUUUUGGUGGAAACUAGCCAGUUUGUACUUUUACCAUCUCGGUUUUGAUGGAAUUGGAGCUUUCAGUAAUGGGAGGGAAUUGGAGUUUUGAGUAAUGGGAUUUUUUAACAACUAUAGUAUCAUUUGUGAUUCAUUUAUUUAUAAGAUACUAUAUAAGAAACUGUUAUUAGCACUCUAAAAAACUCAUUCUACACUCGCGACAAGUGUAUUUUUCUUUUUAAUUAUGGAAAGUUUGAAGGGCAAAAUGAGAAUUUUGGAGUGCCAAUAACAAUUCCCUAUUAUAUAUAGCUCUACUGGGAAGGCUACUGUAUAUGUCUUCAUCCUGUUAAAUUGUAUAUGGCUCUUGAUGUCGGCUGAAUUAAAUCAAAAUGAAAACCAAGCUGAUCUUACCAGCCGAUAUCACUUAUCACUUGCUUAUUUAAAUUAUUUGAAGAUGCGUAUGUGGAUUGGUGAUUUUGUUGGAUUCACUUAGCUCAAAUAUAUGUUAUCUGAGUCGCUACAUUUGAGAAUGUGAUUCUGUUCCUACCACCAUUUUGCCCACUUUUUGUGGAAAUUAUUCAUUCCUGUUGUGAAUAAUACAUUCAUCCCCGGCAACGAAGUGCGGGCACAUUUUAUAGUUUAAAUUAAAUCACACAAUGGGUCAUCAAUAAUGACAAACUCGUCAUUUAUGCGAGUCAAACAUGAGGCCACCUACCUACUAGUUUAGUGGAAUACCACAAAGUGACAUGUUGAUACCUUUAAGUCUCAUAUAAUGGAUUGCAGAAUUAGGAUAUACCUAGACUAAUUUAGUCAGUGCGUGAACCCGAACAAUUAACAAGGGUUUUAUUCUUGCUUGAAUGUUUGUUAUAUGUUCCUAGUUUGACAAGGCAAUUAUAUUUCCGAUUACAAAAGUUAUUAAUUUAGUCGAGAAUUGACGCACCUGAAAUGGUGUGAGGAAAACAUGUAGACACAUCAACCGCAGUCCACUGUCCUGGGCAUCUAUCUUCCCCGAAACGAAGCUCAAAGCCAUACAUGAGGGCAUUGUGUAUGUCUUUAUAAGAGAAGUUGCUGUAGUCUUCAACGUAGCCGGCAGCCAAACUCAUCCACUCUACACUGCAACCCUCAUCCAAAUCCCAUGCUUCCAACCUGCCCCCGACAUAGUCAGCGACCAUGACAUAGCUAUACGUUUUUGGUUGACUCGAAGAAGAAGAAGAAGUAUUAUUCAAGCAUGGAGCAGUGUCCACGUACAGAGAAGAAUUCGAUGGAUUCGAACACUUCAAGUAAUAUAUAGAUAGAGAAUUGAUGUCAUAGGUGGGCCAAUAUGGAGAAUUGAUGUCCUCGGUGGUGGGCGGAAUAUUUUGAGACAUGGAAGAGCAAUUGUUGUUGUCAAGCCCAGGAUCUAGAACUCGGAUUGUAUUGUUAAUGUAGUUGAUUGCCUGGACAUAGUAUUUUCCGGAAGAAGGUACGUCUAGUACAGUAAUGUUGCUCUCACAGUACAGAGUAUACAUUAUGUUGCCACAGUACUUUGGAUCAUCGUUCAGUCGAAAAGGAUGGCUUAUGUAGUGGAUAUGGCCGCAGGAUGAAGUGCAGGACUUGGCACUACUGUUGUCAGCGUUACAAGUUUCACUGCAAAAGCAAAGAAGAAGAAAGGCUAAACUUAAGGUGAAGGACCUGCUUCCACUAAUUUCCAUUGAUCUGAGAGAGAGAGAGAGAGAGAGAGAGAGAGAGAGAGAGGGUACUAUAGCUUGAACACCAAGGAGUUAUAUAAUAUGGGAGGGGUUAAAGCGCUUCGCUUAAAGUUGCAGUAAGCCCGGCAAAUAUCCUAGGGAAAAGUCGGUCAAUGGUGUCCUAUAGAGAAAAGUCGGCCUUGGUGUUUGACACGGUCACUCACUCUCUCUCUCUCUCUCUCUCUCUCUCUCACAUUGACGAGGGACACUGUAAUUAACAAAAAAAUUGUUCUUCAGAGAUAGAUUUUGAAAUUCUUAUUUUAUAUAAAAAAACACCUAAUAUUAAUCAUUCAAAUGAAAUUCCUAAAAUUAAGUAUAAAUAAUACAUAAUAAAAACUGAACACAUACAAUCAACGGUCACGAUCAUGAAAUCCUUCGGAUCCUCAGAAAAAAAUCCGACGAUGAUCUUUUUCUGUGUAAAAUAAUUUGAGGGUAUAAUACUGGAUGUGCGAUUAAACCGAAGAACCCACCCACCUCCAUCUUCUCCGACCAACUUGAACCCAGCCACUACUACAUGUCAUCCCGACAACCCACUCUCAGCUUCCCAAACCGCCAUUUUUCACCCAUUCACCUACCACUGCCAUUAUUCAUUCAAUCAACCCAAAACACGAGAGCCACCCCCAUCUCACCAGUCGAACAGAUGCAGCCACCCACCCAUUUAAUCCCAGUCCAAAAUCAAACCCUCUCCUAAACCCACCCCAGAAUCCAAUAAUUUCAAAAAAUGGCUGAUUAUAUCAUUUCAAGAACCUCACAAUUCCAAAAACUAAAAACCCACUUCAAAGAUGUAAUAUUUUUCUCUCUUCCUCUUUUUGGGUUUUUUUUUCUUUUUUUUUAUCAAUUCUCUUCUGGGUUUUUGUUUACAGUGUAAAAUCAACACUAAUUUACUAAUUUUGCUUUGAUUUCAAACACUAUUGAGGCGUGAUAACCUGUUGCAAGCUCAGCCAUGGCGGCUACUGCGAAAUCUAACGGAAAAACCAUCACAGACUCUGCCAUUUCAUCCAAGGUUCCGACAAUAGCAAAACGAAUAGCUGUCGCAGAUUUCUUCCAACAUCAAUCACUACGCGAAAUUAAUUGUCAAUGAAGACGAUCCCAUUCCCCUUCGAAAUCUGCUGGGGAAAGAGACCUUCUUUCAGAUCUGCUCUGAGACCGGUUUAUGCGAGAGAGUGGUGAGCCUGACGACAGAGAGAAAUAAGGGCAGGAUUGGAAAAUUGGAAAGUUCAUUUAUUGGUUACUGUUUAUCCGUGUUUCUUCGAAAUAAGCUGCUUUUUCCAGCUUUGGGUUUCAGUGUUUUUUAACCCAUAAUUUUGAAAGAAAAAAAACUGAUUUUAAAUGUUUAUCAAACACUUAAAAUGUUCCAAUCUUUUUUCAUACCUACUUUUUAUUAAAAGUUAAGCUAAACAAAAAUCAAGAUUAAGUUUACUACUCUGAAGUUUCUUGCUUUUCAACAUUUCAUACAUUGAAUUUUUCUCAUCCAGUGUCAUAUCUAAGGUGGGAAUUGUGGGACACUUUUAUACAUCCGUUAGAUUUUAUGUGAAUUGCGUGGCACUUUUAUACAUCCGUUAAAUUUUUUGUGAGAACCUUCGCUGACCCACGAUGCGGCAUGCAUGUGGACAUUAAAAAAAUUCAAAAAAUUCAAAAAAUUUUAAAAUUUUAAAAUUUAAAAUUCAAAAAUACUAAAAACCUAAACUUUUCAUAAUAUUGAAAGACUGAAUCUUUUCACAGUCAGCCAAAUUUUCUUCAAAUUUUAAUUAGAUGAAAUAAUGAAUCUUGAACAAAGCAAAACAAAACGUAAUAUUGAGAGAUUCAGUCAUUGAAGUGGACGUGGAUGUUGGGUACUCAAUAGUCCAAGAAUGAAAACUCUCAUAUCAGUUUCUAUCCAAAAUUUUGGAAUUAUGUGUGUUGCAACGAUUGUCCAAAGGAUUAUUCUUCUUUUAUUAAAUUUCCAUGAAAAAUGAGCAUGGAGCACAAAAGUUGAACGAAUGAUUAUUCUUCUUUUAUUAAAUUUCCAUGGAAAAUGAGCAUGGGGCACAAAAGUUGAACGAAUGAAAUUUCAACGAUUUGAAAAGGGAUUGUGAGUUUGACAUGUCAUUUUUCUUCCUCUAAUGCAAUCAUGUUUAUUAAAAGACAAAAAUAAAUAUGACUUUACAUAAGGAGAGAGAAGGAGUAGUUUUCUUUGAAAAAAUCAACCAUUUAUUGAAGAGGAUGUGGAUGUUGAUUGAUGCGUCGUGAAUACGAAAAAAAGGACCUUGAAAGGAGUUGAGACAUUCAUUAAAAGCUAGAAGAAAAAAAAGUUAAAAGUGUUUUAGAAAAAAAGCAAGAAAGCCUCAUUUUCAAAGUUGUGGUCAUUGCACAAUACUUGAUUAGAAGAAAACUCAUAGUAUUGUAUUUACAAUUUCAAGUCUUUAUGGGGAACGAGAGAGCAAGUUUUCCAAUUGGAAUAUGAUAUGAAAUUUCUACAUAACUAUAUAUGACAAUGAAAGAAGUCUAAGUUUCUAAAUGGAAGGGCUUCCAAUUGAUGUGAGUUUGUUGAGAAAUUAGUGAACAACAGAACAAGUUGCUUCUCCUUUGGCCUUCUAACAUGAUAUCACAGAAAACAAGUUGUUACUAAUAAAUGUAUCUGAUUGGUGGACUUAGACGUGCGCGGUACGAUUUUUGAUAACUAGAGAAGAUGGGCAGUGUCAUGACAAAAUUUAUCCAAGUAGACCCAAAGGAAUGACUUAGGAACUUCAUAUGCAGUGGGAUAAAAUCUUAAGCUAAUUUCCUUACCUAUCUUAUAGGCAUUAAGUAAAAUGUAUAUGCAUAUUUCUAGACACACCAAUUUACUUAAUAUUAACUUCUUUCAAAUACCCAUUUGCAGAAACGCAAAGCUCUCUUGCAUGCUUGUUGUAAUGCUUAUGUAGUGCGUAUCCUAUAUCUUAUAUAUAUAUCUUACUUUUUGUGAUCCAUUUUUUCAUCACUAUGCCAAACGAAUAGCAAAACGAAUAGCUGUCGCAGAUUUCUUCCAACAUCAAUCACCACGCGAAAUUAAUUGUCAAUGAAGACGAUCCCAUUCCCCUUCGAAAUCUGCUGGGGGAAAGAGGCCUUCUUUCCGAUCUGCUCUGAGACCGGUUUAUGCGAGAGUGGUGAGCCUGACGACAAAGAGAAAGAAGGGCAGGAUUGGAAAAUUGGAAAGUUUAUUGGUUACUGUUUAUCCGUGUUUCUUCGAAAUAAGCUGCUUUUUCCAGCUUUGGGUUUUCAGUUUUUUUUACCCAUAAUUUUGAAAGAAAAAAAACUGAUUUGAAAUGUUUAUCAAACACUUAAAAUGUUCCAAUCUUUUUUCAUACCUACUUUUUAUUAAAAGUUAAGCUAAACAAAAACCAGGAUUAAGUUUACUACUCUGAAGUUUUUUGCUUUUCAACAUUUCAUACAUUGAAUUUUUCUCAUCCAGUGUCAUAUCUAAGGUGGGAAUUGUGAGACACUUUUAUACAUCUGUUAGAUUUUAUGUGAAUUGUGGGGCACUUUUAUACAUCCGUUAGAUUUUUUGUGAGAACCUUCGCUGACCCACGAUGCGGCAUGCAUGUGGACAUUGAAAAAAUUCAAAAAAAAUCGAAAAUUUUAAAAUUUUAAAAUUUAAAAUUCAAAAAUACUAAAAACCUAAACUUUUCAUAAUAUUGAGAGACUGAAUCUUUUCACAGUCGGCCAAAUUUUCUUCGAAUUUUAAUUAGAUGAAAAUAAUGAAUCUUGAACAAAGCAAAACAAAACGUAAUAUUGAGAGAUUCAGUCAUUGAAGUGGACGUGGAUGUUGGGUACUCAAUAGUCCAAGAAUGAAAACUCUCAUAUCAGUUUCUAUCCAAAAUUUUGGAAUUAUGUGUGUUGUAACGAUUGUCCAAAGGAUUAUUCUUCUUUUAUUAAAUUUCCAUGAAAAAUGAGCAUGGAACACAAAAGUUGAACGAAUGAUUAUUCUUCUUUUAUUAAAUUUCCAUGGAAAAUGAGCAUGGGGCACAAAAGUUGAACGAAUGAAAUUUCAACGAUUUGAAAAGGGAUUGUGAGUUUGACACGUCAUUUUUCUUCCUCUAAUGCAAUCAUGUUUAUUAAAAGACAAAAAUAAAUAUGACUUUACAUAAGGAGAGAGAAAUAGUAGUUUUCUUUGAAAAAAUCAACCAUUUAUUGAAGAGGAUGUGGAUGUUGAUUGAUGCGUCGUGAAUACGAAAAAAAAAGACCUUGAAAAGAGAUGAGACAUUCAUUAAAAGCUAGAAAAAAAAAAGUUAAAAGUGUUUUAGAAAAAAGCAAGAAAGCCUCAUUUUCAAAGUAGUGGUCAUUGCACAAUACUUGAUUAGAAGAAAACUCAUAGUAUUGUAUUUACAAUUUCAAGUCUUUAUGGGGAACGAGAGUGCAAGUUUUCCAAUUGGAAUAUGAUAUGAAAUUUCUACAUAACUAUAUAUGACAAUGAAAGAAGUCUAAGUUUCUAAGUGGUAGGGCUUCCAAUUGAUGUGAGUUUGUUGAGAAAUGAAGAUGAAGAUGAAUAUUGAUGUUGAUGUUAGUGAACAACAGAACAAGUUGCUUCUCCUUUGGCCUUCUAACAUGAUAUCACGGAAAACAAGUUGUUGCUAAUAAAUGUAUCUGAUUGGUGGACUUAGACGUGCACGGUACGAUUUUUGAUAACUAGAAAAGAUGGACAGUGUCAUGACAAAAUUUAUCCAAGUAGACCCAAAGGAAAGACUUAGGAACUUCAUAUGCAGUGGGAUAAAAUCUUAAGCUAAUUUCCUUACCUAUUUUAUAGUAUUAAGUAAAAUGUAUAUGUAUAUUUCUAGAUGCUGACACACCAAUGUACUUACUAUUAACUCCUUUCAAAUACCCAUUCGCAGAAACGCAAAUCUCUCUUGCAUGCUUGUUGUAAUGCUCAUGUAGUGCGUAUCUAAUAUCUUAUGUGUAUAAUUUUUUGUGAUCCAUUUUUUCAUCACUAUGCCAAAAUCCCUUUAGAAUUUGCAAUUUAUCCAUUUGGUUAUGGUAAAAAAAAAAACUCGGAAUUUCAUUUAAACUCGAAAAUCUAGAAUUGGGAAAGCAAUUUUCCCUUGUUCGGCAACUUGUAGCGAUAGCAAAGGCAAAUUGUACCGGAAAAAAGUGGAAAUUGGGGAUGAAGAUCCAAUUUUAAUUUCGUCAAAAUAAGUGUAAUUUCACAAUUCCAACAACGUUGAGAAUCACAAAUGCAUUGUGGGGAAAUCUUGCGACCACCAAACUUUACGAUUAGAGCGCCAAAUUUCAUGAUAAAACGUAAUAAGGGUUUAGGACUGCAUCGUUCGCUCUGUUAACUCUCCAAUCUUCGACGGGAUUUUCAACUCGUGCAUCAUUUUUUGCUUUGUUCUAGGUCAAAGCCUACUCUUUUCUUUCUUGAAUUAUUUUAGCUUUGCGGGUAUACUCUUUAGGCCAAUUGUGAAUUUUGCUAGUUAUUUUUAUUUUCUGAUGGUCAUAUGUUUGUUUUUUUUUUCUUCCAAUUGAGCUGUGUAUUGGUUGGAUCAGUAACUUUUUUUUUGGAUUUUUAUUUUUAUUUUUAUGGAUUUUGGUGUUAGUUCCUUGUUAUAGAUGUAUAGAUGUUGUGGAGCAAAAAAUAAUCUCAAAAAUCGUGGAGGUGACACACGGAUUUUUGGACAAGAAUGACAAAAUUAUCCUCGAAGCACAUCAUGAUUCCCACGUGCAUGCAACGGACAAUAACGGCUCAAUCAUGGAAGAGUCAAAGGUGAUCAAUAUGGUAUUUAUUCAAAUCCCUCUCAUCACUCCUCAUCAAUCCCUUUUUGAUUUUAUUCAAAAGGUAACUCCCAAAACUUCCUAUUUAAUUUAGGGAUCAUUGUCAUGUUAAUUGCAAGAUAUUAUUUCACAAAAUAUCUUGUAAUUAUUCUUCAAUUACCACCAUGUAUGGCCGGCCACUCCUCACCCUAUGGGCCGGUCACUCCUCACCCUAUGGGUCGGCCACUCCCUAUAAAUAGCCCUAUUAUUCCACUAAUAAGGAAGCCAUUUGCUACCCACAAACUCCUAAACACAUUCUUUCAGAAUUCUAACUUUGGCAUUGGAGAUUCUUAGGCCAAAUCCCCCCUCCCAUUCAUCGUGGGCGCAUAAGGCUUUUGGCCUUAGUCUUAGGUAUUAUUAUUUUGCAGGUGCAUUUUCGUCAAAGACGAAGAUGGUGGAAAUUUGGAUCCACAAAUUGGUGUUUUCAUUGAGAGUUUGAUUCACAAGCUCGAAGAAGACUCUCGCAUUCAAAGUUUCACAUUUCUCAUUCAUAAGUAAAUUUUUCAUACGUUCUUAUUCCUAGAAUUUUUUUAAAUCUUUGAAUAGACGUAGGAGAGAAAUACAAUGGCUAGAAAUUUAGAAACCACGACGAACGAAACUUCCUACGUUCAAAGAUCCAGAUCAAAUGAUGGAAAUUGCGAUGUAGCCCCACCACGACGAUCCACGAAGCUCAACGUAGUGGCAAAAUGAGUAACUUGGCCACCACGGAGUACCACCACCACCAUAGCCAAGGCAACCCAUGUUGCAGUGGGGAGUGGGACAACUCCAUGGCAGCAAGGCCACGAAGCAACAACAGAUGCCAUCUUGCAGUAAUGAGCCCAAGCCUGUGUCACAAGGUAGUCAACCCAGCGCUAGGUAACCUAGAUCUAGUAGGCCCACGACGUUGCCAUAGUAGCUGAGGCCUAAAGCAAGGCCCAAGCAGCUGCGACUGCGGCAAAUGGAGCAACACAACACUGGCGGGGCCAAUGCACCCUUGGCCUAAUGCCAAGCAGGCUAAAUCGCACCACACCCACUAUUCAAACUAACCCUAAGUUGAGUAAGUAGCAUUGAAGGUUGUCAACCGCAAGGCGUUGAAGUACGAAUAAAGUUACACACCCCGCACAUGACUUGGCCCACUUCCGCGGCCCAACUUGCUCGCAAGGUCCACCUAGUGAUCCCGACCAGUCGAAGGCCAGUUCAAUCAUCCCAUCUUCAGAUUUCUGGACUGACGAUUGAAUCGGGGGUAUUUUCACCCCGAUUUUCUACAGAUUUGACAUAUCUCAACACAAAUCUCGCACUUGGAGUCCAUUGCACUUCCAUUACUCAAGGAGACGCAUACCAUUUAAGAUCUUCCAUCCCAAAUGGCGAACAACACUUGUCUUGACAAGUCAUAGAGUUGACAUGCACUUUUGCGCAGUAGACGACCUUAGUGAAUCAGCUUUUGCAACGCACAAAGAUGCAGUAUGCCCCAGACGAUGUGUCCCGAAGCAGGACAAGUAUAGACGACGAUUCUCUCCAGCAGCGUCCCAACAAGCAGCCGCUCGACUAGCCACGAACCGAGCAUUCUGGCAGUGUACACUCCCGUCUAGGUCCUCAAGAAAGCAUAUACUCUCAUCUUAGCGCGCGGAUGAGCGUGCACUCCUGGUUAGGCCUACGGACGAGCAUACAUUCACGGUUGGGACCAUACUCUUAUAAUUAACAUGGACAACCUGCUAGACGAAGUGUUCAUUCGCGGCUAGGCUCGCAAAGAGCAUUUUCCACCUCAUAUUGGAGUAAGCAGCACAGAAGACGAAGAUAAGCAGUCAAUUAAUCUGGCUCAAAUUCAAUCGGCCACCUGUAAGUAACUAGCUCGCCUGCCAAGAACGUACCAUAUGCAAUGUAGCCACGACAUAGACUAGCUGAGCACAACGAUGAGCAACCUAGACUAACAGGUUACGACUGGGGGUAGCCAGAAGCUUCACUGCCCCAAUAUAGGUAAAUUUAGAAAGAAGUUGAGAGGCUUCUGACAGAACGAUUGUGCGAUUUCCAACGCAAUGAAGCUACUGACAAGGCGCUUAAACGAUACACGACCAACAUAAACGGGUCACCUUUUAUUGACAAGAUUGAGCAGACAGAACCAUCCUACAUACACUGGCGGAUACAAAUAUUACUUCUAUUUUAACAUACGCAUCAACUCAGCCUAAUGGCGUGUCGAGGGCAAAUGGGUUCCAGAAUGGCACACUAACCCAACCACCAAGAACCAGGGCCAAAUCUUAUUUUCAUCACUCCACACGAUUCAAUGCUUGAGCAUCACAUCACCAGUAAUAGAGCACCGCAGACCUAAUGGUCCAAUUCCUCCUGAUGCACACAAGCUCACCCCAGCUCCACGCUCAAAGCCGUGCCUACCUGCUCCACAACACUCAGCCACCCUUGAUUUGUCACCAUGGCUCACAGUUAUGCCAAUUUUGCACCACAGCUCCCAGCCGUGCUAAUCUUGCCAUGCGGCUUUUAACUACGUUAACCAAGCCCACGAUACUUCAUACUUCAAAACAUCCAAUGACGAAGUAGAACAUGAGGCUCUACUAGCAGCCCCUGCUAGUGAAAGGCUUUGCGGUGAAGAGGCUUCCAAUCCAUUCAAAUUCUCAGUUGACCACCUGUUGGGUUUUACGGCUCAAAAUUAGGAUGAUGCAAAAAAAAUUGUGUUACCUAUUUGGUUUUGGUGUCGUAUUUGGGUUUGGAUUUUGACCUCUUAGUUGGUUUCCUUGGUGGAGAGAUUUUGUUAAUUACCUAUUUGAUUAGGAUUUGGAUUUACUUCCUAUUAAGAUUCUUAUUGUAACCUAAGUCUUAUGCACUAUAAAUAGGACCUCAGGGUUAGUGUAUUUUGUGUGGCUCAUUCGUGUGGCAAUUUGGUGAGAGUCAAUUUGUGAGUUUGUGAGUUAGAGAGCAAUUUGGGAGAAUCUUCUCCGUUAGUUUUGGGUUCUCUACUCGUUUGGUUUAGGGUUUGUAAUUUGUGGGAUUUGGAUUGUGAGAGUUUAAACACUAUUUUGUAAUCUCCGUUUGUUUAGUGAAAUUUCUUGUCAUGCUUCGCUCGUGGACUUAGAUUUUACACCGAACCACAUAAAUCUCUUGUGUUAGUUUGAGAUUGUUUGUUUUAGUUUUCACCUACAACGUUGAUAUCGGUACUUUGCUAUAAUUUGCUUUCCUUUGCUCAUAAAAGUACGACAAGUGGUAUCAGAGCCCAGCUUUCGGCUUGGGCUUUUCUUGGCAAUCAAUAUGAAGCCUUCUGUGUCGUCGGUGAAAGUUGAUAUUGAAAAGUUCGAUGGCAAUGACUUUGGUAUUUGGCAAUUGAAGAUGCGUGCUUUGUUAAUUCAACAAGAGCUUUUAAAAACGCUAAAGGGUGUGAAGGCUUUCCUGAAUUCGUGGACUGAUGAAGAAAAACAAAGAAGUUAUGGAGCGGGCACUUGGAACAAUCCUGCUGACUUUAUCGAAUGAAGUCUUGCGUCAAGUUGGUAGCAUCAAAUCUGCACCGAAGUUGUGGCUAAAAUUGGAGAGUUUGUAUAUGACCAAAUCCCUUGCUAAAUGGUUGUAUUUGAAGAAAAGUUUGCGUACUCUUCGUAUGGAUGAAGGUACGUCAAUUCAUAAGACCAAAUCCUUAUUGCUGCCAAAAGUCCUCAACAGUUCCAAGGGAGAUGGGUAAGAGUUCGUAAUAGUGAGAGAUUGAAUCUUUUCACACUUGGCCAAAUUUUAAUUUUAAUUAGAUGAAACAAUGAAUCUUGAACAAAGCAAAACAAAAUUUAAUACUGAAAGAUUGAGUCAUUGAAGUGGACGUGGAUGUUGGGUACUUAACAGUCCAAGAAUGAAAACUCUCAUAUCAGUUUUUAUCCAAAAUUUUGGAAUUAUGUGAGUAUUGCAACGAUUGUCCGAAUGAUUAUUCUUCUUUUAUUAAAUUUCCAUGGAAAAUGAGCAUGGGGCACAAAAGUUGAACGAAUGAAAUUUCAAUGAUCUGCAAAGGGAUUGUGAGUUUGACAUGCCAUUUUUCUUCCUUUUAUGCAAUCAUGUUUAUUAAAAGACAAAAAUAAAUAUGACUUUACAUAAGCAGAGAGAAAGAGUAUUUUUCUUUGAAAAAAUCAACUAUUUAUUGAAGAGGAUGUGGAUGUUGAUUGAUGCGCCGUGUGAAUAGGAAAAAAAUGACCUUGAAGGGAGACAAGACAUUCAUUAGAAGCUAAAAAAAAGUUAUAGUGAUUUAGAAAAAAGAAAUUUUAACGAAAUAUUUCCGGUAUUGUUCACUCUUUACGAAAAACCACAUUUUUACAUUUCCUGGCUACUAUUCACUACACCUUUAUUUAUCAUUUUUCAUUAAAACUAAAUUUGUUUUUGAACUUUUCGUUAGUUUCCUUUAGAAAAAAGCAAGAAAGCCUCAUUUUCAAAGUGGUAGUCAUUGAAACAAUACUUGAUUAGAAGAAAAGUCAUAGUAUUGUAUUUACAAUCUCAAGUCUUGAGGGGUAACGAGAGUGCAAGUUUCUAAUUGGAAUAUAAUAUGAAAUUUCUACAUAACAAUAUAUGACAAAGAAAGAAGUCUAAGUUUCUAAGUGGAAGGGCUUCCAAUUGAUGUGAGUUUGUUGAGAAAUGAAGAUGAAGAUGAAUAUUGUUGUUGAUGUGAGUUAGUGAACAACAGAACAAGUUGCUUCUCCUUUGGCCUCUAACAUGAUAUUACCGGAAAACAAGUUGUUACUAGUAAAUGUAACUGACUGGUGAACUAAGACAUGCGGUACGAUUUUUGAUAACUAGAGAAGAUGAAUAGUGUCGUGACAAAAUUUAUCCAAGUAGACCCAAGGGAAAGACUUAGGAACUUCAUAUGCAGUGGGAUAAAAUCUUAAGCUAAUUUCCUUUUUAAUCUUAUAGUCAUUAUGUAAAAUGUAUAUGCAUAUUUCUAGAUACAUACACACCAAUGUACAUAAUAUUAACUCCUUUUAAGUAGUCAUUUGCAAAUCCCUCUUGAGUGCUCUUUGGAAUGCUCAUGCGGUGCCGUUCUAAUCUCUUAUAUAUAACUUUUUGUGAUCUGUUUUUUCAUCAAUAUGCCAAAAUCCCUUUAGAAUUUGCAACUUAUCUUUUUGGUUACGGUAAAAAAAAACUCGGAAUUUCAUUUAAACUCGAAAAUCUAGGGAUGUGAAAGCAAUUUUCUCUUGUUCGACAACAUUUAGCGAGAGCAAAGGCAAAUUGUACAGGAAAAAGUUAGAAAUUGGGGAUGAAGAUUCCCAAUUUUAAUUUCGUCUAAAUAAGUGUAAUUUCACAAUUCUAACUACGAUGAGAAUCACAAAUAUAUUGCAGGGAAAUCUUGCAACAGCCAAACUUUACGAUUAGGGUGCCAAAUUUCGUGAUAAAACCUAAUAAGGGUUUAGGGCUGCAUUGUUCACUCUGUUAACUCUCCAAAUCUUCGACGGAUUUUCGGCUCGUGCAUCAUCUUCUUGCUUUGUUCUAGGUCAACGCCUCUACUCUCUUCUUUCUUGAAUUAUUUUAGCUUUUUAGGUAGGCUCUUUAUGGCUGUUGUGAAUUUUGCUAGUUAUUUUUAUUUUCUGAUAGUCAUUUGUUUGUUGUGCGUUUUUCCUUCCAAUUGAAUUGUGUAUUGGUUGGAUCUGUAACAUUUAUUUUUUAUUUUAUUUUAUGGAUUUUGGUGUUAGUUCUUUGUCAUGGAUGUUGUCCCUUUGAAGGUUAACAAUAGCCAAGACUAAACAUGAUGAUAUUGUUAAUUACUUUCUCAUGAUACUAAUGCCAUAUUGUUCUCUCUUUUGCACUUACAAGUGAAGAGAAAUAUCCUAGACCCUAACUGGAUAUGUUAUUGUCAUGGUCAUGCAUUGGUAUGGUAACAAUAUGUUUGGAUAAGGAAAAUAAACUUAGAAUUUGACAAAAGAUAGAAUUUAUAAAUUGAUACAAUCAAUUCCUUUGUUUAGAUUCAUAAACAUAGAAAUUUAAACUUUCCGUGUGAGAAAAAACUUGGAAUUUGGGACCUUCAAUUCUCAUGUUUAAAUUUUAUGUAAAUAGGUGUCAUUUCUAAAUUUCAGCAAGUGAGAAUUUAAAAAUAACAAACAUGUAUUCAAAUUUCAUUCCUCUUUUAGGUUAACCAAACAAGAAAUUUUAUAAAUUCUAGAAAAUAAAAUUUCGUUAUUUCAAUUUCUGUUAUUUUAAAAUUAGUAAUCUUAAAUUUUCCCAUCCAAACAAAGAGUUUCCUUGUCAUAGAACUUUCAAUUGGGAUCAAGGAAGACAAUCUUUUCACAACUGAUUAUUCUCACCAAAUUUUAUUAUUAUUUUAAAGCAGAUCAAUACCAAACUUCAAAAGCAAAGUAGGAAGGCUAAAAUUAAGGUGAAGAACCUACUUCCACUAAUUACCAUGGGAGGGGGAGAGAGAGAGAGAGAGAGAGAGAGAGAGAGAGAGAGAGAGAACCAAGCGAGAGAGAAGAGAGAGAAAACACCAAGUAGUAUUAUAAUAUAGGUGGGGUUAAAUCACCUUUCGUGAAGUUGCGGUAAGAGCAGCUCCAGCGGGAGGUCCAGCUUGAUGGACCGGUGAGAUUUCCUACCCAAUAGCCCCAGCUCCUUGCUCCAGCCCAUGCGGGCGAUUGGGCUGAGGGGGUGCCCGAGUGAGAGGCCUGACUCGAAUCGGUAGCCUGAGAGCUUGAGGCCAAAUGAUGCAUGGACGUCAGCCACGUUAUAAGAAGGAAGCAUAAACUAUGAAUAAUGAUAGAGAUUUAGAUUUUGGUGUGUGAUUUCAUCGGAUGGAUGGUGGGUUAUAUGGAGGAAAAAAAAAAGAUUAGGUUGUAGAUAAUGCCACGUGGCAUGCCGUCAUUCGUUAAAAAUCUGAUCGAAAUCUAUCAUCAAAGAUUUUAAACAGAUUAUGACACGUGACGCAACGUGAUUGGUUAAAAAUCUUAUCAGAAAUCUAUCCUUAACGAUUCUGAAAAGGUAACGAGAUGGGGCACGACGGCAUUGGAUAAAAAUCUUAUCGAAAUCUAUCACCAAAAAUUAUCUUUUUGGAUAAUGACACGUGGUGCAACGAGAACGAUUAAAAAUCUUAUCCGAAAUUACAAAUAGAAUUAUUUUGUAUUAUUUUAUAAAAUAAAAAUACUAAUAUUUUAUUGCCUAUUGACAUGACUAUUCAAUUAUGGGUGUGGAGAUGCAGAAGAUAAUUAUUAUUAAUUAAAGGUAAUUAUUGUUCAUUGGAGGGGAUUGAAUAUGAAGUUGCAGUAGAAGGCCUUUGUCACAGCAAUAGGCAGUUACUGUUCUAAGGACUUCUAUCCUAGAACAGAGACAAAAACACCAAGUAGUAUUAUAAUAUAGGUGGGGUUAAAUCACCUUCCGUGAAGUUGCUGUAUGGACUUCUAUCCUAGAGAAAAGUCGGUCAAUGGUGUUUGACACAGUCAGUCAACGACAAAGACAGAAUUGUGUAACCAUAAUUCUCUCUCUAUCUCUUUUUCAUUAACGGAGGACAGUGUAUAAUUACUACGUAUAUAUCUCUGCUCAAUUAUUGAAAAGAAAAAUCCAUGUGCAUUAUUUUUAUUAUUAUUAUCUCAGAAAUGCAGAAAUUGAUUAUCUCUUCCUUCUGCAUAUUGAUACUGGUUUUCUUCAAACUAGUUGAAGCAAGCCAAUAUGUGUGCGCGAAAUCCAACUGUAGCAAUGAUCAAGGCCCGGCUAAUUUCCUUAGGAGGGAGAGAGAGAGAGGGGAGAGAGAACCAAGUGAGCGAGCAGAGAGAGAAAACACCAAGUAGUAUUCUAAUGUUGGUGGGGUUAAGUCACCUUCCAUGAAGUUGCAGUAAGGACUUCUAUCCCAGAGAAAAGUCAGUAAAUGAUGUUGACACAGUCCGUCAACGACAAAGACAGAAUUGUGUAACCAUAAUUCUCUCUCUAUCUCUUUUUCAUUAACGGAGGACAGUGUAUAAUUACUACGUAUAUAUCUCUGCUCAAUUAUUGAAAAGAAAAAUCCAUGUGCAUUAUUUUUAUUAUUAUUAUCUCAGAAAUGCAGAAAUUGAUCAUCUCUUCCUUCUGCAUAUUGAUACUGGUUUUCUUCAAACUAGUUGAAGCAAGCCAAUAUGUGUGCGCGAAAUCCAACUGUAGCAAUGAUCAAGGCCCGGCUAUCCAUUUCCCAUUGAACAUCAGGCGCACACAUCAUUGUGGAAAUUCUGGGCUUGAAUGCAAUGGGAGAUAUGAGCAGCAAAUACUAAUAAAAUUAUUUGUCAAAGACACAGAUUACAAGCGUCAGGAAAUCCAAGUCUAUUCCCCAAGUAACUGCCUGCUGCUAAAGCUUGUUGAAAUCCCAAACAUGCCACCCUCUCCCUUCGUGCCAGUAGUCGAUUACAUGAUUAAUUUCAUAAACGUUACCUUAUUCAGUUGUCCUACUUCUGUUGCAAUACGAGAUACGUAUGGUUGUCAAGUCCCCUGCCUUGGCGACCGUGGCAAGAGAACUUAUGCCAUUGAUUCUGGGGUUUAUUUUGAAACUCUCUUCCAGAAUCUAGAAUCCUGUACAAAAAUGUAUGAUGUUUUAUCAGUUCCAAUAGCCGAUGAAUAUUAUGUUUUUCGUUUCAAAUGGUCUAUACCAAAUUGCAGAAAAUGUGGAGAGGGAAAGAAGUGUGAAUGGCAGAACAAUGAAAUUAAAUGUCUUCCCUGGAGGAAACCAAGUAAGGAUAACAUAUGUAUUCAUUGCUAGUUUUAAACAUCUUUACAUUUAUGUCUUAGUAAUUAUUAUUUGAAGGAUGUUGUCCAAUCCAUUUUUACUAGGAAUAUUACCUGACAGUCUCGUUUAAAUUCGCAAUGAUCUUCUACAGGCAACACAUGGAAAAAAGUGGUUACAGGUGGAAUCCUGUGUGCUUUGCUUCUUGUUCUACUGACGAUUGCAGCAUAUCGGGUAUAUAGCGCUGAUAGAAAGGAGAAAGAGAGUCGAUUAAGAAUUGAAAGAUUCUUGGAGGACUACAAAGCACUCAAACCAAGCAGGUAUUCGUACGCAGAUAUUAAGAGGAUUACAAAUCAAUUCAAGGACAAGUUGGGCGAAGGAGCCUAUGGAACUGUCUUCAAAGGAAUGCUCUCUUCUGAAUUCUUCAUUGCUGUCAAAGUCCUCAACAGUUCCAAGGGAGAUGGGGAAGAGUUCGUAAAUGAAGUGCGAACGAUGGGUCAUAUCCACCACGUAAACGUGGCUCGCUUGGUUGGAUUUUGUGCUGAUGGAUUUGUACGAGCUCUUGUUUACGAGUUCUUCCCCAAUGGUUCCCUGCAGGAUUUCAUUUCAUCUGCAGAUAGUAAGAAUUCAUUUCUUGGUUGGGAUAAGCUACAAGAUAUUGCCCUAGGCAUAGCCAAAGGAAUUGAAUAUCUUCACCAGGGAUGCGAUCUACGAAUCCUGCAUUUCGACAUCAAACCCCAUAAUGUUUUGCUAGACCAAAACUUCACUCCAAAAAUUUCUGAUUUUGGUUUGGCCAAGUUAUGUUCCAAGGAUCAAAGCUUGGUGUCCAUGACUACAGCAAGGGGGACCAUGGGCUACAUUGCACCUGAAGUGUUCUCCAGGAAUUUCGGAAAUGUGUCGUACAAGGCAGAUGUUUAUAGCUUUGGAAUGCUACUGCUUGAGAUGGUAGGAGGAAGGAAGAAUAUUGGUUCAAUUACGGAUAACACUACAAAUGAAAUUUACUAUCCACAGUGGAUUUAUAAUCUUCUAGAGGAAGGGGAUGACCUACGAAUCCACAUUGGGGAAGAAGGAGAUGGUAAAAUUCCAAAGAAACUUGCAAUUAUAGGGCUAUGGUGUAUCCAGUGGCACCCGUCGGAUCGUCCUUCCAUGAAAAUAGUGGUUCAGAUGUUAGAAGGAGGAGGAGAAAGCUUGAGUAUGCCGCCUAAUCCCUUUGUGCCUACUGGUUCUACAACUAGGAAUGCAAGACACCUAGAGCUAGAAGCUAUUGCUGAAUUAGAGUAAAAUGUAUAUGCAGAUAUGUAGACGUAUAGAUAUAGUAAUAUUUAUAUUGAAUAAGAGGCCGUUUGAUAACCAUUUCGUUUUCAGCUUUUAAUUUUUAUUUUUCACUUUUUUGAAAACUAAAAACUAAAAUCUUGUUUGGUAAAUACUUUUAGUUAAAAAAAAAUGAAGACUGAGAACUAAAAUGUGAAAGCUCAAAGGAAGUAGAUUAAAAGUAGUUACCAAACAAACCGGAAUCUCAAUAAAUAAAAAAGAUUGAAUUGCACAAUGCAAUCCAAACCAAUCAAAACAUUUAAAAUAGCAAAAAAAAAUUAAAAUUCUAGUUGAUUAGAUUCUAAACAUAGUAAAAAUGAACAGAUCCGAUGAAAAAAACAAAAAAUUCUCAGAUAAAAAUAGGGAUAAAGUAAAAUAUUUAUAAAUAGCUCUUUGUCUCUUAUGCCAUCAAUUAUUUCUAUAGUAUAUACACGUUUUUGGAAAAAUUAGGUUCCCAUCCCUUAUUUUCAUAUUACAUUGAUUGAAAUCUUAUUAUUUUUCUAUUUUAGAUCAAGGUCCCUUGACUUAUUCUAUGUCAUCAUUUUAGUAUUUAAAAUAUUACACGUUAUCAUAAACGAAAUCUCAUCCCUUUCUGCAUUUAAGGCAAAAUAAACUAUAUGAGUAAGUUUAAAACAAGGAAAAUCCAUUUGAACUCCUCCAUUCUUCUUCUUCUCUUAUAAACAUCUGGAAUCUACAACACCCCAAACCCAAUUUUCUCCAUUUUUUCUCCUUUCCUGAAUUGAUCCAAUGCAUAUAUGUUGAAUAAACCUAUUGUGAUUAAAAUACAAAUUAGCAUCAAUGGUUUUAUUGGCUUGUGAGAUUUGUGUGGCAUAGGCAAGGCAAUGCAGGCAUCGUUUUCUCAAGGAAUCUGGUUGAUUCAAACAUGCAGAGACUGUAGAGUGAGUGGGCUAUGUGAAAACUGUACCAUUCUGAAGUCAUUUUCUUUUGUUCUUUAUAUUUUUUUUUCUUUUUCUUUUAUUAUUAUAUAUUAGUCUUGGUUAUUCAAUGCCUGGUUGGCUACACUUAUAUCCAUGGGUACAUUUUUAAUCUACAUGUUUCGUUCUAAUAUAUCUAUUGCUAUAAUAUGUUUUGGUUGGUUCAAAUUUGUUUUACAUAAAUAUAUGGGUACAAAGUUUUUGGAGAAUAUUAUGUAAAUGGUUUUUAAGGUUGCUGCAUUUUACGUACCCACAUAUGCAUGUCUAUAAAACAAUGUGGUAUGAUGUACAUUCUUUUCUUUGAGUUUUUAAAUGUACCCAUGAGUUUUUUUGUAAAUUCGGUAUGUACCCAUAUGCUAUUUAUGUUAUGGGUACAUACAUUAUUUUUGGUCUAAGUUCAGGGUACAUUGCUUUUGUAUGUAUGAAUUCAAGGGGUACAUUAUUUCCCUUAAUACUACUCAAUAAAAUUCACAAAAUAUGUGUAGUGUGCAUGAUUUUUUAUUGUAGAAAUUGUUUUUUUUUAAGUCUCAUAAUUCAUGAAAUUUGUACAUAUAUGAUCCCAUAAAUUUUUUAAUUUUAUUAAAUUUCUUUUAGACUUGAUCGAUUGAUUGAAUCUCAUCAUACUAGGAUUUUGAAUUACAUAAAUUCUUGGAUUUAAAUCCCUUAAAUGUUGGACUGCAAUCAAUAUUUUAAAUUAUAGUUUUUUAUUUAAGAUAUCAAAAAGAUGACAUGGAAAUAUAGUAAUACUAAAAUGCUGAGGUGUACAAAGUCAAAGGACUUUGAUCAAAAAAUAAAAAACAAUAAGAUUUCAAUCUAACAAUUAAAUUGACUAGGGACCGGAACCAAAAUGACCCUAGAUUUUUAUUGAGUUUAAUCUUAAUCAAAAAAAGACUUCUUGUAUCACAGAAAAUACAAGAACCAUUAUUUGAAUGAAAUAAAAGCUAUGGGAUGGAGAUAUAAAUGGAUCAUUUUAUUCACAAUCGGAUUAUAUUUAUUUGAUACACUAUUGUCAAUAUGAAUGUUGAGAAAAAGACUACAAAAGAAAAAACAAUUUAUAAAUAUAACUAACAAUUCCAAUUUCAAUCAAUUAGACAAUUAGA